UGAACCUGUUUAAUCCCAUACAUGAUCAACAAUUACAUAAAAAUUUAAAACUUUCUCAUUGAAUCAUUCAUUGGCUCUUUCAUUCAUUCAUUCUUUCUUUCAUUCAUUCUUAACCUGUGCAUGUACAAACUCAUAUACAUAAUCAUUAUUAAACAUUUGAGAUCAUGUAAUAGAAAGGGAUUAACACAAUACUAUGGUCAAGCACAACUCUAAACUCCCAUAAGCAUCAUUACAUACAUUUCAAUACUUUACUUUUACAUUACAACAUUUUCAUGUCCACAGCUAGCUAUUACAUAACACAAGACUCUACUCCUGCUGACCUCCUAGUCUACCCUGUACCUGCAAACCUAGGGGUUAGGGAGAGGGGUGAGCUAUAAAGCCCAGUGAGCAGAAUAAAUAAACAUUCAAUUUAAAUUUCAUGCUUUCAUGAAAUGCAACACAUCACAGACAAAUCACAUCAAGGAUGGUAUUGUCACCAUUAGUCCUCUACAUUCCAAGGUGCCGGGACGUAGAAUGGGUCAACCGGUCUUUCUCUUAAACAUAACAUAUCAUAACAUUCCAACGUGCCGGGACGUAGAAUGGGUCAACCGGACUUCCAUACCAUGCCAUACUGUAUCAUAUUACAUCGUAUCAUAUUGAGGACUAAGGAUCAUCCAACAUCCAUCCACAUCAUCAUCAAGUUAUGCAAUGCAACAUAUUCGUGAAUUCUAAUGCAAACAACCUAUAAUAUCACAUGGCAUUCGUGAUGCAUGAACAUGCUCAAAUCAAUAUUUAAUUGCUUUAAAACAUAAGUGUUUAUUCCACUCACCUCUGGCUAAAGCUCUAAGGACUCUGAAGCAACUGACUCACUGCUGGGGUCCUCGGUUUCUCGGGUCCGAACCUACACAGGUGGACUCAAAUGAGGGACCAAACAUUCAUGAAAAUGACUCUAAAAUACUCCCCAAAAACCCCCUAAAACACCUUAAAACAAUCAUAGAAUUCAUGCAAAGGAGGGCUGAAUAAGGCACUUUCGGCGGCAGGUUCGGCGGCCGAAAGGCCCUCCAGAGUCGAAAGUCAUGCACCUUCGGCGGCACUUUCGGCGGUCGAAGGUUCCCUCCAGAGACGAAACUCAUGCACCUUCGGCGGCACCUUCGGCGGCCGAAACUCCCUUCUAGAGCCGAAAGUCCACUUUCGGGGGUAGGGUUCGGCAGCCGAUUCAUGCUACCACAGGCAGGUUCGGCGGCCGAAAGAACCUUCGGCUGCCGAACCUGAGUUCUUCCCAAAGGGCAGAAACUCAGCCUUCCUCAUGCAGAACGCCUCCCAACACAUCAAAUCAUGCAUUAUCCUAUUCUACAACAUGCAUACUCAAGCAUACAAGCUCCUAGGGGCUUCAACUAUCCUAAACCCCAUCUACAACACAUCAAACAUGCAUAUCCAUCACACAUUGUUCAUAAACACAUAGUAAACCCAUAAACUCAACAUAACUUAUACAUGCAUUUCUACCCCAUAAAUCUUCAUAAAACUUGUUUAAAACCUUAAAGGAACUAUGGAUCUACUCUUACCUCUUGAAGAACGAGAGGAGAGACGAUCCAACUCGGAGAUGGGAGAGAUCUCAACUCUUUGGUCUCCAAGCUUCCAAAACUCGCUCUUUUGUUCAAAUAUCUUCAAAUCAACAUAAAGCUUGUUAAAUCAUGAAAGAUCAGAAGGAAAAACAUUGAAAAUAACCAUAGGAGAGCAUGAACUCACCGUGGCCGAAAAUGGGGAGAAAACUCGCCCGUUUCGGCCAUGAAGCUCUUAUAUAGGGGCUGGCAGACCACCUUUCAGCAGUCUAAGGUGCCUCCAAAACUCAUGCAAGUUCGGCAGCCGAACAUGAGGUUCGGCGGCCGAACCUUUGAAACUUUCGGAAGCCUAACUUGCCCCCCUAAACCAUCCCACGUUCGGCGGCCGAACCUGGAAAUGUCUCCUUGGCCUUUUUCAUUUAAAACUCAAUUUCCUUUUUGCUUAAAACCAUAAAAUACAUCAAAACAUUUAUGAAAACAUGCUUUUACCCUUUUAGAGGUUUCCGACAUCCGAGAUUCCACCGGACGGUAGGAAUUCCGAUACCGGAGUCUAGCCGGGUAUUACAAUAGCAAUCGUAUGAACAACCUGAUUCGUUGGCUUUUUAACAAAAUGAAAAGAAACUAAAGGCAACUCUUGAAGAAGAGCCUUACAAUCAUUUAUAACCAAUCCAAAAUAAGAAGAAAGACUAGCGGAUGAAUGAAUAUCCAUAAUUAUCACCUGACAAUCAAUUUCAAUGCACAAAGAAAAGAAAUUAAAAUUCUUUGCCCAGCUCAAAGCCUCUCGAAAGGAUAGUGCUUCUCCAAGUUGAGGAUCAGCCAUACCUGGAAUAACCAUUAACUUUCCUGCACAACAAAGGCCAUUAGCAUCUCUCACAAUUAUGCCCAAACCAUAACUGCCAUUGUUCAACAUAGCCACUUCAACGUUACAUUUAAAAGAGCCAAAGACUAGUUUUUGCCAAGAUACUACUUCCACUGCAGAUAUUGAACCAAAUUGUAGUCUAUUACUGCUAACCUUAGCCAUUUUCCACUUCUGCAAAACUGACCUUGCCCGGCUAAAAAUCAUUGCAGGCUGAGAUUGUUUAUUUUGCCAUACUAGCUCAUUUCGAAAACACCACAGGCUCCAACACAGCAUGACAACCUCCUCAGUACGAACCUUAAAAGACAACCAGUUAGCACCAGUUGCUCCUAGAUUCUAGCCAACCGAAGACAAUAGCCAACAUGAACGAGCAAAAGAACAACUAUAUAACACAUGAAAUGCAGACUCCUCAGCUGUGGCACAAACUGGGCAAGUCGGAUCAAGCUCAACAUGACGUCUGAGCAAACUACUCUUACAAGGCAAAACCUCACGAAGAACUCGCCAUAAAAAUAUUCGAACUUUGGGAGGAACAUCCAGCUUCCAGACUUUAUCCCAUGGAUAAUUAUCUACUGCAAACUCCACAUCUGAUGCUUCCACCACCAUUCAAUAACCCUCCUUCACCUUGUAAAUACCCGCUCGAUUCUAAGAGAGAAAAAGUAAGUGUAGGUGAAGUUGUUACCGCUGUGAUUAAAAGAGAACUCCCUACUAAAUGCAAAGACAAAGGUAUGUUUGCUAUCUCUUGCAAGAUUGGGAAUGUUGGAAUUAAGAAAGCCAUGUGUGAUCUUGGUGCAUCCAUAAAUGUCAUGCCUCUUUCCAUCUAUAAAUCUUUGAAUGUUUUAGUAAUUGGUGUUGAUUUGCCCAAAUCAUUGAGAGAAAGAAAAUUCAGCAAAGGCAAAGACCUCAUGAGCACAAAUUCAAAACUGUUCCAAUGGUUGAAAGACUAUGAACAGAGCUAGUAGCCACUUAUACAGGUGACCAACUGAGUAACUGGGGGUGGGUAUCACCAAUAUGUACCUUCAUGUCAAAAGGUUGGUGACUUUUUCAAGCAAGAUCUAAGUGCAAAAGACUGAAUAAAGUACUUCAAGGUAAGGGCAAGUCAAUCCGAAAGCUAAAAAGAGUCUUAUCUGAACAAAUAAUAUGUGCAUGUGUAAUCUCUCUCUUGAGGAAAACAAAUCUUAGCCAUGGUAAGUAAAGGGAAACAAGGAAAGAAGGUGAGUAAUCUUCAUGCAUAUAUUCUUCACUGCAAUGAUUCAAAAUAGGUGUCUAGAGUAAGAGCUUAAGUGGAAAUAAAGAUCAAGUAGCAAAGGAAGCUUGUUUGACUAUGUUUAUUUGCUUGAGGACAAGCAAAAGGCUAGGUGUGCGGGUAUUUGAUAGAGCAUAUUUUAGUCCAUUUUAUCAUUAUGUUCUUGAUGUUUAUUUACAUCUUUUCUGCCUAAUUUUGUGUUUUUGAUAUUAUUUUGCAGAAAAUGGUGUAAAGAGACAUUUUGGAGAAAAUACCCUUAAAACUGCCUUAAAUGGAGCAAAGGAGAGCAAGCCUGCCAAGUUGAAAUCAAGUGAAGCUAAAAAAGGAAAGUUCUAAAUAAGGAAAGUGGCAAAUAAGGAAAGAACAUUCAGCCAAAGCAAUUUGAAAUUCAAAUUUCAAAUCUCCAAGUAGCCUUUUCCUUAUUCAAAAAGCCAAAUCUCAAGUUGCCAUAAAUAAAGAGUCAAAUAAGGAAAGUAUUUUGAAUUUCAAACCUUCAAGAUUCAUAUUCAAAUUUUGAAUUUCAAAAUCCAGCUUACCAAGGAAGCUAAAUCCAAAGAUCACAUGUUUGCCACCUCAUGCUUUGCACAUUCAAAAUUCAAAUUGCAAAAGGAGGCUCCACCUUCCUUAUUUGUGCAUGGGCGGCAAGGAUAGUGUGAAGGCAAGCCUUGGCCAGCUUGGGCAGCAUCUUGAAGACACUAGGGCAGCAAGCAAAGACCAAAGGACCCACUCCUUGCAAAUGAAGACAAGCCACAUGUCCACUCCUUCACACAUGUGCAUGGACGGCAAGGUAAGUGCAAGUAAAGACCAAGGGUAUUUUAGGCAGCCUCUUAAAGAUUCAUGGACAGCAAAGAAACCCUAGACAGCAACCUAAGAACCUUAUAUAUUCAUCCUUAAGGGCUGCCGCACAAAGAGGAGGACAUCAUCUCCACAACUCCACCAACCGGCCGAAGCUCUCCAACUCCUCUCACCUUCGGGUUCUUCACCUUCUUCUUUUCUUUUCUUUUCUUUGAUUUUAGUUUUUGUUUCAGCCAUGAGUGGCUGAAACCUUUAAUUCUAGUUAAAGAUUGGUUGAAACUAAGGUUGUUUUAUGGAUUGUGAGAUCUGAACACAUAUUGUUUGUCUUUUGGUUAUUCAAUAUUCAUACAGUUCAUGCUUGAAUUCUAUUAUUACUUUAUUGUUUUGAUCAAAUUGGCCACUUGAUUCUUGAUUGCAAGGUAAUUAAUUGUUAGUUUGGAUAAUUUUAAGUUCGUAAUUGCUUGAAUUGUUCAAACAUAAGAACACUCAGUGUAACAACUAAGGAAUUGUAUGAUCUAGCAACAUCUCAUGCGUUUGAGUAGUUAGGAUUGGAUCUCUCUCUUUCUUCAUGCAAUUAACAAUUGUUUGAUGCCUAAGGCCCAAGGACGUUCCUUGGUAAUUUGUUAAUUAGUAAUUAAUUAGAGGAUGUUCCCUAAUUGGUUUAAUCAUAAGGAGAGACAUGGUGGUGAGAAGCGUUUUCCAUCUCCAUAACUAAUCUAUUGAAUCAAUCAAAAGAACAUAAGUUUAAAUGAUCAAUCCAAACAACCGAAGUGGAUCCAACUCUUCAACUAGACCUUUCUCAUAUUGAAUUUCCCUUUUAUUUUUCAUAUUCUGCUUAUUUAAUUGCUUUCAGUAGUUGCUAAUCAAAUCAAUCUCAAAACCCCCCAUUUUACUUUUAUUGCACUUUAUUUUUAUUCCGCUUUUAGUUACUUGCUUUCAGUUGCGCUUGCAGUUAAUUCUCUUGGUCUUGUUAAGAGAAAUAGAUAAGUUUUCAAUUCUCUGUGGAUUCGAUCCUUUACCACUAUCUGCAGAAGUAAUAUUGUUGAUAACCAGAAAAGUUAUUUUUGACCGGCUUCGACAACCGCGAGUCAAUGGUUGACAGACUUGGCAAUUUUUGGGAUGGAAGCUGUUAUGCCGAAAUCAAGUACCGAUUGUAAUAUGGGUGAUAGACUUGACAGUUUUUGCGAAUGAAGGUGUUAUGCCGAAAUCAGGCACCGGUUGUAACAUGGGUGAUAGACUUGGCAGUUUUUGCGAUAAAAAUUGUUAUGCCGAAAUCGGGCAUCGGUUGUAACAUGGGUGAUAGACUUUGCAGUUGUUGCGAUAGAAGCUGUUAUGCCGAAAUCGGGUACCGGUUGUAACAUGGGUGAUUGACUUGAAACUUUUUGCGAUAGAAGCUGUUAUGCCAAAACCAGGCAGCGGAUGAAACAUCGGUGAUAGACUUGGAAAUUUUUGCGAUAGAAGCUAAUAUGCCGAAACUGGGCACCAGAUGUAACAUGGGUGAUAGACUUGGCAAUUUAUCGGAUGGAAGCUGUUAUGCCGAAAUCGGGCACCGGUUGUAACAUGGGUGAUAGACUUGUUAGUUUUUGCGAUAUAAGUUGUUUUGCCAAAAUCAGGCACCGGAUAUAACAUGCGUGAUAGACUUGGCAGUUUUUGCGAUAGAAGUUGUGAUGCCAAAAUCAGGCAUCGGUUGUAACAUGGGUGAUAGACUUGGCAAUUUUUAGGAUUGAAGCGAUUAUGCCGAAAUCGGGCACUAGUUGUAACAUGGGUGAUAGGCUUGGCAGUUUUUAGGAUGGACGCUGUUAUGCUGAAAUCUGUCACCGGUUGUAACAUGUGUAAUAGACUUGGCAGUUCUUGCGAUAAAAGCUGUUAUACCGAAAUCGGGCACCGGUUGUAACAUGGGUGAUAGACUUGGCAAUUCUUGCGAUAAAAGUUGUUAUGUCGAAAUCAGGCACCAGUUGUAACUUGGGUGAUAGACUUGGGAGUUUUUGCAAGGGAAGCUAUUAUGCCGAAAUCGGGCACCAGUGGUAACAUGGGUAAUGGACUUGGCAGUUCUUGCGAUAAAAGCUGUUAUGCCGAAAUUGGCCAUAGGUUGUAACAUGGGUGAUGGACUUGGAAGUUUGAGCGACGCAAGCUGUUUUGCCUAAAUCGGGAACCGGUUGCAACAUGGGUGAUAGACUUUGCAUUUUUUCGAAUGGAAGCCGUUAUGCCGAAAUCGGCAACCGGUUGUAACAUGGGUGAUAGACUUGGUGGUUUUUGCGAUAGAAACUGUUAUGCCAAAAUUGGCCAUCGACUGUAACAUUAGUGUUAGACUAGGCAGUUUUUAGGAUGGAAGCUGUUAUGCCGAAAUCAUGGACCGGUUCCAACAUGGGUGCUAAACAUGGAAGUUUUUGCGAUAGAAGGCACAAGAUGUAACAUGGGUGAUAGACCUAGCGGUUUUUGGGAUGGAGGUUGUUAUCCCGAAAUCGGGCACCGGUUGUACCAUAAGUGAUAGACUUGGAAGUUUUUAGGAUGGAAGCUGUUAUGAUGAAAUUAGGCAUCGGUUGUAACAUGGGUGAUAGACUUGGCAGUUUUUGCGAUAGAAAUUGUUAUGCCGAAAUAGGGUAUCGGUUGUAACUUGAGUGAUAGACUUUGCAGUUGUUGCGAUAGAAGCUGUUAUGCCGAAAUCGGGCACCGGUUGUAACAUGGGUGAUUGACCUGAAACUUUUUGCGAUAGAAGCUGUUAUGCCAAAAUCAGGCAGCGGAUGAAACAUUAGUGAUAGACUUGGAAGUUUUGCGAUAGAAACUAAUAUGCCGAAACCGGGCACCGGAUGUAAUAUGGGUGAUAGAUUUGGCAGUUUUUGCGUUAAAAGUUGUUAUGCCAAAAUCGGGCAUCGGUUGUAACUUGGGUGAUAGACUUUGCAGUUGUUGCGAUAAAAGCUGUUAUGCCGAAAUCGGGCACCGGUUGUAACAUGAGUGAUUGACUUGAAACUUUUUGCGAUAGAAGCUGUUAUGCCAAAACCAGGCAGCAGAUGAAACAUUAGUGAUAGACUUGGAAGUUUUGCGAUAGAAGCUAAUAUGCUGAAACUGGGCACCGGAUGUAAUAUGGGUGAUAGAUUUGGCAGUUUUUGCGUUAAAAGUUAUUAUGCCAAAAUCGAGCACCGGAUGUAACAUGGGUGAUAGACUUGGCGAUUUUUAGGAUGGAGGUUGUUAUCCCGAAAUCGGGCACCGGUUGUACCAUAAGUGAUAGACUUGGAAGUUUUUAGGAUGGAAGCUGUUAUGACGAAAUUAGGCACCGGUUGUAACAUGGGUGAUAGACUUGGCAGUUUUUGUGAUAAAAAUUGUUAUGCCGAAAUCGGACAUCGGUUGUAACUUGGGUGAUAGACUUUGCAGUUGUUGCAGUAGAAGCUGUUAUGCCGAAAUCGGACACCGGUUGUAACAUGGGAGAUUGACUUGAAACUUUUUGCGAUAGAAGCUGUUAUGCCAAAACCAGGCAGCGGAUAAAACAUUAGUGAUAGACUUGGAAGUUUUGCGAUAGAAGCUAAUAUGCCGAAACCGGGCACUGGAUGAAACAUGGGUGAUAGAUUUGGCAGUUUUUGCGUUAAAAGUUCUUAUGCCAAAAUCGAGCACCGGAUGUAACAUGGGUGAUAGACCUGGCGAUUUUUGGGAUGGAGGUUGUUAUCCCGAAAUCGGGCACCAGUUGUACCAUAAGUGAUAGACUUGGAAGUUUUUAGAAUGGAAGCUGUUAUGACGAAAUUAGGCACCGGUUGUAACAUGGGUGAUAGACUUGGCAGUUUUUGCAAUAAAAAUUGUUAUGCCGAAUUCGGGCAUCGGUUGUAACUUCGGUGAUAGACUUUGCAGUUGUUGCGAUAGAAGCUGUUAUGCCGAAAUCGGGCACCGGUUGUAACAUGGGUGAUUGACUUGAAACUUUUUGCGAUAGAAGCUGUUAUGCCAAAACCAGGCAGCGGAUGAAACAUUAGUGAUAGACUUGGAAGUUUUGCGAUAGAAGCUAAUAUGCCGAAACUGGGCACCGGAUGUAACAUGGAUGAUAGAUUUGGCAGUUUUUGAGUUAAAAGUUGUUAUGCCAAAAUCGAGCACCAGAUGUAAAAUGGGUGAUAGACCUGGCGGUUUUUGGGAUGGAGGUUGUUAUCCCGAAAUCGGGCACCGGUUGUACCAUAAGAUCGACUUGGUAGGUUUUAGGAUGGAAGCUGUUAUGACAAAAUUAGGCACCGGUUGUAACAUGGGUGAUAGACUUGGCACUUUUUGCGAUAAAAAUUGUUAUGCCAAAAUCGGGCAACGGUUGUAACUUGGGUGAUAGACAGUUGUUGCGAUAGAAGCUGUUAUGCCGAAAUCGGGCACCGGUUGUAACAUGGGUGAUUGACUUAAAACUUUUUGCGAUAGAAGCUGUUAUGCCAAAACCAGGCAGCGGAUGAAACAUUGGUGAUACACUUGGAAGUUUUGUGAUAAAAGCUAAUAUGCCGAAACUGGGCACCAGAUGUAACAUGGGUGAUAGAUUUGGCAGUUUUUGCGUUAAAAGUUGUUAUGCCAAAAUCGAGCACCGGAUGUAACAUGGGUGAUAGACCUGGCGGUUUUUGGGAUGGAGGUUGUUAUCCCAAAAUUGGGCAUCGGUUGUACCAUAAGUGAUAGACUUGAAAGUUUUUAGGAUGGAAGCUGUUAUGACGAAAUUAGGCACCGGUUGUAACAUGGGUGAUAGACUUGGUAGUUUUUGCGAUAAAAAUUAUUAUGCCGAAAUCGGGCAUCGGUUGUAACAUGAAUGAUAGACUUUGCAGUUGUUGCGAUAGAAGCUGUUAUGUCGAAAUCGGGCACCGGUUGUAACAUGGGUGAUUGACUUGAAACUUUUUGCGAUAGAAGCUGUUAUCCAAAACCAGGCAGCGGAUGAAACAUCGGUGAUAGACUUGGAAGUUUUUGCGAUAGAAGCUAAUAUGCCGAAACCGGGCACUAGAUGUAACAUGGGUGAUAGACUUGUCAGUUUUUGCGAUAGAAGCUGUUAUGCCGAAAUCGAGCACCGGAUGUAACAUGGAUGAUAGACUUGGCAAUUUAUCGGAUGGAAGCUGUUAUGCCGAAAUCGGGCACCGGUUGUAACAUGGGAGAUAGACUUGUUAGUUUUUGCGAUAUAAGCUGUUUUUCCAAAAUCUGGCACCGGAUAAAACAUACGUGAUAGACUUGGCAGUAUUUGUGAUAGAAGCUGUGAUGCCGAAAUCAUGCAUCGAUUGUAACAUGGGUGAUAGACUUGGCAAUUUUUAGGAUGGACGUUGUUAUGCUAAAAUCUGUCACCGAUUGUAACAUGUGUAAUAGACUUGGCAGUUCUUGCGAUAAAAGCUGUUAUGCCGAAAUCGGGCACCGGUUGUAACAUGGGUGAUAAACUUGCAAAUUCCUGUGAUAAAAGCUAUUAUGUCGAAAUCGGCAAUCGAUUGUAACAUGGGUGAUAGACUUGCUAGUUUUUGCGAUAGAAGCUGUUAUGUCGAAAUCGGGGACCGGCUGUAACAUUAGUGUUAGACUUGGCAGUUUUUGGGAUGGAAGUUAUAAUGCCAAAAUCAUGGACCGGUUCCAACAUGGGUGAUAAACUUGACAGUUUUUGUGAUAGAAGGCACAAGAUGUAACAUGGGUGAUAGACCUGGCGGUUUUUGGGAUGGAAGUUGUUAUCCCGAAAUUGGGCACCGGUUGUACCAUAAGUGAUAGACUUGAAAGAUUUUAGGAUGGAAGCUGUUAUGACGAAAUUAGGCAUCGGUUGUAACAUGGGUGAUAGACUUGGCAGUUUUUGCGAUAAAAAUUGUUAUGCCGAAAUUAGGCAUCGGUUGUAACAUGGGUGAUAGACUUUGCAGUUGUUGCGAUAGAAGCUGUUAUGCCGAAAUCGGGCACCGGUUGUAACAUGGGUGAUUGACUUGAAACUUUUUGCUAUAGAAGCUGUUAUGCCAAAACCAGGCAACGGAUGAAACAUUGGUGAUAGACUUGGAAGUUUUGCGAUAGAAGCUAAUAUGCCGAAAUCGGGCACCGGAUGUAUCAUGGGUGAUAGAUUUGGUAGUUUUUGCAUUAAAAGUUGUUAUGCCAAAAUCGAGCACCGGAUGUAACAUGGGUGAUAGACUUGGCAAUUUAUCGGAUGGAAGCUGUUAUGCCGAAAGCAGGCACCGGUUAUAACAUGGGUGAUUGACUUGAAACUUUUUGUGAUAGAAGCUGUUAUGCCAAAACUAGGCAGCGGAUGAAACAUCGGUGAUAGACUUGGAAGUUUUUGUGAUAGAAGCUAAUAUGCCGAAACUGGGCACCAAACGUAACAUGGGUGAUAGACUUGCCAGUUUUUGCGAUAAAAGUUGUUAUGCCGAAAUCGAGCACCGGAUGUAACAUGGGUGAUAGACUUGGCAAUUUAUCAGAUGGAAGCUGUUAUGCCGAAAUCGGACACCAGUUGUAACAUGGGUGAUAGACUUGUUAGUUUUUGCGAUAUAAGUUGUUUUGCCAAAAUCAAGCACCAGAUAUAACAUGCGUGAUAGACUUGGCAGUUUUUGCGAUAGAAGCUGUGAUGCCGAAAUCAGGCAUCGGUUGUAACAUUGGUGAUAGACUUGGCAGUUUUUGAGAUUGAAGCGAUUAUGCCGAAAUCGGGGACUAGUUGUAACAUGAGUGAUAGACUUGGCAGUAUUGAGGAUGGACGCUGUUAUGCUGAAAUAUGUCACCGGUUGUAACAUGUGUAAUAGACUUGGCAGUUCUUGCGAUAAAAGCUAUUAUGCCGAAAUCGGGCACCGGUUGUAACAUCGGUGAUAGACUUGGCAGUUCCUGCGAUAAAGCUGUUAUGUCGAAAUCAGGCACCGGUUGUAACAUGGGUGAUAGACUUGGGAGUUUUUGCAAGGGAAGCUAUUACGCCGAAAUCGGGCACCGGUGGUAACAUGGGUAAUGGACUUCGCAGUUUUUGCGAUAGAAGCUGUUAUGCCGAAAUUGGCCAUAGGUUGUAACAUGGGUGAUGGACUUGGCAGUUUGAGCGACGCAAGCUAUUUUGCCUAAAUCGGGAACCGGUUGCAGCAUGGGCGAUAGACUUUGCAUUUUUUUGAAUGAAAGCUGUUAUGCCGAAAUUGGCAACCGGUUGUAACAUGGGUGAUAGACUUAGUGGUUUUUGCGAUAGAAGCUGUUAUGCCGAAAUCGGGCACCGGCUGUGACAUUAGUGUUAGACUUGGCAGUUUUUCGGAUGGAAGCUGUUAUGCCAAAUUCAUGGACCGGUUCCAACAUGGGUGAUAAACUUGGCAGUUUUUGCAAUAGAAGGCACAAGAUGUAACAUGGGUGAUAGACCUGGCGGUUUUUGGGAUGGAGGUUGUUAUCCCGAAAUCAGGCACCGGUUGUACCAUAGGUGAUAGACUUGAAAGUUUUUAGGAUGUAACCUGUUAUGCCGAAAUUAGGCACCGGUUGUAACAUGGGUGAUAGACUUGGUAGUUUUUGCGAUAAAAAUUGUUAUGCCGAAAUCGGGCAUCGGUUGUAACAUGGGUGAUAGAUUUUGCAGUUGUUGCGAUAAAAGCUGUUAUGCGAAAUCGGGCACCGGUUGUAACAUGGGUGAUUGACUUGAAACUUUUUGCAAUAGAAGCUGUUAUGCCAAAACCAGGCAGCGGAUGAAACAUGGGUGAUAGACUUGGAAGUUUUUGCGAUAGAAGCUAAUAUGCCGAAACCGGGCACCGGAUGUAACAUGGGUGAUAGACUUAGCAGUUUUUGCGAUAAAAGUUGUUAUGCCGAAAUCGAGCACCGGAUGUAACAUGGGUGAUAGAGUUGGCAAUUUAUCGGAUGGAAGCUGUUAUGACGAAAUCGGGCAUCGGUUGUAACAUGGGUGAUAGACUUUUUAGUUUUUGCGAUAUAAGCUGUUUUGCCAAAAUCAAGCACCGGAUAUAACAUGCGUGACAGACUUGCAGUUUUUGCGAUAGAAGGUGUGAUGCCGAAAUCAGGUAUCGGUUGUAACAUGGGUGAUAGACUUGACAGUUUUUGGGAUUGAAGCGGUUAUGCCGAAAUCGGGCACUGGUUAUAACAUGGGUGAUUGACUUGGUAGUUUUUGUGAUAUGAGCCGUUAUGCCGAAAUCGGGUAUCGGUUGUAACAUGGGUGAUAGGCUUGGCAGUUUUUAGGAUGGAAUCUAUUAUGCCAAAAUUAGGAACCGAUUGUAACAUGGGUGAUAGACUUGGCAGUUUUCGCGAUAGAAGCUGUUAUGCCGAAAUCGGGCUCCAGUUAUAACAUAGGUGAUAGACGUGGCAGUGUUUGAGAUAGAAGCUGUUAUGCUGAAAUCGGGCAACGGAUGUAACAUUAGUGAUAGACUUUGAUGUUUUUGGGAUGGAAGCCGUUAUGCCGAAAUCGGACACCGGUUGUAACACUAGUGAUAGAUUUGGCAGUUUUUGCGAUAAAAGCUGUUAUGCCGAAAUCCAACACCGGAUGUAACAUGGGUGAUAGACUUGGAAGUUUUUUUGUUAUAAAAGCUGUUAUGCCUAAAUCGGGCACCGGAUGUACCAUGGGUGAUAUAAUUGGCAGUUUUUGGAAUAGUUGUUAUGCCGAAAUCGGGCACCAAAUGUAACAUGGGUGAUAAAGUUGGCAGUUUUUGCUAUAGAAGCUGUUAUGCCCAAAUCGGGCACCAAUUGUAACAUGGGUCAUAAACUUGGCAGUUUUUGGGAUGAAAGUUGUUAUGCCAAAAUCGGACAACGGUUGUAACGUGGGUGAUAGACUUUGGAAUUUUUGCGAAGGAAGGUGUUUUGCCGAAAUCGGGCACCAGUUGUAACAUGGGUGGUGGACUUGGCAGAUUUUGGCAGGGACGUUGUUAUGCUGAAAUCGAGCACCGAUUGUAACAUGGGUGAUAGACUUGGCAGAUUUUGCGACAAAACUUGUUAUAUCGAAAUCGGGCACCGAUUGUAACAUGAAUGCUAAACUUGGGGGUUUUUGGGGUGGAAGCUGUUAUGCCGAAUUCAGGCACCGAUUGUAACAUGGGUAAACGACUUGGCAGUUUUUGCGAUACAAGCCGUUAUGCCAAAAUCGGGCACCGGUCAUAACAUAAGUGAUAGACUUGUCAGUUUUUGUGAGGGAAGCUGUUAUGCCGAUAUCAGGCACCGGUUGUAACAUGGGUGAUAGGCUUGGCAGAUUUUGCGACGGAAGCUAUUAUGCCGAAAUCGGGUACCGACUUUAACAUGGGUGAUAGAAUUUGCAGUUUUUGCGACGGAAUUGGUUUUGCCGAUAUCGGGCAUCAUGGGUAGCAUGGGUGAUAGAGUGGGCAAUUUUUGGCAUUGCAGCUGCUGUGCCGAAAUCGAGUACCGGUUGUAACAUGGGUGAUAGACUUGGUAGUUUUUGCGAUAGAAGCUGUUAGGCCGAAAUCGGGCACCGGAUGUAACGUGGGUAAUAGACUUGGCAGUUUUCGGGAUGGAAACUGUUAUGCCGAUAUCGGGCAUAGGUUGUAACAUGGGUGAUAGAAUUGACAGUUUUUGCGAUAGAAGCUGUUAUACCGAAUUCUGGCACCGGUUGUAACAUGGGUGACAGACUUGGCAGUCAUUGUGAUAGAAGCCGUUAUGCUGCAAUCGGGCACCGACUGUAACAUAUGUGGUAGACUUGUCAGUUUUUGUGGGGAAGCUGUUACGCCAAAAUCUGGUACCGGUUGUAACAUGGGUUAUAGACUUGACAGAUACUGCGACGGAAGCUGUUAUGCUAAAAUUGGGCACCGGCUGUAACAUGAGUGAUAGACUUGGCAGUUUUUGCAAUGAAACUGGUUUUGUCGAUAUCAGGCAUCGGGGGUAGCAUGGCUGAUAGACUUAGUAGUUUUUGGGAUGGAAGUUGUUAUACCGAAAUCGGGUACCGGUUGUAUCAUGGGUGAUAGACUUGACAGUUUUUGCGAUAGAUGCUGUUAUGCUGAAAUCGGGCACCGGUUGUAACAUAGGUCAUGAACUUGGCAGUUUUUGGGAUGAAAGCUGUUAUGCCGAAAUCGGGCAGCAGUUGUAACAUGGGUGAUAGACUUGGCAGUUUUUGCGAACGAAGGUGUUAUGCCCAAAUCGGGCACCGGUUGUAACAUGGCUAAUAGAUUUGAGAGAUUUUAUGAAGAAAACUGUUACGCCGAAAUCGGGCACCGAUUGAAACAUGCGUAUUGACUUGGCAGUUUUUGCGAUAGAAGCUGUUAUGCCGAAAUCGAGCACCUGUUGUAACAUGGGUGAUGGACUUGGCAGAUUUUGGCAAGGAAGUUGUUAUGCUAAAAUCGGACACAGGUUGCAACAUGGGUGAUAGACUUGGCACAUUUUGCGAUGAAAGUUGUUAUGUCGAAAUCGGGCACCGAUUGUAACAUGAGCGAUAGACUUAGGGGUUUUUGGGACAGAAGCUGUUAUGCCGAAUUCCGGCACAGGUUGUAACAUGGGUGAUAGACUUGGUUGUUUUUGCGAUAGAAGCUAUUAUGCCAAAGUCGGGCACCGGUUGUAACAUGGGUAAUAGGCUUGGCAGAUUUUGCGACGAAAGCUGUUAUGCCAAAAUCGGGCACCGGCUAUUACAUGAGUGAUAGACAUGGCAGAUUUUGGCAGGGACAUUGUUAUGCUGAAAUCGAGCACCGGUUGUAACCUGGGUGAUAGACUUGGCAGAUUUUUCGAUGAAAGUUGUUAUGACGAAAUCGGACACCGAUUGUAACAUGAGUGAUAGACUUAGGGGUUUUUGGGACAGAAGCUGUUAUACCGAAUUCCGGCACCGGUUGUAACAUGGGUGAUAGACUAGCAAGGAAGCUGUUAUACUAAAAUCGGGCACAGGUUGUAACAUGGGUGAUAGACUUGGCAGAUUUUGCGACGAAACCUGUUAUGCGGAAAUCGGGCACCGAUUGUAACAUGAGUGACAGACUUAAGGAUUUUUGGGAUGGAAGCUGUUAUGCCGAAUUUCGGCACCGGUUGUAACAUGGGUGAUAAACUUGGCAAUUUUUGCAAUAGAAGCUGUUAUGCCAAAGUCGGGCACAGGUUGUAACAUGAGUAAUAAUCUUGGCAGAUUUUGCGACAGAAGUUGUUAUGCCGAAAUCGGGCACCGGCUAUAACAUGGGUGAUAGACUUGGCAGUUUUUGCGAAGGAAGGUGUUAUGCCGAAAUCGGGUACCAGUUGUGACAUGGGUGAUGGAUUUGGCAGAUUUUGGCAGGGACGUUGUUAUGCUGAAAUCGAGCACCGGUUGUAACCUGGGUGAUAGACUUGGCAGAUUUUUCGACGAAAGCUGUUAUGCCGAAAUCGGGCACCGAUUGUAAUAUGAGUCGACUUAGGGGUUUUUGGGACAGAAGUUGUUAUACCGAAUUCCGGCACAGGUUGUAACAUAAGUGAUAGACUGACAAGGAAGCUGUUAUGCUAAAAUCGGACACAGGUUGUAACAUGGGUGAUAGACUUGGCAGAUUUUGCGACGAAAGUUGUUAUGCCGAUAUCGGGCACCGAUUGUAACAUGAGUGACAGACUUAAGGGUUUUUGGGACGGAAGCCGUUAUGUCAAAUUUUGGCACCGGUUGUAACAUGGGUGAUAAUCUUGGCAGAUUUUGCGACAGAAGCUGUUAUGCCGAAAUCGGGCACCGGCUAUAACAUGGGUGAUAGACUUGACAGUUUUUGCAAAGGAAGGUGUUAUGCCGAAAUCGGACACCAGAUAUGACAUGGGUGAUGGACUUGGCAGAUUUUGGCAGGGACGUUGUUAGGCUGAAAUCGAGCACCGGUUGUAACCUGGGUGAUAGACUUGGCAGAUUUUUCGACGAAAACUGUUAUGCCGAAAUCGGGCACCGAUUGUAACAUGAGUGAUAGACUUAGGGGUUUUUGGGACAGAAGUUGUUAUACCGAAUUCCGGCACCGGUUGUAACAUGGGUGAUAGACGGGCAAGGAAGCUGUUAUGCUAAAAUCGGACACAGGUUGUAACAUGGGUGAUAGACUUGGCAGAUUUUGCGACGAAAGUUGUUAUGCCGAAAUCGGGCACCAAUUGUAACAUGAGUGACAGACUUAAGGGUUUUUGGGACGAAAGCUGUUAUGCCGAAUUUCGGCACCGGUUGUAACAUGGGUGAUAAACUUGGCAGUUUUUGCGAUAGAAGCUGUUAUGCCAAAGUCGGGCACCGAUUGUAACAUGAGUAAUAAUCUUGGCAGAUUUUGCGACAGAAGCUGUUAUGCCGAAAUCGGGCACCGGCUAUAACAUGGGUGAUAGACUUGGCAGUUUUUGCGAAGGAAGGUGUUAUGCCGAAAUCGGGCACCAGUUGUGACAUGGGUGAUGGACUUGGCAGAUUUUGGCAGGGACGUUGUUAUGCUGAAAUCGAGCACCGGUUGUAACCUGGGUGAUAGACUUGACAGAUUUUUCGACAAAAGCUGUUAUGCCGAAAUCGGGCACCGAUUCUAACAUGAGUGAUAGACUUAGGGGUUUUUGGGACAGAAGCUGUUAUACCGAAUUCUGGCACCGAUUGUAACAUGGUUGAUAGACUUGGCAGUUUUUGCGAUAGAAGCAGUUAUGCCGAAAUCGGGCACCGAUUGUAACAUGGGUGAUAGGCUUGGCAGAUUUUGUGACAGAAGCUGUUAUGCCGAAAUUGGGCACCGGCUGUAACAUGGGUGAUAGAAUUGGCAGUUUUUGUGACGGAAUAGGUUUUGCCGAUAUCGGGCAUCGGGGGUAGCAUGUGUGAUAGACUUGGCAGUUUUUGGGAUGGAAGCUGUUAUGCCGAAAUCGGGUACCGGUUGUAACAUGGGUGAUAGACUUGACAGUUUUUGCGAUAGAAGCUGUUAUGCCGAAAUCGAGCACCAGUUGUAACAUAGGUCAUAAACUUGGUCAUUUUUGGGAUGAUAGCUGUUAUGCCGAAAUCGGGCAGCGGUUGUAACAUAGGUGAUAGACUUGGCAGUUUUUGCAAAGGAAGGUGUUAUGCUGAAAUCGGGCACCAGUUGUAACAUGGAUGUUGGACUUGGCAGAUUUUGGCAGGGACGUUGUUGUGCUGAAGUCGAGCACCGGUUAUAACAUGAGUGAUAAAUUUGGCAGAUUUUGCAACGAAACUUGUUAUGCCGAAAUCGGGCAUCGAUUGUAACUUAGAUGAUAGACUUGGGGGUUUUUGGGGUGGAAGCCGUUAUGCCGAAUUAUGGCACCAGUUGUAACAUGGGUGACAGACUUGGCAGUUUUUGCGAUAGUAGCCGUUAUGUCGAAAUCGGGCACCGGUUGUAACAUAUGUGAUAGACUUGUUAGUUUUUGCGAGGAAGCUGUUAUACCAAAAUCGGACACCGGCUGUAACAAGGGUGAUAGACUUGGCAGUUUUUGCAAUAGAAGCUGUUAUGCCGAAAUCGGGCACCGGAUGCAACAUUAGUGAUAAACUUUGAUGUUUUUGGGAUGGAAGUUGUUAUGCCGAAAUCGGACACCAAAUGUAACAUGAGUGAUAGACUUAGAAGUUUUUUUGUUAUAAAAGCUGUUAUGCUGAAAUCUGGCACCGAUUGUAACUUGUGUGAUAGACUUGGCAGUUUUUGCAAUGGAAGUGGUUAUGCCGAUAUCGGGCAUCAUGGGUAGCAUGGGUGAUAGACUUGGCAGUUUUUGCGAGGAAAAGUGUUAUGCCGAAAUCGGACACCGGUUGUAACAUGGGAGAUAGACUUGGCAGUUUUUCCGACGGAAGAUAUUCUGCCAAAAUCGGGCGCCGGUUGUAGAAUGGGUGAUAGACUUGACAGUUUUUGCGAUAGAAGCUGUUAUGCCGAUAUCGGGCAUUGAGGGUAGUAUGGGUGAUAGACUUGGCAGUUUCUGAGACAGAACCCGUUACGCUGAAAUCGGGCACCGGUUGUAACAUAGGUGAUAGACUUGGCAGAUUUUGUGAUGAAAGUUGUUAUGCUGAAAUCGGGCACCGGUUGUAGUAUGGGUCAUAGACUUGGCAGUUUCUGCGACGAAAGCUGUUAUGCCGAAAUUGGGCACUGGUUGUAGCAUGGGUGAUAAACUUGUUAGUUUUCGCAACAGAAUCUGUUAUGUCGAUAUCGAGCACCGGUUAUAACAUGGGUGAUAGACUCGGUAAUUUUUGCGACGGUAGCUGUUAAGCCAAAAUCUGGCACCAAUUCUAAUAUGGAUUAUAGAUUUGGGAGUUUUUUGUGACGGAAGCUAUUAUGCCGAAAUCGGACACCAGUUGGAACAUGAGUGAUAUACUUGAUAGUUUUUGCAAUAACAAUUAUUUUGUCGAAAUCGAAUACCGGUUGUAACAUAGGUGAUAGACUAAACAGUUUAUGGAAAAAAAACUAUUAUGCCGAAAUCGAACGCCAGUUGUAACAUGAGUGAUAAAGUUAAACUUUUUACGACAGAAACUAGUAAUUAUGUUUCUGUGAUGGCGUAACCUAAGUUUGGAAAAUGGGAUAAUGAAUUUGUGGGAGGUGGCUUCGCAGUUAAGUAAAGGCCUUGAAUUUGCCAUUGUCGUUGCUCAAUUUGUUGGCUUUGCUAUGCUCAAUCUAUAUUUCAUUUUAUUUUAAGUGUGGAUGAACAAAUCAUGAUCGUUGAGAGGAAGGGAUUCUGAUAAUGUGUUUUUGCAAUCUAAAUUCAAAAUUACUAUCAAAUCAUUAUAAAUUUACAAAUUUCACAACAAAUAUCAUAAUCGAAUUCAACAAGAGAAAAAAUUGCUAAAAGUAAAUAUGAACACUUCUUAAAGAUAACUCUUCUUCACUUGUUUUUACUUUUCUUUUUUCCACACAAUGUGCAUUGUUUUCUUUUUUUUCUUUUUCUACAAUGACCGGCAGAGAUCGCAUGUUUACAAUUUCGGAGUUGGGAUUGCUUACCCAAACAAGACCUGCACAGACAAAAGGAGUUAUUGAGAGAAAUUUUGGAUUUUAAAAAUUCUCUCAUUCUUUGCUUAUUUUUAAAUAAUAAGAGAAUGAAAUGACUAUUUUGUGAAUGGAGAUAAAAGAUAAAAAUAUUUUAAUAGAUCUAUAAAAAUGUAAGAAUUGAUUUGUUAAUAAUGACAAUACUCAGAAACUAAAUAGUAAAUCUCCCAAAAAAUAAAGAGGUUGAAAUUACGAAGAAAAUCAAUGAAACCAAAUUUACCACCAUCCCAUCAAAAUAUGUUAAUAAGUGUACAACUCCUAGAAAACUUCAGAAUUGGAACAGGUUUUCAGGCGUAGUUGCACUUUCUUUCAUCUAAAAUUCAAGAGCUUUAAAAUUUAAGGAGUAGGUUUUUUUUUCCCAAUUGGAAUGUGGACAAUAAACCUAAAUUUAAAUAAUCAAAUAAAUAAAGAAUAGUACCUGACCAAGAAUGGCCCUUCAUCACUGUCAGAUGUAAAAUUCUUGAGUUCACAUUUCCUCUCGAAACGAACUGUUCAUGUCCCACAGAAUUCCAUCAAGUCCAGCAAAUAAAAAAUUUGAGGCAAUUGCCGUCUUACAUGUUGGGUUUCGGUCGAAGCAUUGAAGGCGGCAGAGCUGCUGGAACUCAACUUUUUUUCCCAAAUAAUCUCAUCUUCUUUCCUUAUCUAUCACAUGCAAAAAAGAAAAGAAAGAAAAAAAUUUUAGUAACAAGAAGUCGACUAGCUAAUGAUUCUUCCGGGUUUCUCCUAGCAGCAAAUAUAAACACGUCAUACCUAAACGAACACUUUAAUAUCUAACACUAAACACUUAAGCACAUACUUUAACAAUUAACACUUAAAACACUUUAAAAACACUUUAAAAAACAGUUUAACAAAAAUUAACACUUAAACAUGACACAUAAACUUUACACUUUACACUUAAAAAACACUUAACAAGCACUGAACAAAUACUUAAAAAACACUUUAACAAACACUUUACAAACACUUAACAAACACUACAACUUAAACAUCACACUUCGCACUUGAACACUUAACACUGUAACACUAACACCUUAACACCUAACUACACAAACACAUAAACACUUCACACUUCACAAACAAUUACACUUAACAAGCACUUAAUUAACACUUGCAAAACACUUCUCAAACAUUAACACUUAAACAUCACACUUCACAGCACUUCACACAUAAAAAAACACUUUAACACUUAACACUUAAAACACACACUUUAAUACUUAACACUUCAAUACCAUCUAAAUACAUAAACACCCCAAAACACCAACACUAAUUGAUUUCAAAUCUACUAUUCUUAGAGAACUCACAUUUAUAUUAUAAUAUAGAAAAGAGGUUUAUGCAAGCAUAUAAUUUGUAUGAAUAAAAUUACAUUUCAAAAACAUGUUUAAACGCAAAACAAAAUUUAAAAAUUAAAAAAAUCAUUUUCAUGCCCCACUUUAAUAAUAUAUAGAAGUAAAAAACUCUAUUACUUCAAUAAGAAUUAGAAAGCACCGUCAAGUUUUGGCUUUCUCUUCAUCUACUACCAAUAUAUUGUUGUGCAGUGGCAACUGUGCUUCUUCCACCCGCAGGAAGGCAUAGGAAUCAUGAAAAAACUACAUAAUAAGACUCAAAAAUAAAAUAAUCUACCAAUGCAAUUUCUAAAAGAGUAUUUGUAUCCCAACCACAUUUAAAACAGGUACAAGGCAGACAUGCGUCAAGCAAAAAUUAGUAGGUCCUCAAAUAAAAGAUUGAUUUAUGAGAUGAAAAAGAUCAACUGCAAAAAUAAGCUAGAGCACUCAAAUUGUACAAUCAUAUGAAUUUAUAAAUCCAUAGGCUCUUACCAACUCAAUAUGAGAAUUGCCCUAGAACCUCGAUAAAUGGCAUAGUUGCUGAUAGGUAAGGCUAUUGCAAGCCACAGUUGCUGAUGGGUUCAACAGUAGAUAAAUAUCUGGACAAAUUCAUAUAAUCUCCCCUUCUUUCCUUGUGUAUAACAUGCAAAAAGAAAAAAAAUUAUUAACAAGAAGCCAGCUAGCUGAUGAUUCUUUCUAGUUUCUCCUAGCAGGAGACACAAAUUCAAAAGAGAUGUGAAAUUUAAUCUUACCUGAUAAAUUUUUUCCAGCAGUGAUAUCAUUGUCUCUUCUCAACUUGAUAUCCAGAAAAUUCAUAAUUUCCAAUGUCCAAGUUCACCUUUCAAAUAACAAAAAAAAUAUCAUUUUCUUCCCAACUUUGUAAGGUGUGCUGCUUUCUAAACAAUAAUCAACAGAGAUGGUUAAAAAAAUGGUAGUUGAAAAUUACUCUAUUUUUAGGAAUUAUAAAAAAAGAAAAUCAGAAAGUACCACAUCUACAGAGUAAAAUAAAAAAUGCACAUGGAAAAUAAUGAAUUGCAAACAUGAAAAAAUAAUUAUGAUCACAAAUUGCAAAAUCCACCUUUUGUAUACGGAUUUCUGUAUAAUAUCAACAUAAAAAAUAACAUUUACUUUUUUUUUUCUUUUUCUUAAAAGAGUAAGAAGGAAGAGGAAGAGACCUAUUUGGAUGAAUGUAACAGGAUGAUCGCAGACCUUAAGAAUCAACUACUAACCACCAACCCUUAACCCUAACCGUAACCCCACACUAACCCUAACACUUCAUAAACACUUAAUAAUCACUUCAAAAACACUAACACUUAAACAAACAAACAUCACAUGUAAACUUCACACUUAAGUGUUUGUACAAACAAUUAACAAACACUUAACAAGCACUUAAUAAACACUAACACUUAAACAUCACACUUUCACUCUUCACACUUAACAAGCACUUAACACACAAACACACUCACACACUUCACACGUAAUAAAAACGAAUACUUAAACAUCACAUUUCACACUUUUACACUUAAACGCUUAACACCUAAACACACAAACACAUUUACUCACUUCAAUAAACACUUAACAAAACACUUCACAAAAACUUAACAAAUAGUAACACUUAACAAGCAGUAACACUUCAACAAACACUUAACAAAACACUUCGAAAACACUUCACAAAGACUUAACAAAUACUAACAUUUAACAAGCAGUAACACUUAAACAAACACUUCAACAUUUAAACACACAAUUUAAUGCUUAACACCUUAACACACAAACACUUAAACACAAAAACACUUCACAAUUCACACUUUACAAUUCACACUUCACACUUAAACAAACACUUAAACGAACACUUUAACAUUUAACACUUAAGCACACACUUUAACGCUUAAUACUUAAAACACUUCAAUAAACUUAACACAUUAAAAACACUUAAAAAAACACUCUAACAAAAACCAACACUUAAACAUCACACAAACUUCAGACAUCACACUUAAAAAACACUUAACAAGUACAUAACAAAUACUUAAAAAACACUUAACAAACACUAUAACUUAAACAUCACACUUCACACCACACUUCGCACUAACACCUUAACACCUAAAUACAGAAACACACAAACACCUGACACUUCACACUUCAAUAAAUACUUCACAAACAAUUACACUUAACAAGCACUUAACUAACACUUGCAAAACACUUCACAAAAAGUUAACAAACACUAACACUUAAACAAACACUUAAACAUCACACUUCACAUCACUUCACACUUCACACUUAAAAAAACACUUUUAACACUUAACACUUAAACACACACUUUAACUCUGAACACUUCAACACCUUAACACCUUAAGGUUUAAACACCCCAACACACCAACACUAAUUGAUUGCAGAUAUACUGUUCCUAGAGAACUCACAUUUAUAUUAUAAUAUAGAAAAGCGGCUUAUGUAAGUAUAUAAUUUGUAUGAAUAAAAUUACAUUUCAAAAACAUGUUUAAACACAAAACCAAAUUAAAAAAUUUUAAAAAUUUAAAAAAUCAUCUUCCUGCCUCACUUUAAUAAUAAACAGAAAAAAGAAACUCUAUUACUUCAAUAAGAAUUAGAAAGCACCCGUCAAGUUUUGGCUUCCUCUUGAUCUGCUGCGAAUAUAUUGUUGUGUAGUGCCAAAUGUGCUUCUUCAACCUACAUGAAAGCAUAGGAAUCAUGAAAAAGCUGCAUAAUAAGACCCAAAAAAGAAAAUAAUCUUCCAAUGCAACUUCUAAAAGAGUACUUGUACCCGAACCACAUUUAAAACAGGUAUAAGGCAGACAUGAGUCAAGCAAAAGAGUGAUUCAUGAGAAGACAGAUCAACUACAAAAAUAAGCUAGAGCACUCAAAUUGCAUCAUAUGAAUUCAUAAAUACAUAUGCUCUUACCAACUCAAUAUGAGAACUGCCCUAAAACCUCGAUAAAUGGCAUGGACUCAAAAUCUCCUGCAAGAAUGAUAGCUGGUUGUGACAAAAAGUAAACUUUGAAAAUAAAUGUUAAUGUCAUUUAUUAUAAGCGUACUUAUUGCGCCAUCCAAUUCAAUGACACACCUCAGCAGGUCCACACAUGUCUUCCACUAGUAUCAUUGCUAUGCGUUCAAUCCAUUUUUAAAUAGCAUCUACAACAUGAAGAACAACUUACAGGUUGCAACAAUACACAAAGGGGAUGGAUAAGGCUAUUGCAAGCCACAGUGGCUGAUGGGUUCAACAGUCGAGGACAAUUUUUUCAGAUAAUCUUUCCUUCUUUCCUUAUCUAUAACAUCCAAAAAGAAAAAAAAAAUAACAAGUAAGCUAGCUGAUGAUUCUUUAUGGUUUCUCCUAACAGCAGACACAAAAAUAAUUAAAAGAGAUGUGAAAGUUAACCUUACCUAAUUUACCAGUAGUGAUAUCAUUGGACGAUCCUUUGGAACAGCUCUUUGAAUUUAAAGGAAGAAGGCAAAGUAGCCUAUUUAGUAAGUGCAGACUGGAAGUGGUGUUCUCCUGUUUUGGCUCUUUAAUCAGUCAUUUAUAAAUAUCCAGAAAAUUUAUAAUUUCUAAUGUCCAAAUUCACCUUUCAAACAACAAAAAAAUGUCAUUUUCUUCUCAAUUUUAUAAGUUGUGAUACUUUCUAAAUAAUAAUCAAUAGAGAUGGUAAAAAAAAUGGUAGUUAAAAAUUACUCGGUUAUUAGAAAUUAUAAAAAAAAGGAUAGAAAGUCCCGCAUCUAUAGAAUAAAAUAAAAAAAAUCGCAUGGAAAAAAAAUGAAUUGCAAACAUGAAAAAAUAAUUAUGAUCAUAAAUUGCAAAAUCCACCUUUUGUAUAUGGAUUUCUUUAUAAUAUUACUAUAAAAAAUAAUUUUUUUUUUCUUAAAAGACGAAAAAGGAAGGAAGAGGAAGAGACCUAAGUAACACGAAGACCAGGCCUUAAGAAUCAACUACUAACCACUAGCCACUAACUCCUAACCCUAACUGUAACCCAACACUAACCCGAAUAUUUCAUACACACUUAACAAACACUUCAAAAACACUUUAACAAACACUAACACUUAAACAAACAUUUAAACAUCACAAGUAAACUUCACACUUAAGUAUAUGAAUAAACACUUCGCAAAACACUUCGCAAACACUUCACAAACACGCAAAAAACAGCUAACAAAUACUUUAAGAAACACUUCACAAAUGCUUAACAAACACUAACAUUUAAACAUCACACUUCACACUUCACACUUCACACUUAAACACCUUACACCUUAACACACAAACACACUCACACACACACUUCACACUUAACGAACACUAACACUUAAACAUUACACUUCACACUUAAACACUUGACACCUUAACACCCAAACACCUAAACACACAAACACACUUUCACACUUCAACAAGCACUUAAUAAAACACUUAAACACUUCAAACAUGCUUCACAAGGACUUAACAAAUACUAAUACUUAACAAGCAGGAACACUUAAACAAACACUUAAAACACGACUCUUCACGCUUAACACCUAAACAAUCAAACACAAAAACAUUUAAACACUUCAACACUUCACACAUCAAACCAAUUCACACUUUACACCUCACACCACACACUUCACACUUAAAAACAAACACUUUAACACUUUAAACACUUCAACACUUCACACAUCAAACCAAUUCACACUUCACACCACUUUACACCUCAUACCACACACUUCACACUUAAAAAUAAACACUUUAACACUUCACACUUAAACAAACACUUUAGCAUUUAACACCUUAACACAAACACACAAACACUACAACUUAAACAUCACACUUCGAAUUUCACACAUAAACAAUUAACACCUUAACACUAACACCUUAAGACCUAAACACACAAACGUGCAAACACUUCACACUUCAAUAAACACUUCACAAACAAUUAUAUUUAACAAGCACUUAACUAACAUUAACAAAAUACUUCACAAACAGUUAAAACACUAACACUUAAACAUCACACUUCACACUUGAAAAAAUGCUUUAACACUUGAGACUUAAGCACACAUUUUAACACUUCACAUGAAACACUUAAACACUUAACACUUCAACUCCUUAACAUCCAAACACCCCAACACCAACACUAAUUGAUUUUAGAUGUACUAUUCCUAGAAAACUCACAUUUAUAUUAUAUUAUAGAAAAGAUAUUUUUCCAAGUAUAUAAUUUGUAUGAAUAAAAUCAUAUUUCAAAAACAAGUUUAAAUGCAAAACAAAUUUAAAAAUUAAAAAAAAAAUCAUCAUCCUGCCCCACUCUACUAAUAUAUAGAAGUAAGAAACUCUAUUAUUUCAAUAAAAAUUAGAAAGAACCUAUCAAGUUUUGGCUUCCUUUUCAUCUAGUGCCAAUAUAUUGUUGUCUAGUGCCAACUAUGCUUCUUCUACCUGCAUCAAGAUAUAGGAAUCAUGAAAAACCUACAUAACUUAACGCACACAAAAAAUAAUCUUCCAAUGCAACUACUAAAAGAGUACAUGUACCCCAACCACAUUUAAAAUAGGUACAAGGUAGACAUGAGCCAAGCAAAAGUCAGUAGGUCGUCAAACAAAAGAGUGAUUUAUGAGAAGAUAGAGAUCAACUACAAAAAUAAGCUAGAGCACUCAAAUUGCAUCAUCAUAUGAGUUUAUAAAUCCAUACGCUCUUACCAACUCAAUAUGAGAAUUGCCCUAGAACCUCGAUAAAUGACAUGGACUCAAAAUCUCCUGCAAGCAUGAAAGCUGGUUGUAACAAACAGAAAAUUUUGAAAAUAGAUGUUACUGUAUUGUAAGUGUAAGUGUACCUAUAGUGCCAUCCAAUUCAAUGACACACACAUCAGCAGGUCUAGACAUGCCUUCAACUGGUAUCAUUGCUACGCGUUCAAUCUGUUUAUGAAUAACAUCUAUAACAUGAGGAACAACCUACAGGUUGCAACAAUACACAAAGGUGGUGGAUAAGGCAAUACGCAAGCUACAGUGGCUGAUGGGUUCAACAUUAGAUAAAAACAUGGACAGUUUUUUCAGAUAAUCUCUCCUUCUUUCCUUAUCUAUAAUAUGAAAAAAGAAAAGAAAAUUAUUAACAAGAAGUUAGCUAGCUAAUGAUUCUAUCUAGUUUCUCCUAGCAGCAGAUACAAAAAUAAUCAAAAGAGAUGUGCAAGGUAACCUAACCCAGUAAAUUUUUCCAGCAAUUAUAUUAUUCUCUCUUCUCAACUUGAUAUCUAGAAAAUUCAUAAGUUCCAAUAUCCAAGUUCACCUUUCAAACAACAAAAAAAGAAGUCAUUUUCUUCCCAACCUUUUAAACUGUGAUACUUUCUAAACAAUAAUCAAUAGAGAUGAUAAAAGAAAUGAUAAUUGAAAAUUACUCAGUUUUUAGAAAUUAUAUAAAAAGGAAAUAAGAAACUUUCACAUCUACAAAAUAAAAUCAAAAAAGCAUGUAAAAGAAAAUGAAUUCCAAACAGGAAAAAGUUAAUUAUGAUUAUAAAUUGCAAAAUUCACCUUUUGUAUAUGGAUUUCUCCAUAAUAUGAACAAAAAAAACAAUAUUUUCUUUUUCCUUUUACCUAAGAGAGGAGGAAGGAAAGAAGAGGAAGAGACCUAUCUGAUGAAAGUAACAUGAAUACUAAAAAUCAACUACUAACUACUAACCACAGACUCGUAACCCUAACCCUAGCCUUAACCCUAUACUAACCCUAACACUUCACAAACACUUAACAAACACUUCAAAAAUACUUAACAAACAAUAAACACUUGAACAUCACACGUAAACUUCACAAUCAAGUGUUUGUACAAAUACUUAAAAAACAGUUAACAAAUACUUUAACAAACACUUCACAAACACUUAACAAACACUAACAUUUAAGCAUCACACUUCACACUUAAACACUAAACAUCUUAACACACAAACAUACUCACACGUUUCAAACUUAACAAACAUUAACACUUAAACAUUACACUUCAUACUUUCAUACUUAAACAAUUAAACAUUUAACACUUAAACACACAAAAAAACUUAUACACUUGUACACUUCAACAAACACUUAUACGUAACAAAAACUUAACAAAACACUUCAAAAAUACUGCACAAAGACUUAACAAAUACUAACACUUAACAAACAGUAACACUUAAAUAUCACACUUCACACUUAAACACCUAAACACACAAACACUUUAACACUUAAAUAUCACACAUCACACUUAACACCUAAACACACAAACACUUUAACAGUACACACUUCAAACCACUUCACACUACACACUUCACACUUAAACAAACAUUUUAACACUUCACGCUUAAAUAAACACUUUAACUUUUAACACCUUAACACAAACACUACCAUUUACCAAACACUACAACUUAAACAUCACUUCACACAUAAGUACAUAACACCUUAACAGCUAAAUACACUUAAAAAAAACGUAACAAAUACUUCACAAACACUUAAUAAACUAACACCUAAGCAUCACACUUCACACUUUCACACUUAAACACUCAACACCCUAACACACAAAUACACUCACACACUUCACACUUAAGAAACACUAACACUUAAACAUCACAUUUCACACUGCACGCUUUCACACAUAAACACUUAAACACCUAAACACUUAACACCUUAACACCUAACUUCACAUGCUUCACACGCUUCACACACCUGACACUCCACACUUCACACUUAAGAAACACUAACACUUAAACAUCACACUUCACACUGCACAUUUUUACACGUAAACACCUAAACACUUAACACCUUAACACAUAAACACCUAACAUAACACUUCACACACUUCACAAACUUCACACUCUUCACACUUCACACACUUCACACUCUCCACAACACCUAAACACCUAACAUAACACUUCACACACUUCACACUCUUCACAACACCUAACUUCACACUUCACACUCUUCAUACUUCACACUUCACACACUUCACACUACACUUCACACACACGUCAAACGUCACACCUUUCGCACCUCACUUCACACACCUCACACUACACUUCACACACACGUCAAACGUCACACCUUUCGCACCUCACACCUCACACCUCACACCUCACACCUCACACCUCACACCUCACACCUCACACCUCACACUCUUCAUACUCUUCACUACGCCGAACUUCAUACUUCAUACUUCACACACUUCACACUUCACACACUUCACAGACUUAACACUCUUCACACACUUCACACACUUCACACACACUCCACACUUCACACACUUGAACACUUCACACAUUUCACACAGCCCACUUCACACAGCACACUUCACACUUCACACUUUUCACAUACUUCACAACAAGCGCUGAACAAAAUACUUACAAAACAAUUCAAAAACACUUCCCAAGGACUUAACAAACAAUAACACUUAAAUAAACACUUAAAAAGCACACUUCACUCUUUACACCAAAACACCCCAACACACAAAAACUUAACCACUUCACCCUUCAUACUACACACUUCACACUUAAAAACAAAUACUUAAGCAUUUCAUACUUAAAUAAAUACUUUAACAUUUAACAGCUGAACACAAACACACUAACACUUCACACUUAAACACUUAAUAGCUUAACACAAACACCUUAACACCUAAAUACACAAACACACAAACACUUCACAAGUAAAUAAACACUUCACAAACAAUUACACUUAAUUAACACUUACAAAACACUUCACCAACAGUUAACAAACACUAACACUUAAAAAUUACACUUCAUACUUAAAAAAAACACUUUAACACUUUAACACUUUAAGGCUUAAACACACACUUUAACACUUAACACUUAAGCACACACUUUAGCACUUCACACUUAACACAUAAACACACACUUUAACACUUAACACUUCAACACCUUAACACCUAAAUACCUAAACACCCAAACACCCCAACACUAUUUGAUUUUGGAUGUACUAUUCCUAGAGAACUUACAUUUAUAUUAUAAUAUAGAAAAGACACUUAUUCAAGUAUAUAAUUUCUAUGAAUAAAAUUAUAUUUCAAAAACAUGUUUAAAUGCAAAACGAAAUUUAAAAAAUUAAAAAUUACAAAAAACCUUUAUCCUACCCCGCACUCUAAUAUAUAGAAGUAAGAAACUCUAUUACUUCAAUAAGAAUUAGAAAGCACCCAUCAAGUUUUGGCUUCAUCUUCAUCUACUACCAAUAUAUUGUUGUGUAGUGCCAACUGUGCUUCUUCUAUCUGCAAACAAAAGAGUGAUUUAUGAGAAAAUAGAUAUCAACUGCAAAAUAAAGCUAGACCACUCAACUUGCAUCAUCAUAUGAAUUUAUAAAUACAUAUGCUCUUACCAACUCAAUAUGAUAAUUGACCUAGAACCUUGAUAAAUGGCAUGGACUCAAAAUCUCCUGCAAGCAUGAAAGUUGGUCGUAACAAACAGAAAAUUUUGAAAAUAAAUGUUACUGUCAUUUAUUAUAACUGUACCUAGAGUGUCAUCCAAUUCAAUGACACAUAUCUGCAGGUCCAGACAUGCCUUCCACUGGUAUCAUUGUUACGCGUCCAAUCCACUUUUGAAUAGCAUCUAUAACAUGAGGAACAAUCUAUAGGUAGCAACAUUACACAAAGGCUAUUGCAAGCCACGAUAGCUGAUGGGUUUAAUAGUUAUUAAAUAACUGGACAGUUUUUUCAGAUAGUCUCCCCUUCUUUUCUUAUCUAUAACAUGCCAAAAGGGAAAAAAAUUAUUAAAAAGAAAUCAGCUAGCUUAUUAUUCUUUUUGGUUUCUCCUAGCAGCAGACACAAAAAUAAUCAAAAGAGAUGUGCAAGUUAAUCUCACAUGGUAAAUUUUUCCAGUACUGAUAUUAUUGUCUCUUCUCAACUUGAUAUCCAGAAAAUUCAUGAUUUCUGAUGUCCAGGUUCACCUUUAAAACAACAAAAAAAAAGUCAUUUUCUUCCCAACCUUUUAAGUUGUGAUACUUUCUAAAUAAUAAUCAAUAGAAAUGAUAAAAGAAAUGAUAAUUGAAAAUUACUCGAUUUUUAGGAAUUAUAUAAAAAGGAAAUAAGAAACUCCCACAUCUACAAAAUAAAAUAAAAAAAGCAUGUAAAAGAUGUUGACUUAUUUGCUAAUCUUAGCUAAUUCUAGGGAUUUGAUUUGAUCUGAUUAGGAUUCUUAAUUAUGUCUGUAAUUAUUAUUUGAUUAAUUAUUUGCUUCCUAUUUAGAUAUGAUUCUUUGUGUAUAAAUAGUCAUGUAGACCAAUUGUAAAGAUUAAGAGUGAAAUACAAGAAUACUCAAAAUUUUUCCAAAAUUCUUCAUGGUAUCAUAGCCUUUUCCUGAUUUUUUGGGUCCAAAUUUAAUUUUUCUUCUUUAGGGUUUCAAAACCUUAGAUCUACCUUUUUUGGUACUAAUCUAUCUAGGAGCCUCUCAUUCUCUCACCGCCGACACCAGGAGAACCGCCGAACUGCCGCCGGACUGCCGCCGGCCGAUCAACCAGCUCCGAUGUCGGAAAAGCCUAUGCGUGAGGCUCACGCGCCACCCCUUCCCGGCGCGUGACCUGUCACUUCCUAGCGCAUGACCCAUUGUCUGUCACUGCAUCGCCGCUCCGAUCACUCCGGCGACGAUUCCGACCAUCUUUCCGGCCUUCUCGUGCUGUUACUCGGUCUUUUGGUGAAUCAAUUGGGCUUUCUUGUAUGUACAACCUUGGGUACCUCCUAUUCUUUCACGGUUCAUAAAUCUUUACUAUGGCAGAAGGUAAAAGGGUCUCGAUUCCUAAAACUCUGAUAAUCCUUCCUUGCAAAUUAGUCCCAUAAAACUUGAUGGAACCAAUUAUCUUGCUUGGUCAAAGUCUUGUUUGUUGUUCAUAAAUCUUUACUAUGGCAGAAGGUAAAAGGGUCUCGAUUCCUAACUCUGAUAAUCCUUCCUUGCAAAUUAGUCCCAUAAAACUUGAUGGAACCAAUUAUCUUGCUUGGUCAAAGUCUUGUUUGUUGUUUAUCAAGGCUAGAGGACUGCAGGAUUAUGUUACUGGUAAUAAAAAACAACCUGAUGAGAGGGAUCCAGAUUUUCCUCAAUGGGACUCGGAUAAUUGUCUUGUUAUGACAUGGUUACUGAACUCUAUGCAACCUCAUAUCUCUAAGUCCUAUUUGUUAAUUGAUACUGCUGCAAAAAUAUGGAAAGCUUUGUCCUUAACUUAUUCCAAGAUUGGGAAUGAUGCCCAAAUUUAUGAUAUUCGGAAUAAGAUUCAUGGUACUAAGCAAGGAGAAAUGACUAUCUCCCAAUUUUAUUCUGAGUUAUGUGGCUUAUAAUAGGAGCUUGAUUACUAUCAAGACUUCUAGGCAUACUGCACUGGAGAUACAGUCAAAUUUCGGAGAAUGAUUGAAAAGAAGCGGGUCUAUGAUUUUCUUGCAGGGUUGAAUAACGAAUAUGAUCCAAUUCGGGUCCAAGUGUUGGGAAGAAAUCCUUUUCCUUCUCUAGAAGAGGCCCACGCCCAUGUUCAACAAGAGGAAAGUCGUCGACAUGUUAUAUACUGCACCAGUUGAAAAGGCUGGGUUGACUACUAGUUUGAGCACACCACAACCUCCUACUAUUGAGAAAGAUCACUUACACUAUGACUAUUGUGGAAAACCGAGGCAUACCAAAGAGACUUGUUGGAAGUUACAUGGUCGUCCCACUAGAGGUCGUGGAGGAAAAUGAGGUACCUCUAGAAAUCAAGCUACUUUAGCAGAAACUGUGGAGGAGCCCUUUAAGGAGACAACAACGACUGAGUUUCUUUCCCCUAAUGAACUUCAAAGUCUCAAGCGCUUCUUGUCUCAUAUUGACACCUCUUCAUCCUCUGAUGCCACAUCUAACUUUGUAAAGUCAGGUAAUGCUUCCUCUUUUAAUAAUGUUCCAUAGAUUAUCGAUUCUGGUGCGAAUAGACAUAUGACAGGCUCUUCUAAAGGCUUUCUCAAUUAUUCUCCUUCUCUAACCAAAGACAGUGUUAGAAUUGUUGAUGGCUCUUUUACUCCCAUAUCCGGAACAGGUUCUGUUAUUUGCACAUCCAACAUUAAAUUAUCAUUUGUCCUUCAUGUUCCCCACUUUCCUGUCAACCUUUUAUCUGUCAGUGUUAUCACCAAUGCUCUUAACUAUAAAAUUGAAUUCUUUCCUGAUCAUUGUGUUAUUCAGGAUCUUCGCACAGGGAAGAGGAUUGGCAAUGGUAGGCUGCAUGAUGGCUUAUACAUGUUGGAGGGUGAUCCGGGUUCUUCGAUAUCUCAAGCCUGUUUUGGAGAAAAUAAGGAUGUCAAUCGGGAAAUAAUACAGUGGCACCGGCGGUUAGGGCAUCCAUCAUUUUUUAUCUUAGAAAAACUUUAUCCUGAUCUGUUUGCUAAAACCCAGUUUGGCUCUUUAUUUUGUGAUGCUUGUGAGUAUGCUAAACACACUAGAACAUCCUAUCCUUUGAGUCAUAAUAAAAGUCAAAUUUCUUUUGACAACUAUUCAUUCUGAUGUUUGGGAGCCUACUCAAACUGUCUCCUUAUCCGGUAAUCGAUGGUUUGUCACCUUUAUUGAUUGUUGUACUCGAAUGACUUGGGUCUAUCUGAUUAAAGCUAAAAGUGAUGUCUUUUCUUGUUUUCAAUAUUUUCAUAAGAUGGUUUGUACUCAAUUUGAUACUAAAGUGAAAAUUUUGAGAACUGAUAAUGGAAGAGAAUACAUGGAUAGUACCUUUUCUGCUUAUUUGGAGUAAUGGGAUAGUACACCAGACUAGUUGUCCUUAUACUAGUGCUCAAAAUGGCGUUGCUGAGAGAAAAAAUAGGCAUCUAUUGGAGGUAGCUCGAUCUCUUAUGUUCACCAUGAAUCUAUCCAAAGCAUAUUGGGGAGAUGCAAUCCUUAUAUCUGCUUACCUUAUAAAUAGAAUGCCUCUCAAGACCCUUGACUUUAUGAGUCCUUUAGCGGUUCUACAAGAGAAGAAUUCAUAUUGUUGAAUCCCACAUCGGUUGUGGAAAGGGGUAAUGUGCCCCUUAUAUGGGCCAUAGGCACUCCUCCCCCUUGAGCUAGCUUUUGGGGUGAGUUAGGCCUGGCCCAAAUUUAACAUGAUAUCAGAGCCUCCCCAUCCGAUGUUGGGCACCCCAUAAAUGUGCCACGCACCGGUAAAAAUUCUGGACGUGAGGGGGUGUGUUGAAUCCCACAUCGGUUGUGGAAAGGGGUAAUGUGCCCCUUAUAUGGGCCAUAGGCACUCCUCCCCCUUGAGCUAGCUUUUGGGGUGAGUUAGGUCUGGCCCAAAUUUAACACAUAUGUUGUUCCACCAAAAGUAUUUGGGUGUGUUUAUUUUGUCCAUACUAGGACGGUAGGGAAAUUGGAUCCCAAGGCCCUCAAAUGUGUGUUUGUUGGGUAUUCUCCGACACAGAAGGGAUAUAGGUGUUAUCACCCUCCCUCUAGAAAAUACUUAGUCAGUAUGGAUGUUACCUUUCGAGAAACUGAACCCUACUUCAAUACCACCCACUCACCUCUUCAGGAGGAGAAUAAUGAGCAAGAAGAGGUGAUCCCGAAUUGUGUGAUUCUGGAUAAUAUGGUUCAACUAGAGAGUUUGAGUUCUAAUCGACGGGGGAGAUGUCCAAUCAGGGAGAAAGAAUUGGUCGUUUGGACAAACCAGAUUUGAGAAGGUAUUCAAGGAGAGACAAGGCAGAAGAAGCCAUUAUGCAGUCUACUCAGAGUUAAGAAUCUUCUUCUGGUGAGUUACCCACAACUCUUGAAUGCUUCAAUGAUUUAGAUAAACCGAUUGCACAAAGAAAACGAGUUAGAUCUCGUACUAAACAUCCUCUUUCUAACUUUGUUUCUUAUGAAUCCUUGUCUCCUUCCUAUAGAGCCUUUGCCUUGCCUAUUUCCUCUGUAUCUAUUUCACAGGAUUGGAAGAAAGCUCUUGCAGAACCUAAAUGGAAGGACGCAAUGAUUGAAGAGAGGAAAGCAUUGGCUAAAAAUGAAACCUAGGAGCUUGUCACUCUUCUACCUGGAAAGAAACUCGUUGGCUGUAAGUGGGUGUUCACAGUGAAAUACAAAGCUGAUGGUACAAUCGAAUGAUUUAAGGCCAGAUUGGUUGCUAAAGAUUUCACCCAAACCUAUGGAGUGGAUUAUCAAGAGACAUUUACCCCAGUUGCAAAAAUAAAUUCAAUCAGAAUUCUAUUAUCUUGCGCGGCCAACUUGGACUGGGACUUACAACAGUUUGAUGUGAAGAAUGCUUUCCUCCAUGGAGAUUUAGAGGAAGAAGUAUUCAUGGAAAUUCCUCUUGGGUUCGCUGAUGAGAAGACACAAGGAAAGGUGUGCAAGUUAAAAAAAGCUUUGUAUGGGCUAAAACAAUCUCCCAGAGCUUGGUUUGACAGGUUUAGUGGAGCCAUGAUGUCUUUUGGUUACCAACAAAGCAAUGUUGAUCACACUUUGUUUAUCAAACAUCAUAAGGGUAAGAUCACCCUUCUUAAUGUGUAUGUUGAUGAUAUAGUGUUGACAGGUGAUGACAAAGAGGAAAUGGCUCAACUAAAGAGGUUGUUGGCUCAGGAAUUUGAAAUCAAAGAUCUGGGAAAACUGCAAUAUUUUCUAGGUAUUGAGAUGGCUAGAUCAGAAAAAGGAAUUUUCAUCUCCCAAAGAAAGUACAUUAUGGAUCCUUUGGAAGAAACUGGUAUGAUGGGGUGUAAACCAGCAGAAUCUCCAAUUGAAAGUAAUCACAAGCUGAAAGCAAGAACUGGCGAGUCCGUGGAUAUUGGAAGAUAUCAGAGAUUGGUAGGAAGGUUGAUUUAUCUCUCACAUACUCGACCGGAUAUAGCCUAUGUUGUUAGCUUAGUCAGCCAAUUCAUGCAUGACCCUCGCGAGACUCAUAUGCAAGCUGUACUUCGCAUCUUGAGAUACCUAAAGUCUACGCCAGGGAAAGUGUUUUUUUACUCCAAACAUGGUCACCUCCGAAUUGAAACUUUUACAGAUGCAGAUUGGGCAGGAUCUCUCGAUGACAGGAGAUCCACAUCUGCCUACUGCACAACUAGUGGAGGGAACCUUGUCACUUGGAGGAGUAAAAAACAAAGUGUUGUUGCUCGGUCAAGUGCGGAAGCAGAAUACAAAGCAAUGUCCCAAGGAGUGUGUAAACUCUUAUGGUUGCAGAAGUUAUUGGAAGAGUUGAGAUUGUCCGAGAGAGACAAGAUAACCUUGUAUUGUGACAAUAGAGCUGCUAUAAGUAUAGCACAAAAUCCAGUCCAACAUGACCGAACAAAAUACAUUGAAAUUGAUCGGCACUUCAUUAAAGAAAAAUUAACGGACGGUGUCUUGAGCCUAGUUCAUGUGACUUCUACUGAGCAACUUGCGGAUGUGUUUACUAAAUGGCUUAACAACAAGAUCUACCAUAAUCUGAUUUGCAAGUUGGGCAUGUGUGACAUCUUUGCACCAAUUUGAGGGGGAGUGUUGACUUUUUAGCUAAUCUUAGCUGAUUCUAGGAAUUUGAUUGGAUCUGAUUAGGAUCCUUAAUUAUCUCUGUAAUUAUUAUUUGAUUAAUUAUUUGAUUCUUGUUUAAAUAUGAUUCUUUGUGUAUAAAUAGUCAUCUAGACCAAUUAUAAAGAUUAAGAGUGAAAUUGACAAGAAUACUCAAAAUUUUCUCAAAAUUCUUCAAAAGAAAAUGAAUUUGAAACAGGAAAAAGUUAAUUAUGAUCAUAAAUUGCAAAAUUUACCUUUUGUAUAUGGAUUUCUCCAUAAUAUCAACAAAAAACAAUUUUUUUUCCAUUUACUUAAAAGAGAAGGAAUGAAAGAAGAGGAAGAGACCUAUCUGAUGAAAAUAACACGAAUACUAAAAAUCAACUACUAACCACUAACCACAAACUCUUAACCCUAACCCUAACCUUAACCCUAUACUAACCCUAACACUUCACAAAUACUUAACAAACACUUCACAAACACAUAACAAACACUUCACAAACACUUAACAAAAACUUCAAAAACACUUAACAAACAAUAAACACUUGAACAUCAUACGUAAACUUCACACAUAAGUGUUUAUACAAAUACUUAAAAAACAGUUAACAAAUACUUUAACAAACACUUCACAAACACUUAACAAACACUAACAUUUAAGCAUCACACUUCACACUUAAAUACUAAACACCUUAACACACAAACAUACUCACACGCUUCAAACUUAACAAACAUUAACACUUAAACAUUACACUUCAUACUUUCACACUUAAAAAAUUAAACAUUUAACACUUAAACACACAAAUAAACUUACACACUCGUACACUUCAACAAACACUUAUACGUAACAAAAACUUAACAAAACACUUCAAAAAUACUGCACAAGGAUUUAACAAAUACUAACACUUGACAAACAGUAAUACUUAAAUAUCACACUUCACACUUAACACCUAAACACACAAACACUUUAACAGUACACACUUCACACCAUUUCACACUACACACUUCACACUUAAACAAAUAUUUUAACACUUUACGCUUCAAUAAACACUUUAACUUUUAACACCUUAACACUUCACACUUCACACUUCACAAACACUACCAUUCACCAAACACUACAACUUAAACAUCACACUUCACACAUAAGUAUUAACACCUUAACAGCUAAAUACACUUAAAAAAAACGUAACAAAUACUUCACAAACACUUAACAAACUAAUACCUAAGCAUCACACUUCACACCUUCACACUUAAACACCCCAACACACAAACACACUCACACACUUCACACUUAAGAAACACUAACACUUAAACAUCACACUUCACACUGCACGCUUUCACACAUAAACACUUAAACACCUAAACACUUAACACCUUAAGACCUAACUUUACAUACUUCACACGCUUCACACACUUCACACUUAAGAAACAAUAACACUUAAACAUCACACUUCACACUGCACAUUUUCACACGUAAACACCUAAACACCUAACUUAACACUUCACACACUUCACACUUCACACACUUCACAAACUUCACACUCUUCACAUUUCACACACUUCACACUCUUCACAACACCUAACUUCACACUUCACACACUUCACACUUCACACUUCACACUACACUUCACAUACAAUACACACACACUUUAAACUUCACACUCCACACUCUUCGCACUUCGCACUUCGCACUUCGCACUUCGCACUUCGCACUUCGCACUUCGCACUUCGCACUUCGCACUUCGCACUUCGCACUUCGCACUUCGCACUUCGCACUUCGCACUUCGCACUUCACACACUUCACGCUCUUCAUACUCUUCACAACACCUAACUUCAUAUUUCACACACUUCACACACUUUACACACUUUACACUUCACACACAAUUCACACACACUUCACACUUCACACUUCACACUCUUUGCACUUCACAUUUCACACUUCACACUCAUCACACUUGACACUCAUCACACUUGACACUUGACACUUCACACAUUUCACACUUCACACGUCACGCACUUGAACACUUUACACCCAUCACAAUUCACACUUCACACACUUCACACUUCCCCAAUUCCCGCACUUUGCACUUUGUCACACUUUGUCACAAUUCAAAUUUGUCAAACAUUUACACUUCACACAGCACACUUCACAUUUCACACUUUUCACACACUUCACAACAAGUGCUGAACAAAAUACUUACAAAACACUUCAAAAACACAUCUCAAGGACUUAACAAACAAUAACACUUAAAUAAACACUUAAAAAUCACACUUCACUAUUUACACCAAAACACCCAAACACAAACACUUAACCACUUCAAACCACUUCACCCUUCACACUACACACUUCAUACUUUAAAACAAAUACUUAAGCAUUUCAUACUGAAAUAAUUACUUUAACAUUCCACACAUGAACACAAACACACAAACACUUCACACUUGAACACUUAAUAGCUUAAAACAAACACCUUUAACACCUAAACACACAAACACACAAACACUUCACAAGUAAAUAAACACUUCACAAACAAUUACACUUAACUAACACAUAUAAAACACUUCACUAACAGUUAACAAACACUAACACUUAAAAAUUACACUUCACACUUAAAAAAAACACUUUAACACUUUAACGCUUAAACACACACUUUAACACUUAACACUUAAGCACACACUUUAGCACUUCACACUCAACACUUAACCACACACUUUAACACUUUAACGCUUAAACACACACUUUAACACUUAACACUUAAACACACACUUUAGCACUUCACACUCAACACAUAAACACACACUUAAACACUUAACACUUCAACACCUUAACACCUAAAUACCCAAACACCCAAAUACCCCAACACUAAUUGAUUUUAUAUGUACUAUUCCUAGAGAACUUACAUUUACAUUAUAAUAUAGGAAAGAGACUGAUUCAAGUAUAUAAUUUCUAUGAAUAAAAUUAUAUUUCAAAAACAUGUUUAAAUGCAAAACGAAAUUUAAAAAAUUAAAAAUUACAAAAAACCUUUAUCCUACCCCGCACUCUAAUAUAUAGAAGUAAGAAACUCUAUUACUUCAAUAAGAAUUAGAAAGCACCCGUCAAGUUUUGGCUUCAACUUCAUCUACUACCAAUAUAUUGUUGUGUAGUGCCAACUGUGCUUCUUCUAUCUGCAAACAAAAGAGUGAUUUAUGAGAAAAUAGAUAUCAACUGCAAAAUAAAGCUAGACCACUCAACUUGCAUCAUCAUAUGAAUUUAUAAAUACAUAUGCUUUUACCAACUCAAUAUGAUAAUUGACCUAGAACCUUGAUAAAUGGCAUGGACUCAAAAUCUCCUGCAAGCAUGAAAGUUGGUCGUAACAAACAGAAAAUUUUGAAAAUAAAUGUUACUGUCAUUUAUUAUAACUGUACCUAGAGUGUCAUCCAAUUCAAUGACACAUAUCUGCAGGUCCAGGCAUGCCUUCCACUGGUAUCAUUGUUACGCGUCCAAUCCACUUUUGAAUAGCAUCUAUAACGUGAGGAACAAUCUAUAGGUAGCAACAUUACACAAAGGCUAUUGCAAGCCACAAUAGCUGAUGGGUUCAAUAGUUAUUAAAUACCUGGACAGUUUUUUCAGAUAGUCUCCCCUUCUUUUCUUAUCUAUAACAUGCCAAAAGGAAAAAAAAUUAUUAAAAAGAAAUCAGCUAGCUGAUUAUUAUUUUUGAUUUCUCCUAGCAGCAGACACAAAAAUAAUCAAAAAAGAUGUGUAAGUUAAUCUCACCUAGUACAUUUUUUCAGUACUGAUAUUAUUGUCUCUUCUCAACUUGAUAUCCAAAAAAUUCAUAAUUUCUGAUGUCCAGGUUCACCUUUCAAACAACAAAAAAAAGUCAUUUUCUUCCUAACCUUUUAAGCAGUGAUACUUUCUAAACAAUAAUUAAUAGAGAUAAUAAAAGAAAUGAUAAUUAAAAAUUACUCGCCUUUUAGGAAAUAAGAAACUCCCACAUGUACAAAAUAAAAUCAAAAAAGCAUGUAAAAGAAAAUGAAUUCCAAACAGGAAAAAGUUAAUUAUGAUCAUAAAUUAGAAAAUUCACUUUUUGUAUAUGGAUUUCUCGAUAAUAUCAACAAAAAAAGACAAUUUUUUUUUCCUUUUACUUAAGAGUGGAGGAAGGAAGGAAUAGGAAGAGACCUAUUUAAUGAAAAUAACACGAAUACUAAAAAUCAACUACUAACUACUAACCACAAACUUACACACUUGUACACUUCAACAAACACUUGUACGUAACAAAAACUUAACAAAACGCUUCAAAAAUACUGCACAAAGACUUAACAAAUACUAACACUUAACAAACAAUAAAACUUAAAUAUCACAUUUCACACUUAACACCUAAACACACAAACACUUUAACAGUACACACUUCAAACCACUUCACACUACACAUUUCACACUUAAACAAACAUUUUAACACUUCACGCUUAAAUAAACACUAACUUUUAACACCUUAACACAAACACUUCACAUUUCACAAACACUACCAUUUACCAAACACUACAACUUAAACAUUACACUUCACACAUAAGUACUUCACACCCUUAGAGCUUAAUACAGUUAAAAAAAACGUAACAAAUACUUUACAAACACUUAACAAACUAACACCUAAGCAUCACACUUCACACCUUUACACUUUCACACUUAAACACAUAACAACUUAACACACAAAUACACUCACACACUUCACACUUAAGAAACACUAACACUUAAAUAUCAUACUUAACACUGCACGCUUUCACAAAUAAAUACUUAAACACCCAAACACUUAACACCUAACUUCACAUACUUCACACGCCUCACUAUUCACACUUAACAAACAAUAACACUUAAACAUCAUACUUUACACUGCACAUUUUCACACGUAAAUACCUAAACACUUAACACCUUAAUACCUAAACACCUAACUUAACACUUCACACACUUCACAAACUUCACACUCUUCACACUUCACACACUUCACACUCUUCACAACUCCUAACUUCACACUCUUCACACUUCACACAUCACACUUCACACUCUUCGCACUCCGCACUCUUCGCACUCCGCACACUCCGCACUCCGCACUCCGCUCCGCACUCCGCACGCCGCACGCCUUUCUCUCUCCAAAGCACUCUUCACAACACCUAACUUCAUACUUCACACACUUUACACUCUUCACACUCCGCACUCCGCACUCCGCACUCCGCACUCCGCACUCUUCACACUCUUCACAACACCUAACUUCAUACUUCACACACUUUACACUCUUCACACUUCACACUUCACACACAUCACACACACUUCACACUUCACACUUCUCACUCUUUACACUUCACAUUUCACACUUUACACUCGUCACACUUCACAAUUCACAAUUGGCACUUCACACACUCGAACACUUCAUACUCGUCACACUUCACACUUCACACUAUUCACACUUCCCGCACUUUGCACAUUGUCACACUUUGUCACACUUCACAUUUGUCACACACUUCACACUUCACACAUUUCACACACUUCACACUUUACACUUCACACAACACACUUCACACUUUUCACACACUUCACAAUAAGCGCAAAACAAAAUACUUACAAAACACUUCUCAAAGACCUAACAAACAAUAACACUUAAAUAAACACUUAAAAAUCACACUUCACGCUUUACACCAAACCACCCAAACACACAAACACUUAACCACUUCAAACCACUUCACCCUUCAUACUACACACUUCACACUUUAAAACAAAUACUUAAGCAUUUCAUACUUAAAUAAAUACACUAACAUUUAACACCUAAACACAAACACACAAACACUUCACACUUAAACACUUAAUAGCUCACCACAAACACCUAAACACACAAACAAUUACACUUAACAAACAAUUACAAAACACUUCACCAACAGUUAACAAACACUAACACUUAAAAAUUACACAUCACACUUAAAAAAAACACUUUAACACUUUAACACUUAAACACACACUUUAACACUUAACACCUAAGCACACACUUUAGCACUUCACACUCAACACAUAAACACACACUUUAACACUUAACGCUUCAAUACCUAAACACCUAAAUACCUAAACACCCAAACACCUCAACACUAAUUGAUUUUAGAUGUACUAUUCCUAGAGAACUUAUAUUUAUAUUAUAAUAUAGGAAAGAGACUUAUUCAAGUAUAUAAUUUCUAUGAAUAAAAUUAUAUUUCAAAAACAUGUUUAAAUGCAAAACGAAAUUUAAAAAUUUAAAAAUUACAAAAAAUCAUUAUCCUGCCACGCACUCUAAUAUAUAGAAAUAAGAAGCUCUUUUACUUCAAUAAAAAUUAGAAAGCACCCGUCAAGUUUUGGCUUCCUCUUCAUCUACUACCAAUAUAUUGUUGUGUAGUGCCAACUGUGCUUCUUCUAUCUGCAAACAAAAGAGUGAUUUAUGAGAAAACAGAGAUCAACUGCAAAAUAAAGCUAGAGCACUCAAUUUGCAUCAUCAUAUGAAUUUAUAAAUCCAUAUGCUCUUACCAACUCAAUAUGAUAAUUAACCUAGAACCUUGAUAAAUGGCAUGGAUUCAAAAUCUCCUGCAAGCAUAAAAGCUGAUCGUAACAAACAGAAAAUUUUGAAAAUAAAUGUUACUGUCAUUUAUUGUAACUGUACCUAGAGUGUCAUCCAAUUCAAUGACACAUAUCUGUAGGUCCAGACAUGCCUUCCACUGGUAUCAUUGUUACGCGUCCAAUCCACUUUUGAAUAGCAUCUAUAACAUGAGGAACAAUCUAUAGGUAGCAACAUUACACAAAGGCUAUUGCAAGCCACAAUAGCUUAUGGGUACAACAGUUAUUAAAUAUCUGGAGAGUUUUUGUCAGAUAGUCUCCCCUUCUUUUCUUAUCUAUAACAUGCCAAACGGGAAAAAAAUUAUUAAAAAGAAAUCAGCUAGCUGAUUAUUCUUUUUGGUUUCUCCUAGUAGGAGACACAAAAAUAAUCAAAAGAGAUGUGCAAGUUAAUCUCACCUGGUAAAUUUUUCCAGUACUGAUAUUAUUGUCUCUUCUCAACUUGAUAUCCAGAAAAUUCAUAAUUUCUGAUGUCCAGGUUCACCUUUCAAACAACAGGAAAAAGUUAAUUAUGAUCAUAAAUUGGAAAAUUCACCUUUUGUAUAUAGAUUUCUCCGUAAUAUCAACAAAAAAAAAAAUUUUUUUUACUUUUACUUAAAAGAGGAGGAAGAAAGGAAGAGGAAGAGACCUAUUUGAUUAAAAUAACACGAAUACUAAAAAUCAACUACUAACUACUAACCACAAACUCUUAACCCUAACCAUAACCUUAACCAUAUACUAACCCUAACACUUCACAAACACUUAACAAACACUUCAAAAACACUAAACAAACAAUAAACACUUGAACAUUAUACGUAAACUUCAUACUUAAGUGUUUGUACAAAUACUUAAAAAACAAUUAACAAAUACUUUAACAAACACUUCACAAACACUUAACAAACACUAACAUUUAAGCAUCACACUUCACACUUAAACACUAAACACCUUAACACCUUAACACACAAACAUACUCACACGCUUCAAACUUAACAAACAUUAACACUUAAACAUUACACUUUAUACUUUCACACUUAAACAAUUAAACAUUUAACACUUAAACACAAAAAAAAAAAGUUACACACUUGUACACUUCAACAAACACUUAUACCUAACAAAAACUUAACAAAACACUUCAAAAAUACUGCACAAGGACUUAACAAAUACUAACACUUAACAAACAGUAACACUUAAAUAUCACACUUCACCCUUAACACCUAAACACACAAACACUUUAACAGUACACACUUCAAACCACUUCACACUUAAAUAAACAUUUUAACACUUCACACUUAAAUAAACACUUUAACUUUUAACACCUUAACACAAACACUUCACACUUCACAAACAGUACCAUAUACCAAACACUACAACUUAAACAUCACACUUCACACAUAAGUGCUUAACACCUUAAGAGCUUAAUACACUUAAAAAAAACGUAACAAAUACUUCACAAACACUUAACAAACAAACACCUAAGCAUCAAACUUCACACUUCACACCUUCACACUUAAACACUUAACACCCUAACACACAAAUACACUCACACACUUCACACUUAAAAAACACUAACACUUAAACAUCACACUUCACACUACACGCUUUCACACAUAAACACUUAAACACCUAAACAAUUAACACCUUAACACCUAACUUCACAUACUUCACACGCAUCACACACUUCACAUUUCACACUUAAGAAACAAUAACACUUAAACAUCACACUUCACACUGCACAUUUUCACACGUAAACACCUAAACACUUAACACCUUAACACCUAAACACCAAACUUAACACUUCACACACUUCAUAAACUUCACACUCUUCACACUCUUCACACUUCACACACUUCACACUCUUCACAACACCUAACUUCACACUUCACACACUUCACACUUCAUACUACACUUCACACACAAUUCACACACUCUUCGCACUUCACACACUCUUCGCACUUCACACUCGUCACACUUCACACUUCACACUUCACACUUCACACUCGUCACACUUCACACUCGUCACACUUCACAUUUCACACUCGUCACACUUCACACUUCACACUUCACACUCGUCACACUUCACACUCUUCACACAUCACACUUCAUACUUCACACAACACACACUUCACACUUCACACUCUUCAUACUCUUCACAACACCUAACUUCAUACUUCACACACUUCACACUCUUCACACACUUCACACAUCACACACUUCACACAACACUUCACACACAAUUCACACACACUUCACAUUUCUUACUUCUCACUCUUUGUACUUCACAUUUCACACUUCACACUCGUCACACUUCACACUCGUCACACUUCGCACUUCGCACUUCGCACUUCGCACACUUGAACACUUGAACACUUCACACUCUUCACACUUCACACUUCGCACUUCACACUUCGCACUUCACACACUUCACACUCUUUACACUUCCCCACUUCCCGCACUUCGCACUUUGUCACACUUUGUCACACUUCACAUUUGUCACACACUUCACACUUCACACACUUCACACUUCACAUAGCACACUUCAUACUUCACACUUUUCACACACUUCACAACAAGCGCUGAACAAAAUACUUGCAAAACACUUCAAAAACACUUCUCAAUGACUUAACAAACAAUAACACUUAAAAAUCACACUUCACUAUUUACACCAAAACACCCAAACACACAAACAUUUAACCACUUCAAACCACUUCACCCUUCAUACUACACACUUCACACUUUAAAACAAAUACUUAAGCAUUUCAUACAUAAAUAAAUACUUUAACAUUUAACGCCUGAACACAAACACACAAACACUUCACACUUAAACAUUUAAUAGCUUAACACAAACACCUUAAUACAUAAAUACACAAACACACAAACACUUCACAAGUAAAUAAACACUUCACAAACAAUUACACUUAACUAACAAUUACAAAACACUUCACCAACAGUUAACAAACACUAACACUUAAAAAUUACACUUCAUACUUGAAAAAAACACUUUAACACUUUAAUGCUUAAACACACACUUUAACACUUAACACUUAAGCACACACUUUAGCACUUCACACUCAACACAUAAACACACACUUUAACACUAAACACUUCAACACCUUAACACCUAAAUACCUAAACACCCAAACACCUCAACACUAAUUGAUUUUAGAUAUACUAUUCCUAGAGAACUUACAUUUAUAUUAUAAUAUAGGAAAGAGACUUAUUCAAGUAUAUAAUUUUUAUAAAUAAAAUUAUAUUUCAAAAACAUGUUUAAAUGCAAAACGAAAUUUAAAAAUUUUAAAAUUUAAAAAUUACAAAAAAUCAAUAUUAUGCCCCGCACUCUAAUAUAUAGAAGUAAGAAGCUCUUUUACAUCAAUAAGAAUUAGAAUGCACUCGUCAAGUUUUGGCUUCUUGUUCAUCUACUACUAAUAUAUUGUUGUGUAGUGCCAACAGUGCUUCUUCUAUCUGCAAACAAAAGAGUGAUUUAUGAGAAAACAGAGAUCAACUGCAAAAUAAAGCUAGAGCACUCAACUUGCAUCAUCAUAUGAAUUUAUAAAUCUAUAUGCUCUUACCAACUCAAUAUGAUAAUUAACCUAGAACCUUGAUAAAUGGCAUGGACUCAAAAUCUCCUGCAAGCAUAAAAGCUGAUCGUAACAAACAGAAAAUUUUGAAAAUAAAUGUUACUGUCAUUUAUUGUAACUGUACCUAGAGUGUCAUCCAAUUCAAUGACACAUAUCUGUAGGUCCAGACAUGCCUUCCACUGGUAUCAUUGUUACGUGUCCAAUCCACUUUUGAAUAGCAUCUAUAACAUGAGGAACAAUCUAUAGGUAGCAACAUUACACAAAGGCUAUUGCAAGCCAAAAUAGCUUAUGGGUUCAAUAGUUAUUAAAUACCUGGACAGUUUUUGUCAGAUAGUCUCCCCUUCUUUUCUUAUCUAUAACAUGCCAAAAGGGAAAAAAUUUAUUAAAAAGAAAUCAGCUAGCUGAUUAUUCUUUUUGGUUUCUCCUAGUAGCAGACACAAAAAUAAUCAAAAGAGAUGUGCAAGUUAAUCUCACCUGGUAAAUUUUUCCAGUAUUGAUAUUAUUGUCUCUUCUCAACUUGAUAUCCAGAAAAUUCAUAAUUUCUGAUGUCCAGGUUCACCUUUCAAACAACAAAAAAAAAGUUAUUUUCUUCCCAACCUUUUAACCUGUGAUAUUUUCUAAACAAUAAUCAAUAGAGAUAAUAAAAGAAAUGAUAAUUGAAAAUUACUCGCUUUUUAGGAAAUAAGAAACUCUCACAUCUACAAAAUAAAAUCAAAAAAGCAUGUAAAAGAAAAUGAAUUCCAAACAGGAAAAAGUUAAUUAUGAUCAUAAAUUGGAAAAUUCACCUUUUGUAUAUGGAUUUCUCCAUAAUAUCAACAAAAAAAAUAAUUUUUUUUCCUUUUACUUAAAAGAGAAGGAAGUAAGGAAGAGGAAGAGACCUAUCUAAUGAAAAUAACACGAAUACUAAAAAUCAACUACUAACCACAAACUCUUAACCCUAACCCUAACCCUAACCUUGACCCUAUACUAACCCUAACACUUCACAAACACUUAAGCAAACACUUCAAAAACACUUAACAAACAAUAAACACUUGAACAUCAUACGUAAACUUCACACUUAAGUGUUUGUACAAAUACUUGAAAAAUAGUUAACAAAUACUUUAACAAACACUUCACAAACACUUAACAAACACUAACAUUUAAGCAUCACACUUCACACUUAAGCACUAAACACCUUAACACACAAACAUACUCACACGCUUCAAACUUAACAAACAUUAACACUUAAACACUACACUUCAUACUUUUACACUUAAACAAUUAAACAUUGAACACUUAAACACACAAAAAAACUUACACACUUGUCCACUUCAACAAACACUUAUACGUAGCAAAAACUUAACAAAACACUUCAAAAAUACUGCAUAAGGACUUAAAAAUACUAACACUUAACAAACAGUAACACUUAAAUAUCACACUUCAUACUUAACACCUAAACACACAAACACUUUAACAGUUCACACUUCAAACCACUUCACACUACACACUUCACACUUAAACAAACAUUUUAACACAUCACGCUUAAAUAAACACUUUAACUUUUAACACCUUAACACAAACACUUCACACUUCACAAAAACUACCAUUUACCAAACACUACAACUUAAACAUCACACUUCACACAUAAGUACUUAACACCUUAACAGCUAAAUACAGUUAAAAAAAAUGUAACAAAUACUUCACAAACACUUAACAAACUAACAGCUAAGCAUCACACUUCACACCUUCACACUUUCACACUUAAACACUUAACACCCUAACACACAAAUACACUCACACACUUCACACUUAAGAAACACUAACACUUAAACAUCACACUUCACACUGCACGCUUUCACUCAUAAACACUUAAACACCUAAACAUUUAACACCUUAACACCUAACUUCACAUACUUCACACGCUUCACACACUUCAAACUUCACACUUAACAAACAAUAACACUUAAACAUCACACUUCACACUGCACAUUUUCACACGUAAAUACCUAAACACUUAACACCUUAACACUUAAAUACCUUACUUAACACUUCACACACUUCACAAACUUCACACUCUUCACACUUCACACACUUCACACUCUUCACAACACCUAACUUCACACUUCACACACUUCACACUUCACACACUUCACAAUUCAAACACACUUCACACUCUUCACACUUCACUCUGCGCACUUCACUCUUCGCGCACUUCACACUCUUCACGCACUUCACUUCACACUUCACACGCACUUUACUCUUCGCGCACUUCACACGCACUUCACUCCACACUUCACGCGCUUCACACUUCACACUUCACGCGCUUCACGCGCUCCACGCGCUCCACGAGCUCCACGCGCCACGCUCCACGCUCCAUGCGCCACGCUCCACGCUCCACGCUCCACACUUCACACACACUUCAAACUUCACACUUCACACUUCACACACACUUCACACUUCACACUUCACACACACUUCACACUUCACACCUCACACACAAUUCACACUUCAUACUUCACACUUCACACUUCACACUUCACACACAAUUCACACUUCACACACUUCACACUUCACACUUCACACUUCUCACUCUUUGCACUUCACAUUUCACACUUCACACUCGUCACACUUCACAAUUCGCACUUCGCACUUCGCACUUCGCACACUUGAACACUUUACACUCGUCACACUUCACAGUUCACACUCUUCACACUUCCCCACUUCCCGCACUUCGCACUUUGUCACACUUCACAUUUGUCACACACUUCACACUUCACACAUUUCACACACUUCACACUUUACACUUCACACAGCACACUUCACACAUUUCACACACUUCACACUUUACACUUCACACAGCACACACUUCACACUUCACACUUUUCACACACUUCACAACAAGCGCUGAACAAAAUACUUACAAAACACUUCAAAAACACUUCUCAAGGACUUAACAAACAAUAACACUUAAAUAAACACUUAAAAAUCACACUUCACUCUUUACACCAAAACACCCAAAGACACAAACACUUAACCACUUCACCCUUCAUACUACACACUUCACACUUUAAAAAAAAUACUUAAGCAUUUCAUACUUAAAUAAAUACUUUAACAUUUAACACCUGAACACAAACACACAAACACUUCACACUUAAACACUUAAUACCUUAACACAAACACUUUAACACCUAAAUACACAAACACACAAACACUUCCCAAGUAAAUAAACACUUCACAAACAAUUACACUUAACUAACAAUUAGAAAACACUUCACCAACAGUUAACAAACACUAACACUUAAAAAUUACACUUCACACUUGAAAAAAACACUUUAACACUUUAAUGCUUAAACACACACUUCACACUUCACACACACUUCACACUCUUCACACUUCCCCACUUCCCGCACUUCGCACUUUGUCACACUUUGUCACACUUCACAUUUGUCACACACUUCACACUUCACACAUUUCACACACCUCACACUUCACACAGCACACUUCACACUCCACACUCCACACUUUUCACACACUUCACAACAAGCGCUGAACAAAAUAUUUACAAAACACUUCAAAAACACUUCCAAGGACUUAACAAACAAUGACACUUAAAUAAACACUUAAAAAUCACACUUCACUCUUUACACCAAAACACCCAAACACACAAACACUUAAACACUUCAAAUCACUUCACCCUUCAUACUACACACUUCACACUUUAAAACAAAUACUUAAGUAUUUCAUACUUAAAUAAAUACUUUAACAUUUAACACCUCAAACAAACACACAAACACUUCACACUUAAACACUUAAUAGCUUAACACAAACACCUAACACAUAAAAACACAAACACACAAACACUUCACAAGUAAAUAAACACUUCACAAACAAUUACACUUAACUAACAAUUACAAAACACUUCACCAAUAGUUAACAAACACUAACACUUAAAAAUUACAGUUCACACUUGAAAAAAACAUUUUAACACUUUAAUGCUUAAACACACACUUUAACACUUAACACUUAAGCACACACUUUAGCACUUCACACUCAACACAUAAACACACACUUUAACACUAAACACUUCAACACCAUAACACCUAAAUACCUAAACACCCAAACACCUCAACACUAAUUGAUUUUAGAUGUACUAUUCCUAAAGAACUUACAUUUAUAUUAUAAUAUAGGAAAGAGACUUAUUCAAGUAUAUAAUUUCUAUGAAUAAAAUUAUAUUUCAAAAACAUGUUUAAAUGCAAAAUGAAAUUUAAAAAUUUUAAAAUUAUAAAAAAUCAUUAUCCUACCCCGCACUCUAAUAUAUAGAAGUAAGGAACUCUAUUACUGCAAUAAGAUUUAGAAAGCACCCGUCAAGUUUUGGCUUCCUCUUCAUCUACUACCAAUAUAUUGUUGUGUAGUGCCAACUGUGCUUCUUCUAUCUGCAAACAAAAGAGUGAUUUAUGAGAAAACAGAGAUCAACUGCAAAAUAAAGCUAGAGCACUCAACUUGCAUCAUCAUAUGAAUUUAUAAAUGCAUAUGCUCUUACCAACUCAAUAUGAUAAUUAACCUAGAACCUUGAUAAAUGGUAUGGACUAAAAAUCUCCUGCAAGCAUGAAAGCUUAUCAUAACAAACAGAAAAUUUUGAAAAUAAAUGUUACUGUCAUUUAUUGUAACUGUACCUAGAGUGUCAUCCAAUUCAAUGACACAUAUCUGCAGGUCCAGACGGCAACUGGUAUCAUUGUUACGCGUCCAAUCCACUUUUGAAUAGCAUCUAUAACAUGAGAAACAAUCUAUAGGUAGCAACAUUACACAAAGUCUAUUGCAAGCCAUAAUAGCUUAUGGGUUCAACAGUUAUUAAAUACCUGGACAGUUUUUUCAGAUAGUCUCCCCUUCUUUACUUAUCUAUAACAUGCUAAAAGGGAAAAAAAUUAUUAAAAAGAAAUCAGCUAGCUGAUUAUUCUUUUUAGUUUCUCGUAGCAGCAGACACAAAAAUAAUCAAAAGAGAUGUGCAAGUUAAUCUCACCUGGUAAAUUUUUCCAGUACUGAUAUUAUUGUCUCUUCUCAACUUGAUAUCCAGAAAAAUCAUAAUUUCCAAUGUCCAGGUUCACCUUUCAAAAAACAAAAAAAUGUCAUUUUCUUCCCAACUUUGUAAUUUGUAAUGCUUUCUAAACAAUAAUCAAUAAAGAUGAUUAAAAAAAAUGGCAGUUGAAAAUUACUCUAUUUUUAGAAAUUAUAAAAAAAGAAAAUUAGAAAGUCCCACAUCUACAGAAUAAAAUAAAAAAAGCACAUGAAAAAAAAAUGAAUUGCAAACAUGAAAAAAUAAUUAUGAUCACAAAUUGCAAAGUCCACCUUUUGUAUUUGGAUUUCUCUAUAAUAUCAAUGCAAAAAACAAUAUUUUCUUUUUUUUUUUUCUUUUUCUUAAAAGAGGAAGAAGGAAGGAAGAAAAAGAGACCUUUCUAGAUUAAAGUAGUACAAAGACUGCAGGCCUUAAGAAUCAACUACUAACUACUAACCACUAACCACUAACUACUAACUACUAACCCUAACACUUUAAAAACACUUAACAAACACUUUAACAAACACUAACACUGAACAAACACUUCAAAAAAAACUUAACAAAUACUUUAACAAGCAUUUCACAAACACUAACACUUAAACAUCACACUUCACACUUUCACACUUAAACACUUAAUACAUAAACACACUCACACACUUCACACUAACAAACACUAACACUUAAACAUCACACUUCACACUUUGCACUUUCACUCUUAAACACUUAACACCUAAACACACAAAAACAGUUUCACGCUUCACGCUUCACGCUUCACGCUUCACGCUUCACGCUUCACGCUUCACGCUAACAAACACUAACACUUAAACAUCACACUUCACACUUUACACUUUCACUCUUAAACACUUAAUACCUAAACACACAAAAACACUUUCACGCUUCACGCUUCAACAAACACUUCACAAAACACUUGCACUUAACAACAUCUUAACAAAACACUUCAAAAACAUUUCACAAGGACUUAACAAAUACUACCACUCAACAAACAGUAACACUUAAACAUCACACUUCGCACUUAACACCUAAACACCCAAACACACAAACACUUGAACACUUCACACUUCAUAUCACUUAACAAACACUCUUCACACUUAAACUAACACUUUAACACUUCACACUUAAACUAACACUUUAACACUUCACACUUAAACAAACACUUUAACACUUCACACUUAAACAAACACUUUAACAUUUAACACCUUAACACAAACACUUCACACUUUACACUUCACAUACUUAGACAAACACUAACAUUUAACACUUAAGCACACACUUUAACACUUAACACUUAAACACACACUUUAACACUUUAACACCUUAACACCCAAACAACAAACCAACACCCCAACGCCCAACACUAACACUAAUUGAUCUAAUUGAUUUUAGAUGUACUGUUCCUAGAGAACUCACAUUUAUAUUAUAAUAUAGAAAAGAGGCUUAUCCAAGUAUAUAAUAUAGAAAUGAGGUUUGUGCAUAAUAUAAAUGCAAAUGAACAUAACCUGAGUUUUGAAGAACAGAAACCAAGCAUAAAACAGAAAUUUGAGACUAUACCCAACACUGAGACAAAUUUCUUAGCUAAACAAGAGGAGCUGCUAGAUUAGCGAAGAAGAGGACAAGGCGAACACUUCAGUGUUUGUACAAACACUUAACAACUACUGCACAAACACUUAACAAACACUUCACAAGCACUUAAAAAGCACUUGAAAAACACUUAACAAAUACUUUAACAAACACUUCACAAACAUCAUACUUCACACUUCCACACUUUCACACUUAAACACUUAACACUUUUACACACAAACACACUCAUACACUUGCACACUUCACACUUAACAAACACUAACACUUAAACAUCACACUUCACACUUUCACACAAACACUAACACUUAAACAUCACACUUCACACUUUCACACAAACACUAACAUAUAAACAUCAAAUUUCACACUUUCACACAAACACUUAACACCUUAACACCUAAACACACAAACACACUUACACGUUUCACACUUCAACAAACACUUCACAAAGAACUUACACUUAACAAGCAAUUAACAAAACACUUACAAAAAACUUCAAAAACAUUUCACAAGGACUUAACAAAUACUAACACUUAACAAAUAGCAACACGUAAACAAACACUUAAACAUCACACUUAACACCUAAACACCCAAACGCACAAACACAGAAACACAGAAACACGCAAACACUUAAACACUUCAAACCACUUCACACUUCACACCACUUUACACUUGACACUACACACUUCACACUUCACACUUCAUCAAACACUUUAACACUUCACACUCAAACAAACACUUUAACAUUUAACACUUUAACACAAACACACAAACACUUUACACGCUUCUUACUUAAACAAACACUAACAUUUAACACUUAAACACACACUUUAACACCUUAACACCCAAACAACACACCAAGACCCCAACACGCAACACUAACACUAAUUAAUUUUAGAUGUACUAUUCUUAGAGAAUUCAUAUUUAUAUUAUAAUAUAGAAAUGAGGCUUAUCCAAGUAUAUAAUAUAGAAAUGAGCCUUAUGCAUAAUAUAAAUGCAAAUGAACAUAACCUGAGUUUUGAAAAACAGAAACCAAGCAUAAAACAGAAAUUUGAGACUAUACUCAACACUGAGACAGAUUUCUCAGCGAAACGGGAGGAGCUGCUGGAUUCACGAAGACGAGGACGAGGCCAAUUGUGGAGUGGCAGGGUUGUUCAUAAGCUCGUUUGGAUAAAAUUUAUAUCCAAACCAACUUGAUCCAAACAUAGAUUAAAUCUAGCAAUUUUUUCAAGUGAACCGACCCAACCCGACAGCAACCAUUUGACGGAUUCAGUGGACUAGUUGAAUUUUAUUCGCAAAGUGCAAGGCUCACUGUCAACACCGCAUUACAUUUUUUGAGGGAAUUUUAAAUGUUAAUAACACUAAAUUACAUUUUUUUUAAAAUAACAUAAAAUACAUUAAACUAAUAUUAAAAAAUUCAUUUACCACAUAUUAUCAUAUUUAAAAUAUAUAAUAGGGAGAUUUACUACUUAAUCCUUGGGUAUUGCCAUUAUUUACAAGUCAGUCCCUGUAUUUUCAAAACCCUAUUAUAACACCCCUCUCUUUUAUUUCCGUUAACAAAACAAUCCUUCCAUCCAUUUUUUACCCCUUCUACCAUUCAAAUCCUAGUAAGAAGAGAGAGAAAAAUUAUAAAAUCUUAAAUUACCCUUCUAGCCAAAGAGAAUCGAAUUGCCGCCUCCUUUACCACUCGCACCACUCAAAUUGCCGACCUCAGACCGCCCUUGAAGGUGUAGGGGAAACAAGAGGUGUCUUUCUAUUGAGAAGAGGAAGUAGGAAGCGAGUGAGGAAAGGAGGAUGCAGAUGAGGCAAUUGAGAAGAUGAUGACUCCGCAUGGUGGGACUCGAGCUUAAAUCUUCGAUAGUGGCCGCAUGUUCAACGGAAGAUGGCUUAGGUGGAUGCAAAUUAGGCAACAGAUGGAAAAGCAUCCAAGCUUUGGUGGGGCACUUGAGAAACAGAAGAAUUUUCGUGGGUUAGUGACGGAGAGGAGCUUAGUUUUAUUAGUGGUGGUAAGAGGAAGAAGAGUAAGGAGUCACUUAGAAAGCAAGGCGACUCACAAGCUGCUCAAGCAAGGAAUUUGAGUAGAGUUAAGGAGAUUCUUCAAAACUGUGAUGAUCAUGAUGCCUGUCCAUGGGAAGAAAUAUCGAGAUUUCCUUUCUCUCUCCACCGCUUCCUCACACUCAUACCCCUACUAGACCUUAGUUCUCAACUCUCUCCAUAGCCAGCCCAUCCUCUCUGAUUACCAAGCAGAAACUCUCAUUGCCAUUGAAACAGACCCAACAGAGUCCACCUUCUCCGUUUAGUUGCAUCACAUUGAUGCAUUAUCCUUGAAUAAAACCCAACAGGAAUUCUUCAUCCUAAUGCUCAACUACGAAGAAUCGUGAGUCAAGGCUCUGUCCUCCCUUGCCACCUCAGCCGCAGCAGCCGGUGGUCGGGCCACAGGUGAGUUUAGCAGCUCCGCAAUUUCUAGUCUUGCUCAAGGCAGCGGUGAAUACUUCACGCGCAUAGGCAUGGGUACCCCUCCCAAGUAUGUGGCCACGACAAUGAAAGGUUGUUCGUUGGUGCUGCCGGCUUGUUGGGAUUUGGCCAGGGAAGAUUAUCAUUUCCCUCUCAAAGUGGUCGCCGGAUGUUUUAAUAGAGGUGGGAAUUAAUUUAGAACUUAAGGGUAAUUUACUCUUUCUCAAUGAGAAAGCGGUGAAAAUGGAUGGAAGGACUACAUGGUUAACGAAGGUAAAAGUGAGAGACGUUUUAAUACGUUUCUGAAAAUGUAGGGACGGGCUCGGCUCGUUAAUAAUGACAAAACCCAAACUAAAUAGUAAAUCUCCCUAUAUAAUAAUAUGAUAAUUAUGUUUUAAAAUACUAAAAGAAAUAGACUUUUUAAAUAUUACGUUGUCUCAAAUAGUCUUCUCUUCUCAUGCCAAAUAAUUAAAAAAGCAACAAAACUACAAAUUUUAUAAACUAAAUGUUUCUAAAUUCUUCAUUCUGCUACUUUCUGACUAUUGUUGAGAUAACUCUGGAGAUUUUGAAAAUAAAAAAUAUGGAAAAUACACAUUAGAUAAAUGUAAGUGCCAUACUUAAAAAACGAAUUUUAAUUACUGAUACCAGCAAAAAAAGUAUAAGAAAAUUAUUGACAAUAGAUAGGUAAAAGAAGAGUAGCCUUCCACCAAAAAAAUCAUUCAAUCUAUAAAACUGUAUUUGUUUUUAUAAACUCUUCAUAUGAUUACUCUAUUCAGGAUAUGCAUAUUACAAAAAAUUGACUGAGAUUACAAACUAGUGGCAACAUCUAUAAAAAAUUUACUGAGCAUAUUCUCUCCUUUUGAAUAUUUCAAACUAUUAGUUUAAGUAUCUUAAUUAGUCUAUCAUUGAACAUUUUGAUCUUUAUUCUCUAAUUUUCAUAGGGGUACUUGAUUUUCACCUUUGAUUACUUAAAAGGUACAAAUUGUGGUGUGUCCAUGCUUCAAGUUGUUGAAUAGUUUUCCAACUUUCAAGAUCCAAAACUCUGACAAGCAUGAGUCAUUAUUCUAAUUAGUACAUAUUAAUGGGUCUACACUCUACGAGGACGAUACUCAAAACAAUAUUUUGAUCAGCACCAAAACCUUACCCUCGGAAGAGGAUGAUGGGAAAAUCAUUCUGGGUAAUUAUCAUGAAAAUUUUAUGGAAGAAGUUGCACCAAAUGUUAAAAUAUGAUCUAAAACAAAUCCUAGGAAGAGCAAACAGUAAGCCAAUGACCCACUUAUGAAAUAAAUAAAUAAAUAAGGAAUGGACGGUAUGCCUUCAACAACUCAGUGUUCUCAAGGUCUCAUGCUCCAUCACUAGUUAAAAUAUUUGAAGCUCAUAAAUUCAGUAACACAAAGACACCAAAUACAGUGGUAAUUAGAAAGAUACAAUCCACUAAAACUUCAGGAAAAUGAGUAGGUCUCACAGUGACAUUGGUAGAUUACUUUAUCAUUUAAUAUAAAUGUAAUCUUUCAAAUGAAAUAGUUUAUAAAUACUUACUGAGUGAGAGAAUCAAUUCAAUAAUCCAUUACAAAUGUGACAAUCACCUAAUAUGACCUAGAAAUAGACUUCUUAGAAAACUAAGAUUAUUGAAAUAUAGCACCAAGCAACCAAGGUUUAUUCUAGGGUGCUAAAUUAAAAAGCCCUAACAGUCAAAUCCACCAUACAUCAUCUGGAAGUAGAAACUUAAUCUGAGCAGAACAAUAAAUUUGACAUGCAAAUGCAAAAUAUGAAAGAAAAUUAAACUAUAGUAACAGAAACAAUGAGAGAAAAGGAGCAAAUUGCCUGUAAAGCUAUUGGCGUACACUAGGCUUUAUUGGCGAUCGCAGGAAGUCUUUAGAGUGGAGCGUCCGCCAUAAUGAGUUGUUUUCCAAGAUUGGAAGAUCGCAGAUGUGAGAUGACAAAGAUGUUCGGGUCAGAAGCUCUCUAAUCAGGUUUUAACUGUAUAAUUCCCAACCAACCAAGAAAAUGGAAGACUUUGAGUAAAAUAGUUCAAUCCGACCCAAUCCUACAUUGAAACCAAAAUUAUCGGAUUGGCUUUGGUUGGAUCAGUGGGAUUGGUCGGGUAGGACCAAAUUUUGAACAGCCCUAUGACAGUGGUUCAGGGAGAUGAAGGGGAGGUUGUCGGCAGUGUUUGUGGCUAAGAGGCUGCCGGUGGGUGUUCUUGGUUGGUGCGAGCGGGAGAUAGAAAUGGUGGAAAUAUACACAACACAGGAACAUGGGUUUGUCGGGAGAGCUGGGUAUUGGAUUAUGGAGAGGGAGCUGUCGAAGGAGAUGGGAAAUGGGGAUUUCGCCGAGAAGGAGAAGGUGGGUCUAUUGGGAGAGUCGGUGGAGAGGAUGCAGUGAAAGGUUGUGUUGGACUGAGAAUGGAUUCUGAUGAUGGGGUGCCGACUUAGAAGAAGAAGGAGAGGGACUGGGAACUAUUGGGGUUUGUGUGCCGUGAAACUUCAUGGAUCUAAGCUCCUGGUUGAAUGAGAGGGAGAUUGUGGCAAGGGAAGAAGAAGAGAGUGGAGCGAAGCUGCGUGGUUUUUGGGCAGAAGGACAAAGCUAUAUAUAGUUCUCUAGACAAACCAUCAACGGUAAAAUUGAGGGGUUUUAAAAUUUGAAGCAACUGUUGAAAUUUCAACCACAUCAGGCUGAAGCAAUUGUUGAAAAAAGCCAACCAUGUCCGAAUGAGAUAUGGAGAAGAUCAUUGAAAUCGAGAGGAGACAGAAAAGAAUGAUUAAGAAUAGUGCUGCAAGGUCAUGCAACAGCAUGAGUUAUCUGUGAGAUGAAGAAACUGAUGGUGAGAGAGGGACUCAUUGAGAAAGGAGAGUGGGGGAGGUGUUAAUUCUUCAAUAGGAGGGUAAUCAUAAAAUUAUAAAAUAUUGACGGUUAAAAAGCAAAAUUUUACAUGGAGUCUACUUUAAUUAAAUUAAAAUAUGGAGAUAUUUUAAUUAAAUAAAUAAAACUAUAAACAAUUAAUUCUCAACUUUUUAACUAUUAAUAAAAAUUUCCAAUACUCUAUUAAAAUUAUUUUCUUUAUAAAAUCUUAUAUCUCAAGUGUCGUAGAAUGUAAUUGAAAAUUUGAAACUAGCAAAAGAUAUCGUACCCUGGUCUUGAAUUUUCUAAGUUAACUUCUAAUUAAUUUUUCAUUUAUUUCUAAAAUAUAUUUUUAUUUAUUACUUCAAUUCUAAAAUCUUAUAUUCUUGGUUUGUUACUUCUCUUUCUAUCGGAAUAAAAUUAACUUAAUUAAAACCAAAAAACCAUUAAUUAAGAAUUAAAAUUAAAAAUAAUUAAAAAUUAAUUGAAAUCAGAAUUAACAUUUUGCAAAAUCCAAAAUCUAAUUUUUUUUUCUACAUAUUAUAUUUUUAUAUAAAAUAAUUUUUAAAUAAUUAUUGAUGAUAAUUACUAGCAUGUUCAUAUUGUUUUAUUUAACAAAUUAAAAUAUUUUUAUAUUUUAUAAAUUACAUUAAAUAUCUUUAUAAUUUACUUUUACUAAUAAAUAAAAUAUCGGUAAAAAAUUAUACGUCAUUUUAUAAAAAAAAAUUCUAAGUUAUCCUCUAUAGCCAUGUUAAUAAAUAUAGAUUAAUCUAACUCACACUAGGGGUGAGCACUAUUCAGUUUAAACUGAAAUAACCGACCGAACCGAACCGAAUUAAAAAUUUGGUUUGGUUUUAUUUUUAAUUCGGUUCGGUUCGGAUUUAAUUUUCUAAAAAAUCGAUAAUUUCGGUUCGGUUCGGUUUUAGAUUCAAAAAUUUUGAUUAGACCGAACUGAACCGAAAUCACCUAUACUACGUCGUUUUGAAGUGUACCCUUAUAUUUGCCCUAAAUCUAAAAGCUGAGAGUUCAUGCUAUCCAUUCCAUGCCGCCUCACAUCACACAUGCCUAUGCCUCUUCUCUCUGAGCAUUGAGCUCCACCACUUCCAGCAGGUCCACUAUCCACCGUCCGACCUCCACUCUCCUCCCGACAUCGACCGAUUAACCAUCGCGGCUAACUCGGGUCAUCGAUCUCUAGUCUCUCUCUCCACUCUCCUCCCGACAUCUCUAGUCUCUCUCUCCACUCUCCUCCCGACAUCUCUAGUCUCUCUCUCCACUCUCCUCCCGACAUCGACCGAUUAACCAUCGCGGCUAACUUGGGUCAUCGAUCUUCACUACGUUGCGGAUGCGCGAGUCGCGAUUUAGUUAGCAACGUCGACUCCUCCUCAUCUCAGUGUCGCGCUCAAAGAGUCUGUCACUGGUGGAUUUGUAGUUUUGUCCCAAGGUUUUUUCAAUUUCUCUAGCUUCUAACCCAAAUCCUCUCUCCCGGUACUUGCUUCUUUGUGUUGUUCUGUCACUGGUGGAUUUGUAGUUUUCUCCCAAGGUUUUUUCAAUUUUUCUAGCUUCUAACCCAAAUCCUCUCUCCCAGUACUUGCUUCUUUGUGUAGUUGAUAUUUUUUUCGCUUUCUGAUGUGUUGCAUGCAAGAAGAGCCUUUUCGACCGACCGAACCGACCCGAACCAAAUCGGUUUGAUUCAAUUCGGUUAUUCCUCUUAUUCGGUUCAGUUCGGUUUGUGUAAAAUACUAUAAUUCGGUUUUUGGUUUUUUCGGUUCGGUUUUGAACCGAACCGACCGAAUGCUCACCCCUAACUCACACUACCCAUUGGGCAUAAUAGCUUUCGCUAGGGGUUAGCAUUCGGUCGGUUCGGUUUAAAAUCGAACCGAACCGAAUAAAUCGAAAAUUGAAAUUUUAGUGUUUAUAAAAAUCAAAUCGAAUCGAUUUUGAUCAGAAAUCGAAUCGAACUGAACCGGUUUGAUUCAGUUCGAUUCGGUUCGGUUUGAUCGAUUUCGAUUUUUAAUAAUUUUUUAUUUUUUACACUUUAUUUUUAAUAUUUUAAAAUUUAAUUAAAAUAUUUUAAUCUUAAUAUGAUUUAAUUUCUCUAUAUUAUUGAAAAAACAUAUUAUUAUUACUAAACGGUUCGGUUUGGUUUUUUUGAUUUUUUUCUGAUCAAAACCGAACCAAACUGAAAUAACCGAAAUUUCUGAAAUAACCGAAAUUUCUGAAAUUAAAAACCGAAUCGAAAUGUAUAAAAAAUCGAAUUAAAUUUUCAAAUCAGUUCGGUUCGAUCAUUUUUUCAGUUUGAACCAAAUACUGCUCACCCCUAACUUUCGCCUAGAAAAUACAACACAAGGAUAUUUAAAUCACUCUUCAAAAUUGCAUAACUAAGGUUUUUGUAAUUGCAUACCGAUUUUUGCCACAUACAAAUAUGGAGUCAACAACAACCUGCUAAACAAUUUAAAAUCAACGAGAGAGUUCGUUCCUAUGGGUGUAAUCGAAUUGAGUCCAGUCGAGAUUUGUAAAACUUAAACUCGUUUAUUAAAAAAUUUUAUAAGCUCGAGCUCGACUCAAAAAUUAAAUAUUAUAAUUGAGCUCAAUUCGUGAAAAACUCAUUUAAAUUAAUAAUGAGUCUAAUUCAAGUUCGAAUUUGAAAGUUCGAUUAAAAAGUUUAUUUAAACUAAUAACGAGUCUAAUUCAAACUCGAACUCGAAAACUCGAUUAAAAAACUCGUCAACAAAACCUAAUUAACUUAAAUUUUUAAAUAUUAAAAUUUUAAACUAAACGGUCAAGAGAGACUUAAAUUAAAUUAAAUAUAAUUUAAUUUAAUUAAAAUAUAUUGUAACCAUAUCCUUAAUUUAAAAUACAAUAGAAAGUGAAAUAUUUAUUUAUUGAGGAGUUUUAUCCCUCUAUCUCUAUAAGUUUUCGAUGUGAAAUAAAAGAUAUUGUUUCGGUAUCCUUUAAUACCUUAUAUAUAAAAUAACGCGUAGAGAUUUAAAAAAAAUAAGUUUGUGGUCUAGUGAUCAAUGANNNNNNNNNNNNNNNNNNNNNNNNNNNNNNNNNNNNNNNNNNNNNNNNNNNNNNNNNNNNNNNNNNNNNNNNNNNNNNNNNNNNNNNNNNNNNNNNNNNNNNNNNNNNNNNNNNNNNNNNNNNNNNNNNNNNNNNNNNNNNNNNNNNNNNNNNNNNNNNNNNNNNNNNNNNNNNNNNNNNNNNNNNNNNNNNNNNNNNNNNNNNNNNNNNNNNNNNNNNNNNNNNNNNNNNNNNNNNNNNNNNNNNNNNNNNNNNNNNNNNNNNNNNNNNNNNNNNNNNNNNNNNNNNNNNNNNNNNNNNNNNNNNNNNNNNNNNNNNNNNNNNNNNNNNNNNNNNNNNNNNNNNNNNNNNNNNNNNNNNNNNNNNNNNNNNNNNNNNNNNNNNNNNNNNNNNNNNNNNNNNNNNNNNNNNNNNNNNNNNNNNNNNNNNNNNNNNNNNNNNNNNNNNNNNNNNNNNNNNNNNNNNNNNNNNNNNNNNNNNNNNNNNNNNNNNNNNNNNNNNNNNNNNNNNNNNNNNNNNNNNNNNNNNNNNNNNNNNNNNNNNNNUAAAUACAUAUAUAAACAUAUGAAAGUAAUAAUAAUAAUAAUAAUAGUGUAUUAAGAGAUUUAAUAAUUUAAAAACGGUGUCUACUUAGAAGGACAUAUAUGAAAAAUAAAUAUAUAAAUUAAUAAUAUAAUUAUAUAAUUAAGGGAUACAAAUAUAAAAAUUAAUAAUAUAUAUAUGGUAAAUAGAUUAAGUUGGUAGGGGUAUAAUGAGAUUAGAGCCGAGUUUUUUUAACGAGUCUCUUAACGAGUCUGUUCACGAGCCUAUUCAUGAGCUUCUUAACGAGUCACUCAUGAAUUUUAACGAGUCAAAUUUUAUCGAGCUCAAGUUUGGCUUGGCUUGUUUAAUAAACGAGACUAAAAACUAAGUUUGAGUUCGACUUAUUUAGAAAUCGAAUUAAGUCUAGUCGAAUUUUUAUUGAGUCGAGUUUCAAAUAAUUUAAAAAUAGUUUGAUUCAUUUAUGGCCCUAGUCCUGCCCUCCAUCGGCAGGAUUGUCUUUGGUUUUCUCAGUUAACUUCUAAAUAGCUCUGCUGUUUAUCUCUAAGCUGCAACUUCGUCCAUCCCUUACUUCAACCCCAAAUCUUUCUCACUUUUUCUUGCAUCCUUAAACCAUAAGCUGAUGCCUAUCACCGGACACCGCCAUUUUUGCAUUGCUUGGCUUUCAUUUCAGCGUUUUUACAAUAUCGUUACCUGUAAUUCCCAACUUUUUGCUAGUUUCUUCAUUUCAUUACCGUAUCAUCUUCACUGCUUCAUCCCCGUUACUGCCGUCAUUGUCACAGCCUUUCUUCCUUGUAUACUAUCAAACUGCAGGCAAUGGAGUAAAUCCACAAUAGGGAAACCCCAAAAGUAUAGAUUGAGAGAGCUUGGCUAUCAAUUUCAAAUCUUCAUAUUUGUUUCAGGUGUCGAACUGAAAAGGAGGUAAGAUGUGAAUUAUGAUAAAAGGUGGUGUGUUGAAGAACACUGAAGAUGAGAUCCUCAAAGCAGCUGUUAUGAUAUAUGGGAAGAAUCAAUGGGUCUUCGUGUGAGUGGGUUGACCACUUUUAAUUUAAAAAAAAAAAAAACUAAAAGCUAGGAUUUUGAGGUUCUAAAAUAAAAUUAAAAUUAAAAUUAAAUCAAAUUUUGCCUUUUUUCACUUUUAUUUUUUUUAAUUUUCUUUUUUUUCUUUUUAUUGGAAUAAAAUUAGCUUAACUAAAAAAAAAACCAUUAAUUUAGAAUUAAAAUUAAAAAUGAUUGAAAAUUAAUUGAAAUCAGAAUUAACAUUUUGCAAAACCCCAAAUCUAUAGUUUUAUAUUUCUAUAUAUUAUAUUUUUAUAUAAAAUAAUUUUUAAAUAAUUAUUAAUGAUAAUUACUAGUGUGUACCUAUAGUUUUAUCUAGCAAAUUAAAAUAUUUCUAUAUUUUGUAAAUUAUAUUAAAAAUAUCCUUAUAAUUUACUUCCAUUUAUCAAAGAAAACGUCUGUCUAAAAUUAUAGCAAUAUUAAUAAAUAGAAGCUCAUGCCUAGUCUGACUCAGACUUCCCACUAGGCAGAGGAGAUUUCGUAAGAAAGCAAGACAAGGAUAUUCAAAUCACUAUUCAAAAUUGCAUAACUAAGGUUUCUGUAAUUGCAGACCGAUUUUUAUCACUUAUAAACAUGAAGUCAAUUCUCUUUCUAUUUUCUUCCUUCUCACAUCUCUAUUCUCCUUCUCUCAAUCACCCAACAAUCCACGGAACCUUGUAGAAGCUAUGCUCGUGUUAGUCCUCCAUUAGGAACUUAUGGUGAAGGACAUUCGAGAUGCAUGCAAGAUGGAUCUUCCGGAUGGUGGUGAUGGAUAUGUUUCUGUUGAAGGGUCUCUCAUAUUAACUAACUAUACUAAAGGGAUAAUUGAGGCUGCAUAAUGGAUUACAAAGGUGGUUGGUCAUUAUGAAUAAAUGGUGAGAAAUUCUAGAUGGAUAUGAAAUAACUAUUGAUGCCUAAUUGUGAACAAUGGUCUUAACAGUCACGAUGCUCAAAUGAUGGAGGUCGUUAUACUACUGUAUUAGGUUCAAAGUAGAAGAAAAAAAAACUAGGGUGAUCAAGAAAGAAAUCUUUUUAGAUGAUGAGAAGAUAGUUGCAAGAAAUGAUUUUUAUAUUGUUGGUUAAACUUUUGAUAGAAGUUAAAACAUCAGUUCAAUAACAUAUGCCUCCAUGAUUGAGGUUAAAGCCCAAAGUUUUAAAUGAAUGUGGACUUUAAUUAAAAUAUAAUUAGAUUUUAAUUAAUUAAAUAAAACUGUAGAACACAAAUUUAUUGAACCAUCAAUGAAAAUACUCAAGAUGUAUAGGGUGGAUCGGGUUGACUUUCGAUCUCCGCACACUGCCUCUCCAUCUCAUCUUUAUGCAAUGAACCACCACAGGAGGGGAACCACGAAGUAAACAAAUAUGGUGGUCACAUUUGCGGAUUGGGGACAAACCUGUAGGCUCUUGAAACAGAAUGUGAAAAUCACCCAAUAAAGGAUCCAGCCACUGGUGUUUUUCUUGUGGGCAUAAUACAUGGAGAUGUGGCUCAUACUCAGUAUGUAAGCCUUGCAAAACAGCUUGUUGCUCCGCCUUCUCAAAGCUCAUGGUGAGUGUUGCAAAGUCCCACCAGAUUGUCUCCAAUAUCAUUAACCACUCUACUCCAAGAACUAUAUCAAAUCCAACUAAAGGUAUAAUGUAAAGUUCAAUGGGAAAGAAGCAACUUGCGAGUAGGAGAUCUGUUUUACAGGAAUCAAACACUGGCAAUUUUCUGCCCAUUAGCUACUGCUACUUGGAGACCAGUUUCUUGUUUAACAGGAAUGUGUAAGCGUUGAGCAGCCAUGCUAGUUAGGAAAUUAUGGAUGCUGCCUAAGUCGCCCAUGUCUGAUUGACUAAUAAAUCAGAAACCUGUAGUAAAUUCAAAUCCUCUUAAAAAUCAAAUUCAAGAUAUGGAUUGGCCUCAUCAAACAACCAUGGGUCCUUCCAAAUAUUGAUUGAACUUCCAUCUCCCACCCUUUUCGAUAACCAGUAUGCAAAAUCAAAUAAGAAGCACAAAUGCUUCUCCAGAUUUGAGAACAAUUUGGUUUUACUUUGGCUCCUAAAAAAUCUGAACUAGUGAAAUUGAUACAGGACUAUUUAGACUCCGUCAGGAGUUGUAACCAAUAUCGUUUGAUUAAGACGAAAUAAGAGAAAAGAUAGGUUAAAAGACGAAAAACCUUAUUGAAAUUUCUUAAAAAUUGGAAAGUGAGUUCCUAAUAGCCAAGGGAGGCUAUUUAUAAUAGAAAUAAAAUCCUAAUAUGCAAAAAUAAUCAUAAUCCUAAUAGGAGUCUAAAAUCCUAAUAGCCAAGGGAGGCUAUUUACAAUAGAAAUAAAAUUCUAAUAUGCAAAAAUAAUCCUAAUCCUAAUAGGAGUCCAAAAUCAUAAUAGCCAAGGGAGGCUAUUUAUAAUAGAAACAAAACCCUAAUGUGCAAAAUUAUGAAAAUACCCAAAAUAUCCAAAAAUAAUAAUUAAAAUACAAAAGUUAGCCCCGGUCUAAAUCUGCCGUAAAAUCCAAGGCUAGUUGUUCCGUAUCAUUUCCUUCCACUUGUAAAGAACUCGACCUCGAGUUGUCAUCAGCAGGAUAGUACUGAAAUAGAUCUGACACAUUAAACGUCUUGGAAAUUUUCAUCUCAUGUGGGAGGUCAAGAACAUAGGCAUUGUCAUUGAUCUUCUGAAUGAUCCGGAAUGGACCAAUCUUCUUGGCGUCAAGUUUUUUUUUUCCUCCACCACGCUCCUUGCGUAAAUACACCAUAACUUGGUCACCGACAUUGAAGGACUUGAAACGCCUAUGUUUAUCAGCUGUAGCUUUAUCUUUGUCAUUGACUUCUGUAAGGCAUUGUUGUACCUGUUUGAAAACAUCCACGUGCUGCUUUACCAAGUUGCUUACUGCAAUACUAUUGUGAGCAAAUUCCACCUGGUCUUGGAGAAUUUCACUCUCCUUUAGACUCAUCUCGUAAUGAGGCAGAUUCGAUAAUUUUGAUCCAGGAAUGAGAUUAAUCUGAUGUUGGAUAUCCUGCGGAGGUGGAAACUUGGAUGAUUCCUCCAUUAUCUUAAGAAACUCCUUCAACAGCUCUUUGAUGGGUGGUGGUAAAGGUAGUGCAUCCUCCAUUGUACUUUUUUCUCUCACCAAUAAAGCCAUUGUGUCUCGAGAUUUUUCAACUGUGCCUGAUAGCUUCUGCACUCCCGUAGAAAUAGCAACAACAUUGUUCCCUUCCACUUUAGAAUGUUUCGCAGCACCGGAAGGCAAGAUAGUAAUAUUUUUUUUAUUUCACGUGAACAUGUAUAAAUUCUCCUUCCCCUUAUGCAAAGCAUCAACAUCGAACUGCCAAGGACGACCUAGCAAAAUUCCACAACAAUCCAUAUCCACAACAUCACAAUUAACAAGUUCAGUAUAAGAUUUACCGAUCGAGAUAGGCACGCUGCAGAUUCUGUUGACCUCAAUUGUCGGACCUUCCUUAAUCCAUCCAACUUUGUAUGGCGAAGGAUGCGGCUGUGUAGGCAACUGCAAUUUCUCCACCAAUUGCUUAGCUAUCAGAUUCUCACAACUGCAGCUAUCUAUAAUUAGCCUGCAAAUUGCCUCUCCUAUUCGGCACUUUGUUUGGAAAAUCUUCCUCCUUUGCGUUUCAUCCUCCUGUUUUGUUGAACAUAAGAUUUUCUUCACUACAUAGGUGACUGCCUUUCCCUUAUUGUCAACCACAAGAUUGGCGACCAUAGGAUUGGCGACUAGUUGGGGGUGUGCGGUGGCGGCGGGUUGGUGGAUUCCCUGCUGCAAGGUCAAUUGUCCGAUCAUCUCCCUCAAUUCUGCCAAAGAUGCCUCAAUCGCAGCAAGUCGCGCCUCUUGAUUAUCUGCCAUGGUCGAACUUUGCUCUGAUACCAAUAUGAUACAGGACUAUUUAGACUCCGUCAGGAGUUGUAACCAAUAUCGUUUGGUUAAGACGAAAUAAGAGAAAAGAUAGGCUAAAAGACGAAAAGUCUUAUUGAAAUUUCUCAAAGAUUGAAAAGUGAGUUCCUAAUAGCCAAGGGAGGUUAUUUAUAAUAGAAAUAAAAUCCUAAUAUACAAAAAUAAUCUUAAUCCUAAUAGGAGUCUAAAAUCCUAAUAGCCAAGGGAGGCUAUUUACAAUAGAAAUAAAAUUCUAAUAUGCAAAAAUAAUCCUAAUCCUAAUAGGAGUCUAAAAUCCUAAUAGCCAAGGGAGGCUAUUUAUAAUAGAAACAAAACCCUAAUGUGCAAAAUUAUGAAAAUACCCAAAAUAUCCAAAAAUAAUAAUUGAAAUACAAAAGUUAGCCCCGGUCUAAAUCUGCCGUGAAAUCCAAGGCUAGUUGCUCUGUGUCAGAAAUACUUGUCCUUUAGAAUUCUAGCAACCAAAGAAUGAGAACUCUUUAAAAUUCUUCACUCUUGUUUCGCCAAAAGAGCGUUAUUAAAACUGUGCAAAUCUCGGUAACCCAAACCACCAUACGAUUUAGGAGUAGCCAACGCCCUCCAUUUCAUCCAUCACAAACCUCCAUCCCCAGCAUCCCCAUUGGCCCAAAAAAAUCUGUUCAUUAGAAUCUUAAUAUCUUUACAAAUUUCAAUUGGCAAAAGGAAUAAAGACAUUAUAUAAUUAGGCAUAGCUUGGGCUAUUGUACGCAAUAAAAUAUUUUUACUACCCUUCAAUAGCAAUUUUGCCUUCCAUCCCUAGAAACAUUUUGAUACCUCCUUCACAACAUAUUGAAAAACUGCUCUUUUAUUCUUGCCUACAACAGACGGCAUGCCCAAAUAGUUUCCCUAGUUUGCUAUCUCCUGAACACCAAGACUUUGACAAAUCAACUCCCGCCUAUCAAAAGGCGUAUUUGGAGAAAAAGAAACACUAUAUUUCAAAAAGUUAAUUUGCUGACUAGAGACUAACUCAUAUUGUUGUAAACAAGACUUCAAAACAACAACUUCAUCUAUAUUAGCUCGAUUAAAGAAAAGGGCGUCAUCUGGAAAAAAUAAAUGGAAUAUAGGCACAGCUUGUCUAGUAACACUAGCUCCAUGAAUCCGGCGCCUGACUCUGAAAUUUUUGCAAAAUAGCUGAUAAACCUUCUGCACAAAUGAUGAAUAGAUAGGGAGACAAUGGAUCUCCUUGUCGCAAACCACGCUCAGGAAUUAAAGGGCCAAAUUCCUCAUUACCACGCACGAAAAAAAAAAAGAAACUGACCAGACAAUUUUCAUAAUUUUUGAAAUCCAUCUAUCAGCAAAACCCAACCUCUCCAUCAUUGAAGCCAAAAAACCCCCCCUUCAACUCGAUCAUAUGCUUUGCUCAUGUCAGUUUUAAGAGUCAUCCAACAUCUAUUACCCUGAGUUCUAGAUUUAAGAGUGUGAAAUAACUCAUAGGCCACAAUAAUGUUAUCCAUAAUAAGUUGAUUAGGAAUGAAUGCACUUUGAGUAUCAGAAAUAAUAUUAGGCAGAACAACUUUUAUCCGAUUGGCUAAAGCUUUGUAAACAGUCCUAUCAACAACAUUACUCAAUGAAAUAAGCCUCAAAUAUGCCACAACCACAGGUACAUUUUUUUCGAAAUUAAAAUCACAUUAUUACGAUUAUUACCUACAUAUCAACUCUAUUAUUUAAAUAAUCCAAACAAGCAGCAGUGACAUCACUCCUAACCACAUCCUAAUAAAGUUGAAAGAAACCAGGAUGAAAACCAUCUAGUCCAGGGGAUUUGUCUAGAUGCAUUGAAAAAAGUGCCUUCCAUAUUUCUUCGGUUGUAAACGGUUCUAAGAGAUAAUUACUGUGCACUUCAGAAACCUUAGCACCAACCGAAUUCAAAAUCACAAAAGAAUUACUCUGACAAGAAGUUAACAGAUUCCUAUAAAAGUCCAUAAUUAGUUGUGGCAAGCCAGAAUCCCAAUCCAUUCAAACACCAUUCUCAUUUUUCAAUGGGGGACACAAAAUUCUUUUUGUUUUUGUUAGAAGCCAUAACAUGAAAAAAUUUAGAAUUUGCAUCUCCCUUCGCUAACCAAUAUUGUUUUGACCAGAGAAGAUUACUAUAUUGGUCCUCAACUGUUUGCAAAAAAUUAAGAUCAACAAUUGGUUGUUGUCAUAAAAAAGACAAAUGCCUCUUAACAGAAUUAAGUUGAUCUUUAAAAUCCUUAUGAUAAUUGCAAACCCAAUCAUGCAAAAAAUUCGAGCAAUUUUUAACCGAUCAACCACCAAAACACCUUGAGCUCGCUGCCAAACCCGAAGUGACAAUCUCCCUACAAUCCACUUCUAAAUUCCAUGCAUUUUCAAAUCGAAAUUAUUUUUGCAUAUAACGUCUGAUAUUUACCCCUAAAGAAAGAAACAAUGGUAAAUGAUCAAAAGUUGGAGUAUCCAAAACCUCUAAUUUUGCCAUAGGAAAUAGUGUAAUCCAGAAGCUUGUUGUCACAGCUCUAUCCAACCUUUUUCGGAUAUAAUCAUCAUGACACCUGUUUUUCCAAGUAAAACGACACCCAUAAUAGCCCAUAUCACUCAAUUGACAAUCGGCUAAAGCUUGACGAAAACCUUCCAUUAGCCAUUUAUUAUAUCGUUGAAAUCUCCUACCACACACCAAGUCAAUUCAAAUUUGACAAAUAAUGACCAUAAUAAAUUCCAUCCUAACCUUCAUUCUCCUCUAUCUGAAUAGCCGUAAAACCAUGAUAGUCUCCAUGGACUCAAACCAUCGACACAAACUUGAAUAUCAAUAUGUUGUCUUGAAUAGCUUAUUAACUUAGCUAUAGAAGACUCUCUCCAAAACAUAGCUAAAUCGCCUCCAAUUCCUAUUAGAUCAACCACAAAAGAACCUUUAUAACCCAAAGCCCACUUCACCUUCAAUACCUUCUCCUGUUUAACUUUUGUUUCAAUGAGAAAAAUAAAAGUGGGAUGCUUCUCGAACUCAAGAACAAGGGCUCGAACUAUACGUAGGUUCUCAAACCCACGACAAUUCCAACUAAGCGAACUCAUUGGACCUAGUGGGCCUAGAAACGAGAACCUUCCUGUGUGAAGUUUUUUGAAACCAACUUGUUAGUUUCUGGUCCAUCUUAUCCCCAUCUGACUCAUCAUCAUGUACGUUAUUCUCAUUUGUAAUACGUCUGCGUUUUGUCUCCAUAAUGAUAAGGUUUUCUGUUGCAUGUAGAUCAAAAUUCAAAUUGUUAACCUUUUCAACCUCCUUUUCCAAAUUAGAAUUUUGAACUGCAGGUUUAUAUGCUGCAUCCGCCUUCUCUUUUUGCGCUUUGGACGACACUCCAUCCCCAGCCGGACCGCCGUCAUCCUCCACCAGAAAAUCACGUUCAGAGACUAACCAUGGCGAUCCCAUCUGCACUGAACGAUGAUACUCAGCUCGCAUCCAUGGCUCAUAAGGAAACUUGUCUCUAGGAACGUUAGGCCGAUCAAACAGUUGUGGACAAUGCUGAUCUGAGUGUCCCAAAAUGCCACAAAAAUAACAAAACGUGUUCAAUCUUUCAUAUUUAAAAUUAAACCAUAUCCAAUCUCCCCCUGGUUUCUUAAUAUGAAUUCGCCGUUUCAAAGGCUUCCUAACAUCAAUGGCCACCUGAACACGCAUAUAUUCCUUCCACAAUGGAGAAAAACUUCGAGAAUCUGCUUCAAGAAACGUCCCAACAAAAUUUCCAACAUCAGUAGCCACCCUUUCUGAAAAAAAUCCAGGUAUAACAUCAUGAAUCUGCACCCAUAUUUCAUAUUGAGUAAGUUUCACAGCCCUAGGAUUCUCAUUAGCCUUUAACUCCCGAAGUAAUAAAGGAUGUUGUUGAUAAUUCCAUGGGCCAUCCUUAAAAACAUUAUACACAUCUUUAUCAUGAAAAAACUGAAAUAAGAAUACAUUUUUCCAAGUUCUUUAACGUUGACACUCUUUCGCGGCCGCCAAAUAUUAGCCAUAAUGGUCUUAAAAGUAUUGAAAUUGAUUGGCCUCUCCUGUAACACGCGACCCACCACACAGUGCUGCCAAUCUGAACCCGGAAGAGUUUGUUGUGGCUCCUCAGACUCAGCAGCAUAUUCAAGACCACCCACACCUUCAUGCAAAACCAAUUGACGAUUAAGGUCAUCCAUGGAAUCAUCCUCCGUACCUCCUUGCUUCAUAUCAAAAAAAGAAGAUAAAGGAAGAAAAGCUUGAUUUAUAAGAAAAAACAAAGAGAAAAGAAAUAGCAGAGAAAGAAAAAGAAAAGAUCACGUACAUAAAGCCAUUAAAAUGACUUUAGGAUUCUAGACUUGUUAUGCAAAACAAGAGGAAAGACUCUCUAGGGACAGCGAGAGAGAGAGUAUAAUUUAGCAAUACCUUUAGUUAUGCUUAUUUCGUGUUUAUCCUUUAGCAUCGUGGAAACAAAAUAUAGUUAUUUUAAUUGUAAACAGAAAUGAAGUGUGUGUAUAUAUAUAUGUAUAAAAGGCAGUUAUGUAUAUUACCUUAUAGUAUACAAAAACACUAACAUUUGCUCAAAGGAGCCCAGCAAUAAAUAAAUAAAAAAGCAUUAGAAAAACAACAUUACAAUGUUAGCAGGGCAAAACCAGUGCGAAUGAAGUAGGACUUGUAGACCGUCGGUAAGAGAUUUUGGUAUCAAAUUCUGACACUUGCAUCACUCCCGUUGCCCGAACCAUAAUAGUCAUAAGAAUAAAGAUAAUAUAUUAUCAUCAUUAUAAAUUAAAAAAAAAAAGAAGAAAAGCAUUAUUGAAGUUUUUCUUAAUGAAAUUUAAGUUUAAUUUGAUUGAUAUAAAUAUAGUUUGAUUCAUUAAUUAAAAAAUAAUCAUCCAAAAAUUAAAGAAAAAAAUUAUUUUUUAGUACUGUUAAUAAGUAAAUAAUUAUAUUUUUAAAAAUAUAUUAAAAUAUCAUUAUUUUAUAUUUACGUAAACUAAAUCAUCAUUCAAUCAAAUUUCAUCAAUUUUUAUCAUUAAAAAUAUAUCAAAAUUCUUAUUUUUUUUUUAAAAAAAGAAAGAUUAUUUAUUUAUAAUACGAGAUUUAUUGAUGGUAAAAUUGAGUUUUAAAUUUUUUUUUCUUUCGUCCUGCCUUUAUUUUUAACGAAAAGGAUAAUCAAUAAUAUUUUAAUAAGUUUUUAGAAAUAUAAGAAUAAAAAUAUUUUAAUAAAUUUUUAAAAAUAUAAGAAUUGAUGUUUAAAAAUUGAAUAAUAAAUUUUUAAAAAAAAUUAAUAAUCAAAUGAUGUUAAUAGUCAAAUCCAAAAAAUAAUUCCUUAAGGAUCAAUUAAGGUGUAUUUGGAAUUUAAAAAAAAAAAAAACUAAAGUGUAUUUGGCUGGGAGAAAAACAUUUUUUAACAUAUAUAAUUAUAAAGUACUAAAAAUAAUUAAAAAUAAAUUUGAUAAACACUACAAUAAUAAAAUGUUUUCCAAACUGUUUUCUUCAAAAACAAAAUUUUUUCUUUUCCCUGACAGUUUUGACCCUCAAAUCAAGUGGACACUUAAGAACUUAUAAUAACUUAUAUUAUGAAAUUAUUUAAUUUUUAAUGUAGCAAUAUAAUAUAUCAUAUUAAUAAAGUGGGUGUAUAAACUGAUUUUAAUGCAUGAAAAAAAUAUAUUUUCUUUCAAGAGUUAAUUGUUUCACUGUAUUUAUUGCAGUGUUGUGACAAUACUUUUUCAGAAUAUAAAUAAAAUCAAAAAAAUUAUAGAGGUCAAUUCUAUAAUUUUUCUGAAGAAAUUCGGAUUGAAAUUUAAAAGAGAAUAUAAAAUAAUAUAUAAAAUUUAGAGUAUAUAUUUAUGGCUGUUGAAGACAUAUUUUUUCCUUUUAUAGAAAAAUUUUAUUCUUUGUCUGAUUGAGUGAACUUCUGUUUGAAGAUAGAAUCCCUUACUUUAAAUAAGGGAGGGUAUUUUUUGAGAACGGUUUCACUUGACAUCUACUGUGAAUUUAUUUAAUUUAUUUAGUUAUAUAGUUUUAAUUUAUUUUAUAAAUUUAACAGCGAAUACAAAAAUUGCAAAAAAAAUUUGAAUUUAUAUUGUUUUGUUUGCUUCUUAUUGUAGAUGAAGUGGUUGUUAGAGGACCUUAAUGAGGAUAUUGAGAGCACAUGGUGUCUGUUAAUAACACUAUUAGUUAAAUGAGAUUGAGAUGUCAUAUAUUUACUUUUUACUACUCUACUCCAUGCUUACGGCUUUGCAUGUCUUUGUUGAAGGUGUUUUUGGCUACUUGAAGGCUAGAUUUGCUUGAAUUUGGCAGAGGCAGAGUCUCAGGCUGUGUUGCAGAGACUUUCUUCCAGUGGCAAGAGCAAGACCGAGACCUUAGGUUAGCAACCUCAUGGACUGGGCCAUUCUCUGGCUGGCUUGUGCCUUCAUAUCUGGGCUUUGUAGAUAUAUUUAAAUAAAUUUAAAUAUAUAUAUUUUUAUAUAUUUAAAUUUAAAUAUUUUUAAAAAUAUUAAAUUUUUAAAUAAAAAUUAUUAAUAAAAAAUAUUUUUUAUAUAAAUUGUUAAUUAAAAUAUAUAAAAAUAAAUUUAAAUUUUAUUAAAAUAAUAAUAAUAAUAAUAAUAAUAAUAAUAGCCUAAAUAAAUUUUAAUUUUAAAAAAAUAAUAAAUCACCGAGAAUUUGGAUCGAAUUAAAAUUUUAUGUAUAAGUAUUUGUUCUGUAUUUAUUUAUAUAAAUAAUUAAUUUAAUAUAAAAAAUAUAUUUUAUUAUAAUAUUUAUAAUUUUUAAAAAUUAAAUAUUUUUUAAAAAUAUUAAAUUUUUUAAAUAAAAAUUACUAAUGAAAAUAUUUUUAUAUAAAUUAUUAAUUAAAAUAUAUAAAUGUUUUGCCCACAUUGAACGCAACCGCGUAGGCAAACAGGGAUGGCCCUCAUCUGAUAUUUCCCUUUAAAAACAAAAAUACCCAUUCAUUCUCAAUUUCAAUUUGGAUACUCGAGAAUUGAGAUAAAAGACCAGACUUGGUGGGUGAUCUUAAUUCCAUUCCCAUUCCAAUAGCCAUCAUUUUGAUUUCUGAAUAAACCCAAAACUACCAGAAAAGAAAGAAGCCACUUCAGGAAAUUUCGCAGCAGUAGUCAUCAAUCAUCAUUCAUCAUCUCUCCAAGGGAAGAAAAAGAAAAGCCAUGGACAACGAAGAUUCAUCGUAAGUUACCCACAAAAAUUUCUCUUCUUUCUAUCGAUCUUUCCACAGAAAGUAUUGACUAUUCAUAGAAAAAUGUUUAUAUAUCUUCAAUUGUCGGUAUGUGAGCAGGUUUGAGAGUAGCGAGAUGCUAGCCUCUUUUCUCACAUCCACACCAUUGCUAUCUGAAUCAUGGAGGCUAUGCGAUCUAGCCAAUACGAUGCCGUCGCAAGGUUUUGUAGCAGAGCAGACCGGAAGCGUGGGUUAUCUGGCCUUUUCUGGUGUUCAGCUGGUGGCAGGGCCCGACCCAACCUCCGCCAGGAAUUUGGAACCGCUUGUUACUUCUGCAAUUGGUCUUUUCUCUCCUUUGCAACAUCAAAUUGAUGGAGAAGAAGAAGAAGGACAGGAGCCCGUCAUGGUUCACGCUGGGCUUUUGCGGGUCUUCUUAUCUGUCUAUAGCAACCCAAGUUUUCAAAACCAGGUCAGUUUUACCAUUUCUUUAUUACCAAUGAGCUCAUCAUAUUGCAGCUGCCUUAAAAGCUUAAGCUUUUAUUUAUUUUAUUAAAAAUAUAAAAUUAUUCUAAAUAUUGAUUUAAUUAAUUGGCUAGCAUGCGGUAAAAUUAAACUCUAUAAUUAAUAAAUUAAAUAUUUUAAACUCUGACAAUUUAUCACAUUAUUUAUUUUUUAUAUAACAGGCUCCAAUAGAGGACUAAACUCAAGAAAUCAUAACUUUAAAAAUAAUUUUAGUACUAUUACUGAAUUAAAAUUGAUUAAUGGUAUUUUUAACACUAUUUAUGAUAAUUAAAAACAAAAACAAAGCUAUUUAAAAUAAUUAUCAUUUUCUCUAUUACAAAAAAUGAUGUUUUGUAUAUAGUUAAUAAAAUUAAAAAAGUAUUAUAUAAACAUGCAUUAUGCAAAAUAAUACUAUAUAUAUAUAAAAUGUACAAAACAUUAAAAUAAAGUCUUAUUAUGAUUAAUUUACAUUGUAGUUGGCCAUCAUACAUCAUUGACUGGGUUUAUGCGUUAAAACACGUCUCUCUCUCUCUCUUUCUUUCUUUUUGAAAAAAAAAAAAAUCAUUAGUACUAAAAUCAAAUGAACAAAAGCAUGACAUGGCAGUUUCAGAAUUUUCUUUUUUCUAAUUUGGUAGACCAUUUUCUUACAUUAAUAAAAUUUAUACAUAUAAAUGGAAUAAGAAAAAGAAAAGAUAAUAAAUCUGUCUAUAAUAUGAUUGAUUUUCAAUAUUGCUAAAACACAUGUUUUAAUCAUAAUUUCAUAUAUUUAAUGUAUUCUUAUUUUAUUAUUAAAAGAGAAGAGUAGCAGUCAAUUUAGGUUGCGUUGGUGUUCAUCUCAUCCUGUGGUUGACCCGUUGUUACGCGUGGUGUGAUUUGAUAUAUUUUUCUUUCUUUUUUUUUUUUUUUUUUGGGUCAACCUUUUUCUUAUUGCCUUUUAGUCUGACCUACAAUUUGAGCUUUCAGACUGAUAAGAUGAGAUUCGUAGAUUGAUUAUAAAAGCAAAAAUGCGUGUGGGCCCUAUAAUAAUAAUAAAAAAACUAAAAGCAUCAAAGUUAGAAAUCAACUACUAUUGCACUUUCUCAAUUCACUUCAACAACCCUUUUUAAUUAUUUUUUGGACCUAAACUUCUCAAAGAAACUUUAUUAUUAUUAUUAUUAUUAUUAUUAUCAUUGUUAAAUUAGUGAUUUUUUUUUUAUUUUGAAAAUUAAUACUCAAAUCACCUUGUACAAAUUAUUUAUAUAGAAUUAAUUAAAUUAUGAAAUCAGAUGCAAAUAAUUGGCCAAUUGUUAUUAAACUCAUUUUUAUAUAAGGUUUAGCCUAUAAUAGCCAAGUAAUUCAUAUAAUAUUUCAUUUAAAUUAAUUGUGUUGUUCGUAAAAAAUAUCAAGUAAGGAUUUGCAAAUGAAUUUCAUGAAAUGUACUCAUACGGAUAAGCUCUGAAAUGCAGAUGUUGAAAAUAUUGGAGAAAAGCAAGUCAAUUGUGAUAUCAGGCCAUGGCAUAGGAGGAACAACUGCUGGACUCUGUGCUCUUUGGCUACUGUCUUACCUUCAAUCAAUCUCUUCUACCAUCUCAGUGUUAUGCAUCACUUUUGGUUCUCCGUUGCUGGGUAAUGAGUCUCUUUCCCGUGCCAUUCUCCGCCAGGGAUGGGCCGGCAACUUUUGCCAUGUGGUGUCAAAACAUGACUUGGUUCCAAGGCUACUCUUUGCUCCUCUUGCUCCCCUAACUCCUCAGCUACAUUCCUUGCUUCAAUUCUGGCAGCUAUCGAUGACUUCACCGCACUUUGCAUUGCUUGCUGCCAAAUUACCUGAUGAAAGCAAAGCUGAAAUCUUCCACACUGUAUUAGCUUCCCUGAAUGGUUUGACGCAAGCAGAAGAAGGGAAAAAGGUAAAUUGCGGCUUUUGGCCAUUUGGGAACUAUUUCUUCUGUUCUGAAGAUGGAGCUAUUUGUAUUGACAAUGCAACAUCUAUUAUCAAGAUGAUGCACUUGCUGUUGCUGAGCAGUUCGCCAAGCUGUAGCAUUGAGGAUCACCUUAAGUAUGGAUACUAUGUUCGGAAACUCACUCUGCAGGUUCUGACGAGGACGAGUUUCCCACCUUGGGAGCUUCCUGAAUCAAGCUAUGAAGCCGGUGUUGCACUGGCUUUGCAGUCCUCAGGAAUAGCUUGCCAGGUAGGUGUUUUCUGUUAUUCUUUUGUAAUUGACUUUAUCACAAAUCUAAGCUACUGUCGUUAUUUUUUUAUGCCAUUAAGAUUAUGAAUUGAAUCUGUAGGAUGAACAUGUGGCUCCACCAGCCAAAGCUUGCCUGAAAUUGCCAAGGCGAACAGGACGUACACCAAACCUCAACUGUGCUAAUCUAGCAAUUAAAUUGUCUAAGAUAGCACCUUAUAGGGCAGAAAUAGAAUGGUACAAAGCAUCCUGCGACCAGUCUGAUGAUCAAAUGGGGUACUAUGACUCUUUCAAGCAAAGAGGAGCCUCCAAAAGGGGCUCUAAAGUCAAUAUGAACAGGCUCAAGCUAGCUCGUUUUUGGGAUAAUGUAAUUAACAUGCUGGAAAACAAUGACCUUCCUCGUGAUUUUCGCAGGCGAGCAAAGUGGGUGAAUGCAUCUCAAUUCUAUAUGCUCCUUGUAGAGCCACUAGAUAUCGCUGAGUAUUAUAGAACAGGAAUGCACCGUAAGAAAGGUCAUUAUAUUAGGCAUGGAAGAGAGAGGAGGUACCACAUUUUUGAAAGGUGGUGGAAAGAGAGACCAAUUAAAGAGGAAGAGCAGAAAACUAGAAGCAAGUUUGCAAGUUCCACGCAAGACACAUGUUUUUGGGCCAGGGUGGAGGAAGCUAAAGAGUGGCUAGAUAAUGUGAGAGAUGAGUCGGAUCCAAGAAAUCAGGCUCGACUAUGGUCCGACCUUGAUAACUUCGCAAGAUAUGCAAGUGAAUUAGUGGAAAGAAAGGAGGUCUCUAAGGAUGUAGUAGCAAAGAAUUCAAGCUAUUGUCUAUGGGUGAGAGAUUAUGAGGAAUUGAAAUCACAAUUUGUAGGUGCACCCCAGUUUCCAAGUAUUAUGGAUAGGGAAGUUGUUUCUUAGCUUCUCGUUUCAAGGAUAAUGUCGAAUAUCACCAUUUGUAGCUUUUACACUUGGUAUAUACAAUAUUGAGCUCUGUCAUCAGAGUGAUGAUUUUUUAUCUUGCUCAAAAAUUGUGUGAAGCCAUUAGCCGGACAAACAUUUCCUUUAUAAGAGGAGUCAUUCAAUAGAAAGGUGAAACAAUUGACAAAGAAAACAAACUAUAGCACUAAUUGAAAAUCAGUCGAACAGCCUGUAAUGGAACUUGGGGAUUCCAAUGAUAUAUGUGUUUGAAUUUGCAAUUGAAGUUAAACCUUUUCAUUUGGAAUCUCAAUAUUCCUAACCGGUCCCUUGAACCAUUUUCUCGCAUCCAACACCCACCAGAGCAUUAUCAAACUCAAAACAAUUCCCAAAGCCACCGGUGAAUAGUUGAAAUUAUCCCAAGAAAUUGGGUAAUAAGUUGGCAAAAGAAAGACAGAACAGGUAUAACAAAUCCACAGAAAGGCAAUGAAACAAAUUGGCCUUCUUGCUUUGCCCAAAUAAAAUGGCCCAGCUUUGAAAUUCUUCUCAGCCAUUACCAUUCUAGCGAAAAUUGGAACUGCAUAGCCACCAACCCAUCCAAUCGUGCAUAUGGAAGUUAUGGCAGUGAAGACUACAUUGACUUUCAAAAUGGGUAGUCCUAGCAGAAUGCAGACGGCUGCACAGAGCCACACUGCAUUUGAGGGAACUUUGUGCUUCGGAUGCACUUGUCUCCAUACUGAUGAAAAAGGAAUUCCUUGAUCUCUUGAUAGAGCAUACACCUGAAGCAAAACAUAAAUAUGUUAAGAAAAUAAGUCUGCACUGACUUGGUGCAGCAAAGAGAAAAUGUUGUUUUCUUUGAAACUUCUAUGUUGGCAAUCAAAAAGCAACAUAUGCUUGAAUUUUGCGAAAAUAGAGAGAACCUUCAUUCUGAAAAGGCAGCUGUGGAGCAGCAGUAGAUGCUGCUAAAUAAGUCUUAAGAAGUCCAAAAGCAAGCUAAUUAAGCUCCUCUUAAAAUCAAAUAUACUUACCACUCUGGCUGCACUGGUGGUGAUUGAAAGCCCACCGAAGAAGAAUGAACCCCAUAUGACAAACAGUAAAACGAUUGCUCCAGCAGAAUUAUGGUACCUCCCAUGAAAUGCAUCAUAUAGUAUUUGAGCUGGCACAAAUGCUCCAGCAGUCUCAUUGGUUGUAUCAUAUAGGUAGUUGAAGUCCUGAGAAGAUUGCAAGUAAAAUAAUAGAUUUGGUAUAAUCCAACUGGUGCUUAACUUUUUCCUUUUUGAACAGAUUAAGAUGGCAGUUUAUACAAGUUUAUUUACAUACAAUUUAAUUCAGUAGACUCCAAAAUGACUAAUUACUAAGAAGAUGAGUUGAAGCAUACCUGAAUGCUAAAAGUAAGCGCCAAGAUAUAUGCCCAUCCAAAUACUGAAAUGAUGCCAAUGCUGGUAAGAAUUGAUAUAGGACCAUUUUUAUCUGCACCUUUUGUUUCUUCUGUAAGAUGAGCUGCUGCAUCAUAUCCAUAUAGCGAAUACUGACUUACAAGAAAAGAUAGAACGACUGCAUAAGGUUUGCUUGAUAUUCCUGUUGACUCGGGUGCCAUUUCGAAAUGUGUAAACACAUAUGAACCAGAUUUUCUACUCAGUGCCACUAGGGGGAGCAUUAUAACAAUCACCAAACCACCAAUAACCUAUCAUAAGAAAUUGCUAUCAAAAUUACCAUUGGAGAUAUUACCUAUAACAAGUUCAGCUAUUUGCUUAGUCUGAGUCGUUGAAAACUAAAAUAGAGAUUUGAUCAAUAAGAUGUUGCAUGAUGCCCUUUAUAUAUCAGACUUGGAACAGUUAGAACUACUAUUAAUAUUUGAUCAAUAAGAAUCCAUAUCAUAAAUUUUCCCAACAUUUUUCUUAAGAAUCAAACAAAGCAUUGAUGUCUAUAAGUGCCUCUCCACAUUGAGGAUACGCCAUCCACAGUCUUCUCUAGUUAAUUGAUAAUUUGUGAAGAAUUUCAACCAUAAAGCACUGCUAGAUUUGAUAAUUGAUAACUAAUGCAGAAUUGACCGUUACUACUAAUCCAGAUGAAUCAUCUUUCUGUUUCUCCUUUAAUCGUUGACCAUACAGAGAAUAAAUUAUUUUAUCCAGCCAAGUAGAGUGAUUAGAUAGCAACACUGCACCCAUGAAAAUCAUAAAAGAAAGCAUAUAGAAGGCGUACCUGCCACCAUAUAGAGAUUACAUCAAUGAAAGCAAUAACUUCUAAUGCGAAUGUGUUGAGAACUGCCCAUAUAACAGUGAGGCCCAUGUAUAUGCACAAGAAGAGCCAUUUAGGAGCAAAAUAUCCACCAUCUUUAUUUGUGCCUGUGGAUAGUAAGAUUAUACUCUGCAGUGUUUGUGAACCUGCAUAUGCCUUUCAGACAAAUUAUGCAAAGGAAAAAGAACAAAAAAAAAAGAAAAGAAAAUAGUGAUAAUCUGAAUUCCAUUUCAAAAUAGUAUCAAGUGGAAUUGAUCAAUGCCCAUUUGAUUUUUGAAAGAAAUCUACCUGAGUACCAAUACCAGCAAUGAGUCCUAUAGUCUCAAGCCAAGCACAACACCAUGAUGCCAAUGGACCCCAUCUGGGGCCUGCUAAAUGGGCUGCCCAGAAGUAUAGAGAGCCAGUGGUCUGUUCAUUUUACAACUAAGAGCAAGUUAGCCGCCUAAAGCAUAGUUUUCUCAAGACAUUUGUGUUGGAAUUUAAUCACAUAUCACACACAUGAAAGAAAUAAAAACAUAGAAUAAAGAAGAGGAUAGAAGAAAGAAACCCAAGUUCUCCCCAAUAAUUUCAGAUCAAUAACGUCAAGGCAAAAGAGACAACACUCUGGAGAGCGAGCUGCCUUUAAUAGAAAACCCUCGGGCCUCAUCAAUAUGGAACAAUUGCUACAAGUUAUGAAAAGAUUGGCAAAGAUCAGAGAGAACAUACUGGGAAAGAGGAACAGAUCUCAGCCAUUGCAAUACCCACAAACCAGGUGAAGAAUGAAACAACAACCCAACCCCAGACAAGACUUGCAGGACCUGCAUAUAAAAGGCUUGAACCGUAAAGGGGAGUAAUCCCAGUGAAAAGGGUCAUCGUGGAAAAUGAUAUUGCCAGAGUCUUGAACAAAGUCUACAAGCAAAAAUGAAAAAGAAAACCAAACUUAAUGACACCAGAUGAAACAAAAUUACAAGUAAGAUAAAAAGAUGUAUAAAGUAAUACCAUUUCUCUUCUGAGUUCCUGCCUGUAACCCAGCUCAUUGAGGCGCUUCUCCCCGGAAUCCAUUGCUGAGAAUUGUCAGUUGAAGCUGGAGAUGAAAUCGCGCUAGUUAUAAGGGGAUGGUUGUCUUGUCCAUCAAAAAGAAGGGCUUGACUUGAUGCAUAUUUUAUUCGUAGAUUUGAAUGGGGGCAGGCAAGUCAAGUUAUACAAGUCUCUGUUUGCUGUGGCAACGUUUGAAUUAUCGUUAAAUGGGUUCCCUCCACGCAAACGGCUCCACUUGGUUUUCAGCAAAAUGAACGAGCUUUUUUGACUUUUAAAAGCUGCUGCUUGUCUUCACACAAUUGGAAAAUUGGAAAUUUUUAAUUUUUUUUUUCAAUUUAUUUUUACACUUUAUAUAUAAUUUUUAAUUAUUGCCAAAUUAAGUUUGGAUCUCCACAAUCAUAAAAAAAAAUAAUUACUUUGAACAUAAUUAAUUACUAAACAAAACACUACAUAGUAAGAUUAAAUUAUUAUUUAAAUGGUCUAAUUAGUAUAAUAUAGUAAAUAAUACGUUUAAUAAAAAUUAUAAAAUUUAAGGAAUCGCACUCACAGUUUUAAUUUGGUGGUAAAUGUAUUUGAAUGAAUUUAAAAUGUCUAAAAUUUAAGAAAAAAAAAUGUGAAGGAAGAAAGGAAAUUAAAAAAAAAAAACAAUGGGAAGGAAGAAAGGAAAUAGUGGAUGGUAAAACAUGUUCUUAAUUAUUUAUAAUUAUAAUAUUUUUUAUUUAAAUUAAUUUUAAAAUAUAUAUAUAAAUUAAAAUUUUUUAUUUUUAAUGUUUAUAUAAAUAGUUAAUCUAGCUUAUAUUAAAUUUUAAUUUGAGAUAGAAUUUUAUAAAAAUAAUUAAAAGAAUUUAGAAUUUGUAAAAAGAAAUGAACUUCUAGGCAAAAAUUAAUCAAUUUAUUUUAAAAUUUUAAAAUUUUUAAAAUUAAUCUAAAUUUUUUAAUUAUUUCACAAUUUAAUUUAAAUUUUUAAAAAUUAAUAUAAUUUAAUUUAAAAUUUUUAAAUUUAUUCUCGAUCACUAUUAAAUCUUUAAAAUCUUAAUAUUAUAUUUCAUUUUUAUCUGUUUGGUGGAAAAAAUAAUAAUAAAAUUUCUUUUUAUUUUUUAAUUAUAAUUCCCUUACUCUUAAUAUAAUAUUUCUACUUAUGUUUUCAAGUGGUAACUUAUACUAUUAAGAAUAUUAAUAGCACAAUUAUAAAUAGUACGACUAUGAUUUUUAUUUUUUAUUUAUUACAUAUUUUUUUUUAUAACAAAUAAGAUAUAAUUUAUUAUAAUGCAUUCCAGUAAAGUAUUUAGAAAAUAAAAAAUCAAUAAAUAUAAAACUUGUAAUUUUUAUUAAAACUAGUGCAAUUUUUAUUGGAACUAAUGAUAAAUAGAAUAAAAAGUUAAAUAUAUGAUUUUUACAUUAGGCUAGAGGAGAGGAAGAUAAAUAAAUUUAAAAAUUGAGUUAAAUUACAUUAAUUUUUAAAAUUUUAAAUUAAAAAUUAUAAAAUAACUAAAAAUUUUAGAUUUUUUUAUCAAUAGCUAGUUACCUGGCAUAUAAAUAUAAUAAAAUAAUUUGAGAUAGUCUUUUUGAUUCAAGUUUUAAACUUAAAUAUAAUUACAAUAAAAAUUUACAAUUUUACUAAUUUUAAAAUUUUAAAUUAAAUUAUAAAAUAGCAAAAAAAUUUUAACUUUUUCGUGCAAAUACACCUUAAAGAAAAGGUAGAACUCCAAAAUUUGGACAUGAAUGAGCUUUUGCUAUUAAGAAAAGCCACUUAUCUCUUGCUUAAGAAUGAUUAUUUUAAGCGAAGGAAACAAAUGUUUACAAAUCUGUUCAUCUUUAAAAUUAAAAUAUUAAAAUGAAAUUAUUCUCAGGUACUAUAUCACAGAAAGAUAGUUUACUAUAAACCAAAAGAAAAAUGUACAAAUAAGAAGACAUGUAGAUUCAACCUAUAAAAUUCUUAGUUCAUGAUAGACCAAUUCAAGGAAGAAAAACCUUCCGUACAAGUAUUACAAGCUUAAAACAUCAGGCAAGCAAAGCUUGCAAUGCCGGAAAAUGAGAAAUAUCUAUGGAUUAAUGUUUCAAUUUUCUUUUUCUUUCCUCCUUUAUGGGCUGUGCUGCUACUAAACGCCAACUUCCAACAAAAUCUUCAGAAUACAGGCAGACAGAUUUUCAAUUACACAACAAAAUUUUAGUAGUAGCUGGAUUGGUUCCAACUUCUGAAGGCGUUAGCCAGAAUCUUGCUAUUUUAUGUAGAUGGAGGAAAAACAAAAGGAAUGUAACAAGAAAUGGGAGAAAAGUACAGAAAGCCAACAUACCUAUAAAAUUUCAAUAAAAUAGAAACAUUGUUCUGAAUGAAUUUUGCACUUCUCUAGGAUUGUUGCUUAUAUUUACAUUGUCAUAUGAGUGUAUAGGUUAGAAUCUGCCAGACAACCAUGAAGCCUUACCUUCACAAGAAUGCUAAGGGACUAUCAAUUCCUUGCUAUCCAGCCAGUCUUUGCAUCUCAUUAUAAUCUUAGGGCGUAACUAUAUGCAUCAGUCAUAAUUUUACUUUAAAAGNNNNNNNNNNNNNNNNNNNNNNNNNNNNNNNNNNNNNNNNNNNNNNNNNNNNNNNNNNNNNNNNNNNNNNNNNNNNNNNNNNNNNNNNNNNNNNNNNNNNNNNNNNNNNNNNNNNNNNNNNNNNNNNNNNNNNNNNNNNNNNNNNNNNNNNNNNNNNNNNNNNNNNNNNNNNNNNNNNNNNNNNNNNNNNNNNNNNNNNNNNNNNNNNNNNNNNNNNNNNNNNNNNNNNNNNNNNNNNNNNNNNNNNNNNNNNNNNNNNNNNNNNNNNNNNNNNNNNNNNNNNNNNNNNNNNNNNNNNNNNNNNNNNNNNNNNNNNNNNNNNNNNNNNNNNNNNNNNNNNNNNNNNNNNNNNNNNNNNNNNNNNNNNNNNNNNNNNNNNNNNNNNNNNNNNNNNNNNNNNNNNNNNNNNNNNNNNNNNNNNNNNNNNNNNNNNNNNNNNNNNNNNNNNNNNNNNNNNNNNNNNNNNNNNNNNNNNNNNNNNNNNNNNNNNNNNNNNNNNNNNNNNNNNNNNNNNNNNNNNNNNNNNNNNNNNNNNNNNNNNNNNNNNNNNNNNNNNNNNNNNNNNNNNNNNNNNNNNNNNNNNNNNNNNNNNNNNNNNNNNNNNNNNNNNNNNNNNNNNNNNNNNNNNNNNNNNNNNNNNNNNNNNNNNNNNNNNNNNNNNNNNNNNNNNNNGUAGCUUAGCUGUUGAGAGGUUGUUACAAGUUUGUUACAGUUGCAGCUGUAAAAAUACUGGCUGGAGACAUUCUUUCAGCACUUGAAGAAUGAAAUCAAUAAUUCUUCCCUCUACAAUUCUAGUUCUCUUUCUCAUCUAAUUCUAUUUCUCUAUCUCAUCUCCUAUUCUCUUUCUCACCCAAUCUAUUUCUUAUUCAUCUUCUCCAAUUCUCUGUUCCUUCUCUGUAAUUUGUUACAGCUUGUUGGACAAAUUUAUAUCCUAUCAACAGGUUAAAAAAUGCUCAACCACAAGCAUAGAAAGUAUACCCAUAUAAUAUCAUCAAGGAACCUACAACUACGUUACAUAGCAGAUUCUUAAGGCAUCAAAACUGAAGAAGAAUGAAGAGAAGGAUAGCAGAAGGUAGAAACAAAACAGAACUGAGGGAUAGUAUCGAGAAAGAAGAAGAAAGAGAGGGGGAAAGAAUUGAAGAGAGAGAAAAGUAAUCGUUGUAUUAAAUUCACCAGAUUGAUGUAUCACUUACAAUCUGCAUGGCACAAUUCCAUGUCAUCUUCUAUUGGUAUGUAACUAACUAAUGCACAACUAAAUAUGAUCCUCAGUCAUAACAAAAUAUUAUCACAUUAUACCACAAUCAACAAGCUUUAUGCAUAAAAGUAAACAUAAAAAGUCGCAACAGAAAUAAAUGGUAAUUGCUGAUUGACAUUUUGAUCCCUUCUACAAAAGCUAAAUCACAAUAAAAGAAAACUUAUGCUAAAACAACUGUACAGAAAGAAAAAGUUAAUAACCUUGAAGUUUCUGAUUCACAAAAGCAUGAAGAGCAUGACCCUUUGACUCAAUCAGAAGAAUUGGCCGGCUUCCCUUCUUCAAGAACUCUUCACGUUCGCUGACAUUAAUACUGUCAUUGAAGGGUAUUAUUAGUUUCAAAAUUAGAUUUAGAUUACAAGUUUACAACAUAACCUCUUAUAUAUGCAGUAUUCAUUUACACUAUAUGAUAAUUACAUUCAUACAGGAAGAUUCCACUAGUGUGGAUAAAAACCUGCUAAGAAAUCCAAAGCGUAAUCUUCAAAGGCUCCACCUUGAAGUUAUAAUCGGAUUGGCAUGAAAGGCAGCCACAAAUAAAGUAAUUGAGUAAACCACAACCUUUUUGUUGUUCAUUCUUUUCCACUCAAAUAACAUUUGAAUGAUUAAAACGCAUGCUAAAUUAGAAUAAUCAGUCCAUAUGUAAUUGUCCAUGCUUACAAUUCUAUGCUGUUGCUUAUUAGUUUUCUAUGGAACAGGACAAACCUUGUUGUAUACCAGAGGUAGUCAGUGGUAUCUUGUGUGGUAUUGAUGUGAUCCACAAAACCCUUCUUAACAAAGUCUGGAUUUCCCCAAAUCCCAGCAUUCUCCACAAAUGAUUCCCACUUAAGAGCUUUCAAGACUUUAUCUGAUGGCCUCAUAUCCUCAGGUACCAUUUCAACUACAGAUGUCUGGGAACUCACCUGUUGACAUAUUAUGUGCAAGUGCAAAUCCAAACUCAAAAAAAGAAAUAACAAGGUGAGGUAGAGGUCAAAUCUGCUUAUUGCAACACAAUAUGUUAAUCAUAUUUACUACCAUGAAAUUGUCAGUUGAUGUCUGUAUGAUGAUAGGAAAUGUUGUUGAUCUUCUAAUUUGAUGAUUUUUUUUUCUUUAUACUUCGCAUUUGGUCAUUGAUGGCCAGAGUUCUGAAAGUUUUCUUUUAGCUGUCGAAUUCAUUUUCAUCGUCCUUUUAGUAAACAAAAUGUGUAACUAUUAAAAUGCACAGAUACCAACAGGGGACUAGCUUUCAGCAUCUCAUCCUUUCCAUAAAAACUGACAUCUAUGCAUUUCAGAUAACAAAUUUGCACUGAUAGUCAAGUCUGAUUUCAAUUUUCAGUUGAAGCAUCAUAUGUAUCAUUGUUACACAUGUAGAACCAAGAAGCAACCAGAAGUGGUCAUGAGAAACGCCGCACUAAAUACUACAAUUUACUGCUUUAUGUAAAAAUGCCUCAAGAUGUUCAUGACUGCUGAUUCUUAAGAUGAAAACCUUCAAAUUAUUUAAAGGCCUUCCACCCUCGUGAGAGAACUCCAGAUAUGAUGUAGAUCAUGUGUUAAGAGGUCCUAGAUCAGGCUGAUUGGUAGAAGCAGAAAUGAUAGUGCAUAAACUGUAAGUUCCUACCCUAAUUUUAAACAAUCAUUAUGCCAAAUCAGAUGGCAUUUCAAGUAUCAAUGAAAAGUUUACUCAAAGGACCCCUUGAAUAUGAUAUACAUGGUUUAAGUCAUUUCCAAAGUAAACAAUAUUUUCUCACAUUUAGGUUGUGCUUUUUCAGCUUCUGUACAUUCUAUUCCACCUAUUUUGAAAAAUAAAAAGUAUUUCAAUCUUUUGUCCCAUUUUCAGUUUAUAGUUGUGUAGUUUUGAUUAUUUUCUCAUCAAUUUAAUAUCUCAGGUGCCCUUGGGAUCAGAGAGAUGCCAAUAUACCAUCGCCACUAUGGCCUUCAUUAUUGAACAAACAAAUUUCUAGAGUUUUUAUUUGAAGUUUGAUCUUACUUUUGAAAGGUUGAGCUGUGUUCUAUUCCUUAUCACUACCUAUUGUGUUAAUAUGCAACAUUAAUAUUUGAAUUUUCCUGCCUAGACCAAGACUAUAUCUUCAGAUAUAUGCCAAAUUAAUGAUUUUGGAGGAUUUUGAAUUUUAUUUUACAAUUUUAUCUUAUACAGUUUUUUGAGUUUGAUUCAAUAUGUCGCAGAGGCAAUGGUUCAGACUAUUUGGCCUGGCCUGGCCUAGCCAAACAACUACUGAAACUAACUUUAUAUGACAAUGGAAUUAGUGAUUGGAUGUUUUAUCAGAAUGCUGACAUUUGUAAAUAUGAGUUACCUUUGCAGUAUUGAAUACUACAUUCUUGCAAUCAGGCAGAAUGCUAACUGACCAAGCAGGCAGGUGAUAUGACAUAUUCCGAAAUUCAACAAUCUUCUCAUUCUUUUCAUCUGUGUUAGCAAGGAAGGCAACGCCUGCUCCUGAUGCAUCAGCAAAGACAUCAGCCUACAAUAAGUGAUCAUCAGAAAACACCAUCAAUUUUCAUACUUAGAUUGAGGCACUUGAAACAUUACAGACCUAAAAUUGCACAACUAUCAUAAUAGAAAAUAUGAGUACUGCAUUACAUUUACAAUUCAUAAUUGAUAGAAGUACCACAACGAAGAGCCGCUCACAUCAAUACAAAUGACUAUCAAAAUGCAAAGCCAAAUGACAAAUAGAUUGUUCCGAAUUCUGGUUAUGGAGGCCGUCAGUAGACAGCCCUCUUGUUGUCAUGUCCGUGAUAUCAAACACAAAAUUCAUAAGAAAGUAAGAAGAAACACCAAAAAGUAGUUUUACUGCAUAGCCAGUCUCAGCAAAUGCCCCCAAUUUCCCUAUCACUCCAUGAGAUGAUCAAGUAAAGCUGGAAUGAUUGACAAAGAAAUUUUCAAGAUAGGUCCCAGACUUCCUCUUUCUCACUCUCCCACUUACUGUUUCCACUGAGGCAAAUGUAUCUACCAUCAUCACCCUAUAGCUAUCCAUUGUCCUUUAAAUUGGCAGUUUAUAUCAGACCUUUCAAUUUAAGAAAAUGCAUUUUCAAUAUCACUCAUAAUUUGAACAAUCAAGAAGAUGACUUAUGUGCUUGCCUUUUUCAUCAAAUCAACAUUAGAGAUGCUUCAAGAUUAGUAUGUCCAUGUCAAAAAAAAAUAGCAAUAGCCUUUAGCCAGCUUGUCAUGAGAAGAGGUGGCAAUUGCUUAUCUUUUCCAAGGCCCUACCAAUUCAGCAACGCUUCCAGUCCUUUCGUCUAAACAAAUGGAUAAAAAGAGGCUAUAUAUGUGUGAUAAGUACAUCAUUACAUUGUUGACCACAAAUUUUUUAGGAUUUUUCUAAUAUAAUUGUACAUGAAGAUUAGAGAACAGCGAGUAUGGAAACAACAAAAUACUAAGUAUUGUGGACAAAGUAAUUUCAAAUUAAUCUAAGUUCACAUGUGUAUGCAGUAUGGACACCAAAAGCUAGAAACCCCAAAUAAUUUGAACAUAAUGAACCAUUUUCUAGCAUGGAAGAACACUUCAAAAUACAAAGAGGAAAUAAAACAUUUUUUUCAAUUAAACAGUUCAAGAGUCAAACAUAAGACAAACUUCACCUCUUGGGAAGGACCAAGUGACAGAUUAACUGGGUUACUGUUCAGCAUCGUAUGCUCACAUAAUUUAAUAGCCCUAUGGAGUUCCCUAAGGUGUGCCCAUUUUGGAAGCCUAGGUAACCCUGUCAACCACAUGAGAACUCAUCAAGUUAUGCACCAUGCAUUCAUAAUAACAUGCACUCGGUUUUCAUUUUACUUAUUCAUGAUUUGGAAAGGCAAAAAUAAGAAUUAACUAUGUGCUUCAUCAAUGGUGCAAUAUAAUAAUUAUCAAUUUAUGCACCAUGUGUGAAUCAGUGAAUCAUACAUCAGAAAAGAGGCUCACCUGCCAUGUUAUACUCUUAGACAGUGGGUUUAUAUAAUUAGAACGACAAAUUAUAUUUACUCACCAUAUUCAUCUAUUGGUGCCUCGUAGUCAUAACUUGUUGUAAUGAAUGGUCCGCCUGAAGUGCGACCGAAAUUUGUUCCACCAUGAUACUAGAGAAAAGGCAUAGUGAUAAAAUUAUAAUAUUAGUGAUGUAGAACUAACUUUAAGUGAAGAUCAAAAUUCAAAUGUGGUAUGUGCAAANNNNNNNNNNNNNNNNNNNNNNNNNNNNNNNNNNNNNNNNNNNNNNNNNNNNNNNNNNNNNNNNNNNNNNNNNNNNNNNNNNNNNNNNNNNNNNNNNNNNNNNNNNNNNNNNNNNNNNNNNNNNNNNNNNNNNNNNNNNNNNNNNNNNNNNNNNNNNNNNNNNNNNNNNNNNNNNNNNNNNNNNNNNNNNNNNNNNNNNNNNNNNNNNNNNNNNNNNNNNNNNNNNNNNNNNNNNNNNNNNNNNNNNNNNNNNNNNNNNNNNNNNNNNNNNNNNNNNNNNNNNNNNNNNNNNNNNNNNNNNNNNNNNNNNNNNNNNNNNNNNNNNNNNNNNNNNNNNNNNNNNNNNNNNNNNNNNNNNNNNNNNNNNNNNNNNNNNNNNNNNNNNNNNNNNNNNNNNNNNNNNNNNNNNNNNNNNNNNNNNNNNNNNNNNNNNNNNNNNNNNNNNNNNNNNNNNNNNNNNNNNNNNNNNNNNNNNNNNNNNNNNNNNNNNNNNNNNNNNNNNNNNNNNNNNNNNNNNNNNNNNNNNNNNNNNNNNNNNNNNNNGCCUCCUUUCCCUUUCCAAAAGAAGAAUUUAUUAGAAAGAAAAGACAGUAUAAAACAACUUAGAAUUUUCUUAGGCUUCCAGCAUAACAAUUUAAUUAAUAUAAUGUAUUAAUUUUAAAGUUCAUUAAAAAAUAUUUCAUAAAAAAACAAAAGAAAAAAACAUAAUUUAAAAAAAAAUUGCUGGGGUUUGAACUUUGAACCCCAGCAGCAAGGUUACAAAGAAUAUUAAAAGUGCCAAUAGAACUUGUCAAUUUGAAAAUAAAUGACUAGAUGUAUGUGUAAAAAGAAAAGAUGGAAUAAUCCUAAUGACAGAUGCUGAACAGGAGUUGAACAUGGAAACCACAGAUCAGUGCUUUCCACCACAAUGUAAAUGUUUCUCCAAUGGAUAACUUAAAUGUAGAAAAUUUGAAAUUUUGAUUUUUAAUUCCCUAAUCUCUAGUUGGAGACUUGUACAAGUAAAAUAAAUUAUAUGUUGUAGUUUUCUUAGAAUAAUUUUCUGGAAAAGAUGACUUGUUUCCCACAACUAAACAAGUCCUUAGCAUUCCUCUCCAGCCAAAGGCACCAAACUGGUAGAAAUAUAGAGAACAACAUCAUAACCUCUAAGCCUUCUUUCCUCUUACCUUGUACUGCCUAUUAUCUCUCUCACCUCGAUGGUAAACCCACCAUCCUAAAAAAUUUUUCCAAAUACCACGCAAACAAACAAUCUUAAAACACCAAGGAGACAUUUAUCCAUGCAGAAAAUUUUGGUAAAAGAAGGAUGAAGAAUGCAUUUCCAUUAGCUGAAGUAAAUAAAAUAAGUUUUAAGUAAACAAAAGGGGCAAAAUUGCUAAAUACCUACCAUGCACACAUAUACCAAAGAAGCAAAGCACCACCUUACAAGGCAAAUUCAUGUUUUUGCAUGAUAAAAAAAUUCUAGUGAACUUGAAGGAAUUUCAAGUUGAGAAGAGAGAUAUUAGCAUACAUCUUACAUCUUUAAUUUUUAAGCUAAAGUAUGCCAUUUCAUACAUGUCAUAUGGAAUACUUUUUGCGUUAUUCUCACAAGACAUAAAUGCGACUGGUUUCAUUUGAGCUAAAGCAUAAGAAUGACUGAUCGAUAAAGUUAAUAAAAUUUCAAGAGCUAAUUCAGACAGGAUACAACAAAAUAGAGACCAGAGGAUGAGUACAAAUUACCAUCCAGGCCAAUUCUCAGUCCAAAUUUUAGGCUUGUCCGGAAAAAUAGGUUUAAAUUGAUCGCAGUAGAAGGAAUUACAAGUAUUUAUCUGCACCAAAAUGGAAAACAACAAAAAGUGAGGGAAAAAAAGGGAGGUCAUGCUUAGAGUUUAGUUUUUCUAAAAAAGAAAAGGUGAUAUCAAGAUCAAGUGUUUCAUCAUCCUUACAAGUAUAUACUGGUGUAAUUAACUAUAACAGAAUAGUUAUCUAAUAAUUAGAUGCAUGGUAGAUGUAAUUGGAAAUGUUUAAAACAAAACCUAAAAAAGGCCAAGUGCCAUGCUCCAGGUAAAUUAUUUGCCAUUACUAUUAUUAUGCAAGCACAGGAGGGUAAAACUUUUUUAUAACUUGAAGCAUAAGGUAUCCUGGGCUUCUGCAUCACAUUAUGUCAAGGGAGACACUAACUCAAUAGUCAAUACACUCAGCCUAAUGCAACAAACUGAAGAAAUUGUUUUUGCUAAAGAAUCUUGAAUAUGAAAAAUGUCAGCACUCCCAUAUACAUAAAUAUAUUUAUAUUGUUGUGCACUAUUAUAUUAUAUAACAUAGGGAAUUUAUGUACUCAUACCACAAUAUCUGGAGCAUCAAACUGCUGGCACAUUAUCCAAGGCACACCAGCAUUUAGAGAAACAGCCAUUUCAGCUGCCCACAUGGCAUACCGCUUCCCUCCUUCUCCAUAAAAGCUUUCAUAGAAUCCAUAUUCAUUUUCAACCUGCAAUUGCCGCAUAAGCUAUGCUUACUUUCACUGCAGAAUGAAGCUUUUUAUUGAUAAUCACUGCGUACAAGCAACACCUAUAGUCUAGAGGUUAUAAAUAAAUACAUACAUAUAUAUAUCAUGGUUGUUCACACUACAAAUUUCUUCAACACACUUCAUUCUACCUUUUUGUUUGAUCAAUUUUUUUUUUAUUGCAGACACUUCCUUUUCCAGUAAAAUUCUUUUGAUAUGUUAAAUGGAGUACAUGUAAAAAUUUCAGAGCAUGAACAACCACGUCCAAUUAAUUAGUAAAUAUUUCAAAUCUGUCCUUUUCACUUUUGCAUUAAAAGUUUAUGUAUAUGUUAUGUAAUUAAAAUAGACAAAGGGGGGAUCCUAUGGAAAACCCAGGUUACGUUGCUUAUCUAAGGAAAAAAAGCAGUAUACAGGAACAAAAGAAAAAAUAUAAAGAAAAUGGGGGAAAAAAAAGAAGAAAAAAGAUAAGCACAAUUCAUCAUUAGGCCCAAAAAUGUUGUUACGUAUUAUAAAGAAAAAUGUUAAAAGGAAAAGACAAGAGAGAAAAGUAGAAAGUUAUUAGUUGUUCUAACAAUUCUUGCUGGCGGCUUGUUUUAUGAUUGUCAGAAUAUACCUCUAAGGUUGUUAUGUGCAGAGAGGUUAUAUGUAUCUAGCCUAUCUCAGCAAAGGGAUGCAUGAAUGAUAAUCAAAUUCAAAUUUCUCUCUGUCAUUCUCUCUCUCUCUCUCUCUCUAUUUCUGUUCUAUUAUUCUCCAAGCCCAAUCCACACUCUAUUUCCUUCCUCAGCCACUCUCAGCUUCUCAGUAGCAGAAUUAGGGCUGUGAAAAGCUCUUACCAGGCCUAAAAUAAGCAUGGUACAAAGUUAAAAGCACUUUUAAAAUUUGGGACCUUGUUUACCUAAAGAAAACAGUGAAGAGUUCCUCUCAUCUUUCCAAAAAACACAGACACAGGCCAAUGAAAAAAAAAACAUAUUCAUCAGCAUAAGUUUAGAACAAGGGAAAACUUGUUUUCACUUUUAAAAAAGAAAAAAUAAGGAUUUUAUUAUGUUUAAACAUCAAAUUAUGGUUAACUUUCCAUGUGGAAAAUGUUUCCCAAAAUUGUUUCAUUUUUCCAUACGUAAAUUUUAAGAAAGAAAAAAUAAGGAUUUUAUUAUGUUUAAACACAAAAUUAUGGUUAACUUUCCAUGUGGAAAAUGUUUCCCAAAAUUGUUUCAUUUUUCCAUAAGUAAAUAGGCCCUAGAUAGUUUAAGCCCUUCUCCAGAACAAAAAUAUUCAAGAUGUUGCCAUCAUCUAAAGAAAAAGCAGAAAUCCUCGGCAAGAUGAGUUUGUGAUGGCUUCUACCAAUAAUGUCAUAUAGUUAUUAGGUCGGUUAACUCUAUCAAGGAAAACUUCAAAAAUUCAAGUCUCAAAAGUUACAUGUGUCCAUUGUCCAUACAGAAAACCAAAAAGUUGAAAUCAUAGUAGCAAAAACAAAAUAAUAGAAUGUUGCUCGAACUUGAUGAAUGCUGAUACCUAAGGAACUGAAUUCACGGUAAAAGAUUAACCACAGGGACUACUGUCUACUGUUAUACUUGCCUGAGUCAAGAUGAUGGGACCUCCCUGCCACGCAAAAAGCUUCUCUUGCUUCAUUAGGUUCACUAUGUAAGUCAUGAAUUUCUGCAUGUGAUACUGAACACAAUCCAACAGGCAAUUAAAUCAUCAGAGGCAACCACAUUUCCUUCCAGAUGUAUUAAAAUAUUUUUCUGCGAUAAGGAAAUUAGAGAGCUAAAGAUCCUGUUCAAUACCUUGAAGUUAUAAUUAUCAGUUCGAAAGACGGUGUCAGGAACAUAAUGCAACCAAACAGGUACUCCCCUUCAUUCACAUAACAUAAUUAAAUAUAAAGGAAGUGCAAUAAAAGAAAAUUAAAUAUGAAAAUAAGAAAUUAGAGAAGUUUGUAUAAGAUGAGAGAACUUAGAAUCCAGCAUUCACAAAAAAUCAGUACCCAAAAUUCCAUUCUGCAGCAACAAAUGGGCCAAUGCGAAGAAUUAAAUACAACCCGGCCUGCUGAACAAUCUUCGCAAACUUGACCAGAUCGAACCUUUUCUCGAAAUAGUACUGUCAUUUUCCAAGAGAAACCAAAGAGCUAAGUACAAAUAGUCAACAAAAACUACAGAGAUAACAUUAGAGCANNNNNNNNNNNNNNNNNNNNNNNNNNNNNNNNNNNNNNNNNNNNNNNNNNNNNNNNNNNNNNNNNNNNNNNNNNNNNNNNNNNNNNNNNNNNNNNNNNNNNNNNNNNNNNNNNNNNNNNNNNNNNNNNNNNNNNNNNNNNNNNNNNNNNNNNNNNNNNNNNNNNNNNNNNNNNNNNNNNNNNNNNNNNNNNNNNNNNNNNNNNNNNNNNNNNNNNNNNNNNNNNNNNNNNNNNNNNNNNNNNNNNNNNNNNNNNNNNNNNNNNNNNNNNNNNNNNNNNNNNNNNNNNNNNNNNNNNNNNNNNNNNNNNNNNNNNNNNNNNNNNNNNNNNNNNNNNNNNNNNNNNNNNNNNNNNNNNNNNNNNNNNNNNNNNNNNNNNNNNNNNNNNNNNNNNNNNNNNNNNNNNNNNNNNNNNNNNNNNNNNNNNNNNNNNNNNNNNNNNNNNNNNNNNNNNNNNNNNNNNNNNNNNNNNNNNNNNNNNNNNNNNNNNNNNNNNNNNNNNNNNNNNNNNNNNNNNNNNNNNNNNNNNNNNNNNNNNNNNNNNNNNNNNNNNNNNNNNNNNNNNNNNNNNNNNNNNNNNNNNNNNNNNNNNNNNNNNNNNNNNNNNNNNNNNNNNNNNNNNNNNNNNNNNNNNNNNNNNNNNNNNNNNNNNNNNNNNNNNNNNNNNNNNNNNNNNNNNNNNNNNNNNNNNNNNNNNNNNNNNNNNNNNNNNNNNNNNNNNNNNNNNNNNNNNNNNNNNNNNNNNNNNNNNNNNNNNNNNNNNNNNNNNNNNNNNNNNNNNNNNNNNNNNNNNNNNNNNNNNNNNNNNNNNNNNNNNNNNNNNNNNNNNNNNNNNNNNNNNNNNNNNNNNNNNNNNNNNNNNNNNNNNNNNNNNNNNNNNNNNNNNNNNNNNNNNNNNNNNNNNNNNNNNNNNNNNNNNNNNNNNNGCAAACGUCAUUGACUCCACAUAUAUCCAUUCGCGCAGGGUUUUAUGGAGAGACGUAAAGCGGUGGGGUUUUACAGGUUGGAAAUUAUAUUACAUGGAAACCGCAACUGCUCUAUUCCAAAAUACUUAUUUUGGAUCAGUUUAUUAUAAAUGAAUUAAGAUAUUUCAAAGUAUAAAAAAAUAAUUUUUUAAUAAAAGAAAUAAAUAACGUUUAUUUAUUUAUAUUUUAAAAAUAAUUUAAUUAUUAUAUUUACAUGAUAACAAUUGUAUAAAAAAAUUCCAUUUAAAAAAAAUAAUUGUAUAAAAUAAUUAUUCUUAAAAUAUUUAUAAAGUUACAAAUAAAAAUGACAUUUAUAAAUUUAGUAUAGUGUUAAAUGAAUUUUACUUUUUUAAUUUUUAAUUUUUAUUAAAAAAAUUAUAAAUAAAAAUGAUAUGAAAAUAAAAAAUAAAAAAAAAGAUGAUAUACUUUCUCUUUAAUUGAGAGGAAGUUAACAAGAAAUUAUUAUUGUGCAUCUACUCAAACGAAAAUAUAAAGGGAAUAAUAAGUUGAGAAUAUUCUUUCUUUUUCUUUUUUUUUUUAAUUUUUUCCUUUUCGCUAUAAAAUUCUAAACAGGAUGUUAGAUUUAAUUUGUAUAUUUAUUACACAUAGUUUAAUUAUUUUUUACAAAGAAAAUCCUCUUUUAUUUUCCACUUCAAAAAUUAUAAAAGCUAAUCUCCCGAUUAUGUAAAUAUUUCAUAAAGUGGCAUAUCCAUUUGGUUUUAUCUUUGGUACGUGAUGUCAAGAAACAACUACUUAGACUUGGAAAACAAGUGGGCCAUAUAUAGCUUUCAUUUUAUAAACAAGAGUAUUUUAAAAAUAUCAAUUUUUUUACUAAAUUACUCUUACAUCCCUAAAUUUUAUCAAAUUAAAAAAAAUUAUAAAAAUAAUAUUUUUCAAUUUAAUAAAGUUAAAAUAUAAGAAUUAGAUUAUUUUAUUUUUAAAAUUUAAUAGAUAUAAAUGUUAAUUUUAACAAGAUUUAAAAAUGAAAAUUACUAUUUAUUUAAGGAAUUAUGCUAUAAUUAAUGUAAAAUUAAAUAAAAUGAACUUCAAUUUAAUAAAAUAUAUAUAUGUACAUGAUAAUGUUGAUAUAAAUUAUGGAUGUAAAAGUAAUUUACGUAAUGUUAAAGAUAUUAAAAUUUUUUGAUGUGAGAAGAAGAAAAAUAUUAGAUAUUUGACACACACACACAGAGAGAGAGAGAGAGAGCAUGUUUAAUCAUUAAGUGAGGCACGUGAUGUGUCAACAUACGUACCAUGCAAUGGAGUGACAAAAUUUUUUUAUUUUGAUUCGGAAACGCGUCGGUGAGCCGACAGCCAAUUUGAUGCCCAUUUUCCUACCAACCGAUUCAUUCUUUUUUCAUUGUUUCCUUCAGUUUUUAACCUUCCGUUUAUAAACCGAUUGUUUAAUUUCUUUUUGAGUUUAUUUAAUCAAAUAAUUUAUUGUUUAUAUAAAAAUUAAAAUUUUAAUAACUACAUUCAUCAAACUAAAAUUAUAUUACUUCAAAGUAGCAAAGCUUCAAGAACUUGGCUUCUUCAUUUAAAGUAGGCCUUAGGUUUACUAACAGCUCAGCAUUUUCUAUUUACAAAGUAUUAGUUUAGAAUUGAUAUGGAGAUGUUGUCGAUAAAAUUAUCAACAUUGAUAUAACCAAUGUGGAGUAAUUAAAAUUUAAUUCUGCUAUCUCAGUUUUCUAAAUCUAUUUGUAAUAAUUCUUUCUAAAUCUGUUUGUAAUAAUUCAAUUGACCAUCAGAUUAAUUACUGAUCACCAAUCGCACUAAUGAAGAUUUUUUUUACUAAUGCAAGUCCAUUAAUUAUAUACAGAGAGUAUAUAAAAAAUAUAAAAAUUAUUUCAAAAAUUCAAAUGGAUUAAAAUAAAUUAAACAAAGAAAAUUAAAUAAAACUGUUAAAAUAUGGAUAUAAUCGGUAUAUAAUAAAAAAAGAUUGCAUAAGUAUAGAUUAAUUAAUAUUAAUUGAUUGAUAAAUGAUUCUUAAAAGUUGGCUUAACAAGUCUUAUAAUCUGCAUACAAAUACACUUAUUUCAAUAGAAAAAAUAUAUAAUAUUGUCUAAUUGUUCCUUGUCUUGUUAUAUGUUAUCAGAGUCUUUUGGUUUGUUUUGAAAUUGGGUUUUUGGAUUUGUUUUAUAAUUUUAUUUUCUGGGUUACCUUAGAAAAAGAGAUUGUUUUGUGAAAUGCAAGUGAAUUUCCGGUCGAUCCUCAAAAAUUGAUGGUUGGGCGGUAAGCGAGUGGGUCUCACGCGUCGUUUGUUGUUUCUGUUAUAGAUUUUGUGUGCCGCAAGUGGAGGCACAUAAGACAUCUAUUGGACCUCCCAUUUCAUCUUCGGCAUCGCCUCGACAUUUUCGACCAUCCUCCGGUGCUUUUUCUAUCAUCGAGCUUUUCUGAUUAAAGGAUCUUCCUUUUGGGUAGUAUAAUACCUUUCUGUUCUUUUUUUUUUUUUUUGUAUUGUGCUCGCUAUUGUUUGGAGGUCUUGUUUGGGUCUGUAUUUUUUGUUACUAUUUGAAGGCAAGUGUUGUGCUUUGUUUGGGUCUGAAUAUUUGAUUCUCUGUGUGGUACUCUUCUUGUUGUGAAUCUUAACAUGGAUAUAAAUAGUAAGUCCACUCUUGUAGCUACUAUUAUUGAGACAAGUAAAACUUAUCUUAUCUCCUCUUCACACAAAUGGAUCAUUGAAUCUGGUGUCACAGAUUACAUGACAGGUAAUCCUCGUAUUUUCGUCAGCUUUUGAUCUCAUAAAAUACUAUUUUUUGUUACCAUAGUUGAAGAGUCAAUCUAUAAUGUUGAGGGGUAUGAGACUGUUAAACUUACCUCUUCUAUUACCUUAUCAUAUGUGCUAAGUUUAUUUAGCCUUGCUUUUAAUUUAAUUUAUGUGAGUAAACUUAUCAAAAACCUAAAUUGUUGUGUCUCUUUUUUUUUCUUGUUUCAUUCAUGAUCUUGUGACGAAGCAAAUUAUUAGUAAAAGACAUGUAUAUCAGGAUCUCUACAUUUUGAAUGCUUGGUGCCUUAGUCUAUUGUCUACUCCAGUAUCGUAUCUCCGUUCGAAGCAUAUUGUCGGUUGAGUCAUCAUUCUUUAUCGGUUUUGAACAAGCUACGUCCUCAAUUUCAUGAGAUAUCUCCACUCGAGUGUGAGUCGUGUCAUUUUACCAAAUAUCAUCGAAGCUCUUUAAGUCCUACAGUCAAUAAACAAGUCGAAUCUCCCUUUGAAUUAGUUCAUUCAAAUGUUUGGGGAUCAUGUCCGGUUAGGUCUAAGACUGGAUUAAGAUAUUUUAUCACUUUUGUGAAUGAUUUCUUUAUAAUGACUUGGAUUUAUAUUAUGGCUAGGAAGUAUUUUCUCAUUUCUCUGCCUUUUGUUCUGAAAUCAAGACUCAAUUUAAGGUUUCUGUGAAAAUUUUACGAAGCGACAACGCUAAAGAAUAUAUGUCAGAAUCAUUCCAGACUUAUAUGACUCAAUAUGAUAUUCUUCACCAAUCAUCAUGUGUUGAUACGCCCACUCAACAUGGGGUAGCUAAAAGGAAGAAUAAACAUCUCCUUGAGACUACUUGAGUUUUGUUGUUUCAAAUGCAAGUUUUUAGUAAUUCUGGGCUGAUGAUGUCUCUACUACAUGCUUCUUCAUUAGCCGCAUACACUCCAUAGUACUAAACAAUAAUACUCCCUAUAAUGUUCUCUUUCCUAAGAAGUUAUUAUUUACUCUAGAAUUAUGACUUUUUGGUAGUACUUGCUAUGUUUAGGAUGUCAAACCUUAUAUGACUAAACUUGAUCCUAAAACUUUAAAGUGUCUUUUUAGUAGAUUCUCGUCUUCAGAAGGGGCUUCGGUAUUAUUUUUUAGAGCUCAACAAAUAUCUGGUUUCAAUAGAUGUAGCCUUUUCUGAGCAAAUUUCUUUUUAUCCUGUUGCACAAAUCUCUACUGGUCAGGAGGAGGAUGAUGAGUGGCUCACCUAUAGAAUCACAUCUUAUGGUGGAAACUCAUCAAAUGUGCCUUCUAUUGCACCAUCUAAUGGUGGCAUUCCUUUUAGUACUUAGUCUCCUAUUAAACCGUCAGUUAUUCAAGUUUACUCUUGAAGACCAGUAAUUGAUGAUACAUAUUCUGCACCAGAAUCUUCUUCGCCAUCGGAUACACCACUGAGUGACCUUGAUCUCCCCAUUAGUCUUUGUAAAGGUAAACGAUAGUGUAAGUCUACAUAUUCUAUUAUUAACUUUCUUUCUUAUGAUCACCUGUUUCUUUCUUCUACCUCUUUAAUUGUCUCUUUAGAUUCCAUUUCUUUAUCUAAGAUAGUUAAAAAGUCCAUGACCCAUUCUGGAUGGCAUGAUGCAAUGUUUGAGGAGAUCAAGACUCUAGAUAAAAAUCUGUAAUGACCCGGGAACUGGACCGCUAUCGGCGCUAGGAUUCAAAUCGACUUAAGAUCGCCGAAACCCGUAGCAAGCUUAACAUACAUCCUGUACAUCUGAUAAAAUCCCAUACAUAAUCGUACUUUUGCAUAAAAAAUUUUAAACUUUCCAUACAUCAAGCUUGACAUGUGCAUACACCAUAACUGUAAACAUAAAACCCCACACUAGAGCCCUCAUCAAAUGCUCUAGUGGGGCAACAUAUCAUAUGUCAAGCCUGGUUCAACAUAACUCAUCAUUAAAUCAUUUCAUAUAGAUCAUGUACAAAAAGGGAUCACCACUACUAUUAGGGCCAAGCACAAUACUAAACCAUAAAACAUUUCUCUACAUUACAUUUCAUCAUACCAUUUUACAUUACAUGUCCACUACUAAUCUAUUACACUUAACACAACCUUCAACCUUGACGACUUUUCGGUCUAUCCUGAACCUGCAAACCUGAGGGUUAGGGGAAAGGGGUGAGCUACUAAAGCCCAGUGAGCAGAAUAGUAAAAACAAUUUAAUAAUCACAUGCUUUCAUGAAAUGCAUCACAACACAAACAAUUCACAUCAAGGAUGGACUUGUUACCAAUAACCCCCUACAUAUCCAACCGUGCCAGGGGCGUAGAAUGGGUCUCGACCUGGACUUUCUCUUAACAUAACAUAACAUAACAUAACAUAACCAAUCGUCCCAGGGGCGUAGAAUGGGCCUCGACCUGGACUUACAUAUCAUACCAUAUCAUAUCAUAUCAUAUCAUAUCGAGGGCGAAUGGAUCAUCCAAUAUCCAUCCAUAUCAACAAUAAUUAAUGCAAUGCGUCAUAUUCGCGAAUUCUAAUGCAACAACCUAUAAACAUGGCAAUCGUGAUGCAUGAACAUGCUUAAAAUUUUAGUUACUUUGAAAUAACAUAGAGUUGUGUUCUACUCACCUCUGGCUGACUCUGGACUAACUCUGAAGCAACUAACACUGCUGGCCUCGUCGGUUCCUCGGGUCUGAUCCUACACAGGUGGACUCAAAUGAGGGACCAAACAUACUCUAACAUGACUCUAAACAUCUCCCCAAAAACCCCCUAAAACAUCAUAAACAUGCAUGGAAAAACAGGCAAAGGAAGGCUGGGCAGGGGACUUUUGGCGGCAGGUUCGGCGGCCGAAGGUCCCUCCAAAGCUAAAAGUCAGGCACUUUCGGGGGCAGGGUUCAGCGGCCGAAAGUUCCUCCAGAGCCGAAAGUCACAACCUUCGGGGGCAGGUUCGGCGGCUAGGGGUGAGCAUUCGGUCGGUUCGGUUCAAAAUCGAACCGAACCGAAUAAACUAAAAACCGAAAUUUUAGUGUUUAUGAAAACCGAACCGAACCGAUUUUGGUCAGAAAUCAAAUCGAACCGAACCGGUCUGAUUCUGUUCGAUUAGGUUCGGUUUGAUCGGUUUCGAUUUUUAAUAAUUUUUUUAUUUUUUACUCUUUAUUUUUAAUAUUUUAAAAUUUAAUUAAAAUAUUUUAAUUUUAAUAUGAUUUAAUUUCUCUAUAUUAUUGAAAAAAUAUAUUAUUAUCACUAAUCGGUUCGGUUCGGUUUUUUCGGUUUUUUUUUCUGAUCAAAACCGAACCGAACCGAAAUAACCGAAAUUUCUGAAAUUAAAAACCGAACCGAACUGAAAUGUAUAAAAAACCGAACCAAAUUUUCAAUUCGGUUCGGUUCGGUCGAUUUUUUCGGUUUGAACCGAAUACUGCUCACCCCUAUCGGCGGCUGAAACUCCCCUCUAGAGCCGAAAGUCCAAACCUUCAGGGGCGAGUUUAGGCGGCCUAAAGCUGCCUCCACAGGUAGGUUCGGCGGCCGAACCUGGGCUCUCCCAAAGUGCAGAACCCGAUUCUGCCUUGCAUAUCCAGCCACCCACAACAUCCCAACAUGCAUCCAACUAUACUAAAACAUGCAUAAACACAUUUUCAAGCAUAUAGGGGCAUAAAACUAGCCUAUACCCCAACAAACAUCACAUUUAGCAUACAUUUAUCAUUAAACUAACAUAAACCCUAACAUUUUACAUCUACUCUAAACAUGCAUUAAACAACCUCAAAACCCCUCAAAACUUACUUAAAACAUAAAACAAGGCGAGGAUCUACACUUACCUCUUGAAGAUCGAGAGGAGAGGUGAUCCAAACUUGGAGAUUGGGAGAAAUUGAGCUCCGGGGGUCUCCAAGCUUCAAAAACCUUGAUCUUAGCUUAAAAACUUCAAAACAAGAUGAAAGCUUGUCAAAAACUUGAAAGAUUUGAAGGAAAACAAAAAAACGACCAAAGGAAGGCGAAAUCUCAUCUAUACCCGAAAAUAGAGAAAGAAAACUCGCCCAUUUUCGGACGAAGGGCCUUUUAUAGGUGGCUGGCCAGACCACCUUCAGGAUCCAAAAGAGCUUCCGCAAGCUCCCCAUGUUCGGCGCCCGAACUUGAGGUUCGGCGGCCGAACCUGGGUUUUUCCCUCCUUGGUCUUUUCUUUUAAAACUCAAUUUCUUUCUUCAUAAAAACUGUAACGACCCGAAAAUCGGACCGCUACCGGCGCUAGAAUCCAAAUCGACUUAAGGUCGCCUGGACCCGUAGCAAGCCUAAUAUACAUCCUGUACAUCUGGUAUAAUCCCAUACAUGAUCAAACAUAACAUAAAAACUGUAAACUUUUUCUUUCAUUUACCAAGCUUAACCUGUGCAUGCACAAACUCAUAAACAAAAACCCCAACACUAGAGUUCUCAUCAUAUGCUCUAGUGGGGCAACAUGACAUACAUUAAGCUUGGUUUACAUGUCUCAUCAUAAAACGUACAUAAAGAUCAUGUGUAAUAGGGACAAACCAUAAACAUUAGGGCUAAGCACAAAACUAAACCUCAUUACAUUACUUUACAAUACAUCAUAACAUAACUUUUCAUUACAUCAUGUCCACUUCUAUUCUAUUACAUAAACAUAACCAUAGCCAUAACCUGCUGACAUCCUGAACUAUCUCUGUCCCUGCAAACCUGGGGUUAGGGGAGAGGGGUGAGCUAAAAAGCCCAGUGAGCAGAAACUAUAUAUAAAAAAAACAGUUCAUUAAAACAUAUGCUAUCAUGGAAUGCAUCACAUCACAAACAAAUCACAUCAAGGAUGAAUUUGUCACCAAUAGCCCUCUACAUAAAAAAAUCUCAUAUCAUAACAAGUUCAGCCAUAUUCUGUGCUAGGGGCGAUACGGCCACACCUGGUCUUCUCUUACUCUGUGCCAGGGGCGAUACGGCCACACUUGGUCUUUCCAUCUCAUAUCAUAUCAUACAUGUUAUAUCAUAUCAUUUCAUAUCAUGUCAUAUCAUAUUAUACUGAGGGCUAGAGAAUCAUCCAAUAUCCAUCCACAUCAUCAUCAUCGUAUUAUGCAAUGCAUCAUAUUCGUGAAUUCUAAUGCAAAUAACCUAUUACAUAACAUGGUAUUCAUGAUGCAUGAACAUGCUUAAAACAUUUGAUUUAUUUCAAAACAUAAGGGUUAGUUCCACUCACCUCUGGCUAGCUCUGGACUAACUCUGAAGCAGCUAACACUGCUAAACACCUCGGUUCCUCAGGUCCGAUCCUACACAGGUGGACUCAAAUGAGGGACCAAACAUAUACUAUCAUUACUUUAAACAACUCCCCAAAAAUCCCUUAAAACAUCAUAAAACACUCAUGCAAAACAGGCAAAGGAAGGGCACCUUCGGCGGCAGGUUCGGCGGCCGAAUGCUCCCACAGAUCCGAAAGUCAGGCACUUUCGGGGGAAGGUUCGGCGGCCGAAAGUCUCCUCCAAAGACGAAAGUCGAGCACUUUCGGUGGCACCUUCGACGGCCGAAAGUCCCUUCCAGAGCCGAAAGUCCACUUUUUGGGGCAAGGUUUGGCGGCCAAAGAUUGCUUCCACAGGCAGGUUCGGAAGCCGAAACCACCUUCGGCGGCCGAACCUGGGUUCCCCAACAAGGCAGAACCCGUUUUCGCCUUAUGCAAUCCGCCUCCAAAACCUCCCACACAUACAUCCAACGCUUCCAAAACAUGCACAACUCAUACAACAAGCAUAUAGGGGUCUCAAACUAGCCUAAACCCCCAACAAAUAUCACAUAAACAUGCAUUAACAUACUUUUAUCAUAAAAGGGUAUCAAAACCCCAACAUGUACAUCCAUACAACUCAUGCAUUCCUAGCCCUUAACCCUUCAUAAAACUUACUUAAAACAUCAUAAAAGAUAAGGAUCUACACUUACCUCUUGAAGAUCGAGGGUUGGUGCGACCUAAACUUGGAGAUAUGGAGAAUCCAAGCCCCAGAGAUCUCCAAGCUUCAAAACUUUGCUCUAAGCUUAAAACUCUUCAAAACAAAGAUAAAACUCAUGAAAACUUGAGGGAUUUGAAGAAAAAGCAUAAAAACAACCAAAGGAGAGCAUGAACUCACCUAUGCCCGAAAAGAGAGAGAAAACUCGCCCAUUUUCCGGACAAGGGGCCUUUUAUAGGUGGCCGGCCAAACUCCCUUUGGCGGCCAAAUCUGCUUCCGCAACUCCCCCACGUUCGGCGGCCGAACUUGGGGUUCGGCGGCAGCAAAAGGAAGCCAUUUUUGGAAGCCUAACGUACCCCCUAAACAGCCCCAUGUUCAGCGGCCGAACUUGAGGUUCGGCGGCCGAACCUGGGUUCUUCCCUCCUUAGUCUUUUCUUUCAAAACUCAAUUUCUUUCUCAUUCCAAACCUUAAAAUACUUAAAAACAUUUUAGAAAACCUUUAUUUUACCCUUCUAGAAGGCUCCGACAUCCGAGAUUUCCGGAUUCCAAUGGAGAUUCCGUCGGAAAGUUGGAAUUCCGAUGCCGGGGUCUAGCCGGGUAUUACAUUCUCCCCCCCUUAAGAACAUUCGUCCCCGAAUGUUCCUCAACUAGCACAUGGAUAAACAUAACAUAAAAACUCUAGCCUUAACAGAAACACGGUACUACUGGAGUAUGAACUCCCGGUCUCCCAGGCACACUUCUCAUACUGAGGUGAUUCCAAGGGACUCUCACUAUUGGGAUUUCCUUAUUCCUCUACUUUUUGACUUGUGUGUCUAUGAUCCGUACUAGCUGCUCAACAUAGGUGAGAUCCCCCUGAGAUCCUCACCUCUGGUCCUUUAAGAACCUCACUCGGAUCUGACACGAACUCGCAUACCAUGGAAACAUGGAAAAACGGAUGGAUCUCCUCCAUUGAAGUAGGCAAAUCUAACUCGUGGGAUACAUUCCCAAUCCUUUGCAGGACUUCAAAGGGUCCAAUGUAUCUUAGAGUUAGUUUUCCCUUUUUCCCUUUUUCCCAUAGCGAAUCACCUUCUCGUAGGAGACACCUCCAGUGUAACGACCCGAAAAUCGGACCGCUACCGGCGCUAGGAUCCAGGUCGACUUAAGGUCGCCGAGACCCGUAGCAAGCCUGCUAUACUGUCUAAGUACCUGUAAAAUCCCAUACAUGAUCAUAUAUUUUUCUGUAAAAACAUAAAACUUUGCUCUGUACCAAGGCUCAACCUGUGCAUGCACUAUCUCUGCAAUACAGAACCCCUUACUAGAGCCCUCAUCUUUGCUCUAGACGGGUUAAAACUCAUACUAUGUUAAGCCUGGUUCUCAUACUCAUCAGGAAAACACAUUUACAUAAACCAACCAUGUAUACAAAAAGGGAUUUACAACAUACGAGUCAAGCAUAAUACUAUACAAAACUAUAACAUCUCUUUUACAAAUUACAUGUCCACACUAUGCUAUUACAAAACUCUUUACUCUUUCUGUACUCUUCUGACUCCCCCUGCUCUGAUCCUGCAAGACUGGGGUUAAGGGAGAGGGGUGAGCUAUACUAGCCCAGUGAGUAGAACAAUAAAACAUGUUAAUUACACAUGCUCAAAUGAAAUGCAUCAUAUCACAGACAAUUCACAGCAAGGAUGAAUGUGUCACCAAUAGUCCCGACAUCCUAAACUCGUGCCAAGGCGUAGAAUGGGCACCUGGUCUUCCUGUCUUACCUGAUAACUCAUGCCAGGGCGUAGAAUGGGCACCUGGUCUUUCUCAGAGACUAAUGGAUCACCCACAUUCCAUCCACAUCAACAACAUAAAAUGCAAUACAACAUCUUCGUGAAUUCUAAUGCAAUCAACCUAUUGCAUAAUCAUGGUGCAUGAAACAUGCAAAAAGCAUUUAAUUACUCAUAUUAAAAAGAUUCAGUUUAGUUCCACUCACCUCUGGCUGACUCUGAAAACUCUGAAGCAGUGCUCACUGCUGCUCUCUUCGGUUCCUCUGGUCUGUCCCUACACAGGUGGACUCAAAUGAGGGACCAAACUAGCUCAAGAACAACUCUAUAAAACUCCCCAAAACCCCCCCUAAAACAUCCUAAAAGGGUCAAGAAAAACAUGCAAAAGAAGGCUGAACAGGGCACUUUCGGCGGCAGGUUCGGCGGCCGAAAGUCCCUUCCAAAGACGAAACUCAAGCACUUUCGGCGGCACUUCGGCUGCCGAAAGUCCUCUCCAGAGACGAAAGUCCCCUACCUUCGGCGGCCGAAACCCCCCUCCAGAGCCGAAAGUCCAAACUUUCGGGGGCAAGCUUGGGCAAGCUUAGGCAGCCGAAACCACCUCCUUAGCAUGUUCGGCGGCCGAACCCUCUUUCGGCGGCCGAAACUGGAUUCUCCAGUAAGGCAGAAACUUGUUCUGCUUCAUGCAAACGUACCCAUUUCCUCUGUCUCAGGUCCUUCUCCUUUGACUCAAGAUGUACUGCAAGCUCUUUCGAUCUAUAAGGAUCUGACAUCAUACCCUAUACAAGUACUGCCUCCACAUCUCGAGUGCAAAGAUUACAACUGCCGUCUCUAAAUCAUAUGUAGGAUAAUUCAACUCAUGCUUCUUCAGCUACCUAGAAACAUAAGUAAUUACCCUGUCACUUUGUAUCAACACACAAUCUAGUCCCACACGGGACGCAUCACAGGACACUGUGAAAUUCUCAUUACUGGUAGACAGAGCUACCAUCGGUACUGACAUCAACCUUUCCUUCAGCUCUACGAAACUCUCUUCACACUGAUGAGACCACGCACCCUCUGGUCCUUCUUGGUCAAACUGGUUAUAGGAGCGGCAACUUCUAGAGAUGUCCUGGACGGACCUCCUGUAGUAACCUGCCAACCCAGAAAACUUUUAAUCUCUGCCACUGUAGUGGGUCCAGGCCGGUUAGCUACCGCUUUUGCCUUCUUGGGGUCCACUUCAAAUCCUUUUUCUAUACCCCAAGAAUGAAGAGCUCCUCAACCAGAACUCACACUUGGAGAACUUGGCAUACAAGCCAUGUUCCCUCAAGGUCUGCAACACCAUCCUCAGAUAAUGGGCAUGCUCCUCUGCGUUUUUGGAACUCACCAAGGUAUCGUCAAUGAAGACAAUAAUGAAGUGAUCCAAAAUCUAACUAAAAACUCUGCUUAUGAGAUCCACGAAUGUUGUAGGGGCAUUUAUUAGCCCGAACGGCAUUACUAAGAACCCAUAUUGCCCAUACCUGAUCUUGAACGCCGUCUUCGGCAUAUCUUCUACUCUCAUUCUUAACUGAUAGUGCCCGGAUUUCAGAUCUAUCCUGGAAAAAACCACCUGCUCCUGCUAGCUGAUUUAAAAGUAGAUCGUUGAUCCAAGGUAACAGAUACUUGUUCUUGGUAGUGACUUUGUUCAACUGGCUGUAGUCGAUACAAAGUCUUAGGAAUCCAUCCUUCAUCCUCAUAAACAAUACUGGAGCACUCCAAAGUGAAGUACUCGGUCGGAUGAAACCCUUAUCUACCAACUCUUGCAACUUGCUCUUCCUACUUCUUUAACUCUGCAGGUGCCAUUCUGUAGGGAGUGGUAGAGACGGAUUUGGUCCCUAUCAUCACUUUAAUUUCAUACUCUAUCUCCCUAGCAGAUGGUACACCCGACAGCUCGUCUGGGAAAACAUCUAAGAACUCUCUGACUAUAGGUACUGAGGCGGGUCCCCCGACCUGACUACUAUACUCUCUCACAAGUGCUAGAAACCCCUGACGACCUUUCCUGAACAACCUACGAGCCUGUAGGGCUGAUAUCAACCUCUAGGUAUCCCUACUCUGUCCCCUCUAAGGACUACCUCUGAUCCAUCCUGAUCUCUGAACAUGACUACCUUGUCUCUGCUAUCCAAGGUAGCACUAUGAGUAGAAAGCCACUCCAUCCCUAGAAUGACGUCAAAAUCAGUCAAUCUAGAACCACUAGGCCGGCUGGAAGGCAUCUACCCUCAACAUAUUCUGAACUAUAUCGGCAGACUAACUCUGCCACUGAUGGAUCACACUUGGAUCCACUGACCCAAAGGGGAUACUCUAACCCAGAAGCUAUCAAACCCAACCUCUCUACGGCUCUCGAAGCAACAAGGAAAGAGAAACACAUCAGGGUUCAUUACAGCAUACACAUCAAAACAUAAGAGAAUGAGAUUACCUAUCACCACCAUGUCUGAUGUGUCAGCCUCCUGCUGUGCCAUGGAAAAGAUCCGAGCUGGAGCUGAUGGACCUUCACCUAGGGAACCUGCUGAAGAAGGGGCUGUCCCCCUUCCUCUGCCUCUACCACUGCCCUGAGACAUGGUUGGAGCUACUGGUUGAGCCACACCGCCUGGAGCUGUCUGAUGGGACGGUGCCAUAAAAGCUGCCCUAGGACACUCCCGAGCUAUGUGUCCCUCCUGGCCGCAUCUGUAACAUGCUGUAGUCCCAAUCCGACAGACCCCCUUGUGCGGUCUAUCGCACCUCAUACACUCUGCAACCUCCGUGCCUGAGCUUGAGCCACCUUCUAAUCCCAGACCAGACUUUAUCCGAUUCCAGAACUUGUUCUUCUUUGAUCUUCUGAGGCCUCUGUAUCCCUUUUUACUCUUCGUGACAGCCUCGCUCAAAGGGGAGAGAUUAACAUCACUUGUCCCCGGGAUUUUGGAACCCGAAGACUGUGCCACAUACUGCUUAACUGUCCCUUGAAUGAUGGCACUAGCCUCCAUCUUCCGAGCCAUAUCCACUAUAGCAUGAAAACUCUCCCUCUCCGCUGAUUGGAUCAAGAAGGAAUACCUAGAGUGAAGCUUCAUGAUAUACCUCCUAGACUUCUUUAGGUCUGUAUCAAAAACUUGCCCUGCAAACGGCAACAGCUCCAGGAACUUGUCUGUAAACUCAUCUACACUCAUCUCUUCCGUCUGCCUUAGCUGCUCAAACUCAAUCAGCUUCAGCUCUCUGGAACUAUCUGGAAAAGCCCAUCCUGUAACCUCAUUGGCAAACUGCUCCCAGGAUAAGCUCUCCAACCUUAGGUUCACAUAGUUUUUGAACCAUUAUCUUGCCUUCUUACAUUUCAAUGUGAACCCUGCCAUUUGAAUGGCUCUACUGUCAUUUGCUCUCAACUCAUCCGUUAUCAUCUUUACCGUUCUGAGAUACUCAAAAGGGUCAUCACCUGUUUCAAACUUGGGGGCAUCCAACUUCAAAUAGUCCGUCAUCUUUACCUUACCCCCAACUGAUGAGCUAGGUUUGGGUAUUUGAACAUCAGGGACUAUUGGUUCUGCUGGUGGUGGAGGAGGUGCAACAUUCCCUGGGUUAGGGUUUGCUGGACCUGGGUAGAAGGAUGAGGGUGGAAACAUGGGGUACUGUGGGUAAAAGGGAGGAUAGGGCAUGAAGGUGGGGUAUGGGUUGUAACUGGAGUAAUAUGAUGUACCUCCCAUCGGAUACCCUGGGCCCUGUGGAUAGGGUUGGUACUGGGGUGGGUGAACAAAACCCGAGGCCUGAGCGCCUCCUUGGGACACUCCCACACCCUCUGCUGACAUACUCAUGCCCAAACUAUUAUCUCUUCUCUGAUCAUCCUCCUCUGAUUCCCUCACAUCAUCUGACAUUCCGCCCAGAACUGAUCUCCUCCUGUUUGCAUCAAAAGACCUUCUAGGGUCCCUUGAUGUUCCUUCUCUACUUGCUCUACAAGACCUUGCCCUCUGCAGGGCAAGGGAAUGGGCAUCCAUGCCCUCAUUCUCUGGCGGAGCUCCAGUCAAUCUAGCAGAUCGACGAGUUCCUCUCAUCCUGCUCUUAGAAAAACAACAUCAUAAACACUGAAACAUAACAUCAUACGAUCCAUGUGGAAACACAUGAAUCCACAACACAUACAUAACAUAUCAUUAAUGCACAUGCAUUUAGUCAUGGCAUUUCACAUCAUCAUGCAAGACAGGACUCCACAUCCUAUCCUAGUGGACAUGAUUUCCUAUUGUGCUUGCCCCUUCUAUAACCUCUAUGAGCCCGACACACUAUAGGUCCGACCACAUGAACCUAGGGCUCUGAUACCAAUCUGUAACGACCCGAAAACCGGACCGCUAUCGGCGCUAGGAUCCAGAUCGACUUAAGGUCACCGGAACCCGUAGCAAGCCUAACAUACAUCCUGUACAUCUGGUAUAAUCCCAUACAUGAUCAAACAUAACAUAAAAACUAUAAACUUUUUCUUUCAUUCACCAAGCUUAACCUGUGCAUGCACAAACUCAUAAACAAAAACCCCAACACUAGAGUGCUCAUCAUAUGCUCUAGUGGGGCAACAUGACAUACAUUAAGCUUGGUUUACAUGUCUCAUCAUAAAACAUACAUAAAGAUCAUGUGUAAUAGGGACAAACCAUAAACAUUAGGGCUAAGCACAAAACUAAACCUCAUUACAUUACUUUACAAUACAUCAUAACAUAACUUUUCAUUACAUCAUGUCCACUUCUAUUCUAUUACAUAAACAUAACCAUAGCCAUAACCUGCUGACAUCCUGAACUAUCUCUGUCCCUGCAAACCUGGGGUUAGGGGAGAGGGGUGAGCUAAAAAGCCCAGUGAGCAGAAACUACAUAUAAAAAAAAUAGUUCAUUAAAACAUAUGCUAUCAUGGAAUGCAUCACAUCACAAACAAAUCACAUCAAUGAUGAAUUUGUCACCAAUAGCCCUCUACAUAAAAAAAUCUCAUAUCAUAACAAGUUCAGCCAUAUUCUGUGCUAGGGGCGAUAUGGCCACACCUGGUCUUCUCUUACUCUGUGCCAGGGGCGAUACGGCCACACCUGGUCUUGCUCUGUGCCAGGGGCGAUACGACCACACCUGGUCUUUCCAUCUCAUAUCAUAUCAUACAUGUCAUAUCAUAUCAUUUCAUAUCAUGUCAUAUCAUAUCAUACUAAGGACUAGAGGAUCAUCCAAUAUCCAUCAACAUCAUCAUCAUCGUAUUAUGCAAUGCAUAAUAUUCGUGAAUUCUAAUGCAAAUAACCUAUUACAUAACAUGGUAUUCAUGAUGCAUGAACAUGCUUAAAACAUUUGAUUUAUUUCAAAACAUAAAGGUUAGUUCCACUCACCUCUGGCUAGCUCUGGACUAACUCUGAAGUAGCUAACACUGCUAAACACCUCGGUUCCUCAGGUCCGAUCCUACACAGGUGGACUCAAAUGAGGGACCAAAUAUAUACUAUCAUUACUCUAAACAACUCCCCAAAGACCCCUUAAAACAUCAUAAAACACUCAUGCAAAACAGGCAAAGGAAGGCUGGACAGGACACCUUCGGCGGCAGGUUCGGCGGCCGAAUGCUCCCACAGAUCCGAAAGUCAGGCACUUUCGGGGGCAGGUUCGGCGGCCAAAAGUCUCCUCUAGAGACGAAAGUCGGGCACUUUCGGCGGCACCUUCGGCGGUCGAAAGUCCCUUCCAAAGCUGAAAGUCCACUUUCGGGGGCAAGGUUUGGCGGCCAAAGAUUGCUUCCACAGGCAGGUUUGGAAGCCGAAACCACCUUCAGCGGCCGAACCUGGGUUCCCCAGCAAGGCAGAACCUGUUUUCACCUCAUGCAAUCCGCCUCCAAAACCUCCCACACAUACAUCCAACGCUUCCAAAACAUGCACAACUCAUACAACAAGCAUAUAGGGGUCUCAAACUAGCCUAAACCCCCAACAAACAUCACAUAAACAUCCAUUAACAUACUUUUAUCAUAAAAGGGUAUCAAAACCCCAACAUGUACAUCCAUACAACUCAUGCAUUCCUAGCCCUUAACCCUUCAUAAAAAUUACUUAAAACAUCAUAAAAGAUAAGGAUCUACACUUACCUCUUGAAGAUCAAGGGUUGGUGCGACCCAAACUUGGAGAUGUGGAGAAUCCAAGCCCCGGAGAUCUCCAAGCUUCAAAACAUAGCUCUAAGCUUAAAACUCUUCAAAACAAAGAUAAAACUCAUGAAAACUUGAGGGAUUUGAAGAAAAAGCAUAAAAACAACCAAAGGAGAGCAUGAACUCACCUAUGCCAGAAAAGAGAGAGAAAACUUGCCCAUUUUCCGGACAAGGGGCCUUUUAUAGGUGGCCGGCCAUACUCCCUUCGGCGGCCAAAUCUGCUUCCGCAACUCCCCCACGUUUGGCGACCGAACUUGGGGUUCGGCGGUAGUAAAAGGAAGCCAUUUUCGGAAGCCUAACGUGCCCCCUAAACAGCCCCAUGUUCGGUGGCCGAACUUGAGGUUCGGCGGCCGAACCUGGGUUCUUCCCUCCUUGGUCUUUUCUUUCAAAACUCAAUUUCUUUCUCAUUCCAAACCUUAAAAUACUUAAAAACAUUUUAGAAAACCUUUAUUUUACUCUUCUAGAAGGCUUCGACAUCUGAGAUUUCCGGAUUCCAACGGAGAUUCCGUCGAAAAGUUGGAAUUCCGAUACCGGGGUCUAGCCGGGUAUUACAAAAACCAAGAAACGCAUAAAAACAUUUUAGAAAACCUUUAUUUUACCCUUCUAAAAGGCUCCGACAUCCGAGAAUUCCGAAUUCCAACGGAGAUUCCGCCGGAAGGUAGGAAUUCCGGUGCUGAGGUUUAGCCGGGUAUUACAAAAAUCAUACUUUGGAACUAGUUGAUUUAUCUCUAGUAAGAAGGCUGUGGGUUGUAAAUGGGUUUUUACCAUCAAAGUUAAUCCAAAUAGUUUCAUAGCGAGACUUAAGGCCCGUCUUAUUAUUAAAAGGUAUGCAUAAAUUUGUAGCAUUGACUAUUCUGAUACUUUUUCUCCUGUGGCUAAAAUGACCACGGUUCGCUUGUUUAUCUCCCUAAAUGCUUCUUAGUAUUGGCCUUUAUACCAGUUAGAUAUCAAUAAUGCAUUUUUAUAUGGUGACCUCCAAGAGAAGAUAUAUAUGGAGCAACCACCUGAGUUUGUUGCUCAAGAAAAGUAUGAGAAAGCCUAUCGUUUGAAGAAAUCUUUGUAUGGUUUGAAAUAGUCUUUGUGCAUAGUUUGGCAAGUUUAGUGAAGUUGUUCAAGAAUUUGAGUUGAAAAAAAACAAGUGUGAUCACUCAGUCUUUUAUAGAAAUUUAAAUACCGAUAUUAUUCUCCUUGUGUAUGUUGAUGAUAUUGUCAUUAUAGGGAAUUAUAGUGCAUGGAUCUUUUCUCUCAAAUCCUUCUUGCAUGCGAGUUUUCAGACUAAAGACUUGGAUCAGCUAAAGUAUUUUUUGGGAGUUGAAGUCUUAAGGAAUAAAAAGAAAAUUUUUCUUGUCUUAAAGGAAGUAUAUCCUUGACUUAUUUGAAGAAACUGGAAAGUUGAGAGCUAAACCCUAUAGCACACAAAUGAUUCCUAAUAUAUGGCUCACAAAAGAUGACGGGACCCUUAUGAUGAUCUAAAGAGAUACAGGAGGUUAGUUAGAAAGUUGAACUACCUUAUGGUGAUGACUCAUCCAAAUAUUGCUUUUGCAGUAAGUAUUGUAAGCCAAUUCAUAUCUGCUCUUACAGUGAAACAUUGGGCCAUUCUAAAACAAAUUCUAUAUUAUUUAAAAAGGAAUUCUAAACACGAUAUACUCCACAGUAAUCAUAGGCAUACUACACUUGAGAUUUUUUCAUAUGUUGACUGGAAGAGAUCCAAAAGUGAUAGAAGUUCGACCAUAGACUACUGUGUGUUUGCUAGAGAAAACCCAGUAUCUUGGAAAAGUAAGAAGCAAAAUAUGGCAUCCAGAUCUAGUGCCAAGUCAGAAUACAGGGCCAUGGCUUCACUUGUGAGAUUUUAUGGAUAAAUCAUCUACUAAAAUAAGUUAGUUUGGAUGUUACGUCACCCACAAAACUUUAGUGUAAUAAUCAGACUACUCUUUACAUCGCUUCCAACCCAAUAUACCACGAACGGACUAAGCAUAUUGAAGUUGAUUACCAUUUCAUCCAUGAGAAGAUUUAAGAAAAUUUAAUUUUCACGUAAUGUGAAGACAAGAGAGCAACUGGGUGAUCUACUCACCAAAGCAUUACAUGGGCCUCAAAUAGAAUAUCUUUCUAGCAAGUUGGGCAGGAUAAACAUUUAUACUCCAAAUUGAGGGGGAGUGUUAGAGUGCGAAUAUAAUUUAUAUAUAAUCAAAGGAGAUUACAUAAUCAUAGGAGAUUACAUAAUCAUAGGCUAAUUGAUACUAAUUGAUUGAUAGAGAAUUUUCAGGAGCAGCCUUAACAAGGUCUUGUAAUCUGUAUAUAAACACACUUACUUCAAUAGAAAAGACACACAAUAAUGCCUAAUUGUUCCUUGUAUUGUUACAAAAAUAAAACCAAACUAAUAAUCAGAAGACAAACAGACAUCACCCAAACCGCCUGAUCACUGCCCAACCAUCCACCACCAGUAAACAUGCAUCUCGUCCAGUACAAAACCAAGGACUACACAGGCCAACAAUGGAACCCACAAAGAUGAUGACCAAUAUAAAAGAAAGUAGAAAACAACAAUAUGCAAUCAGCCUCAAGAAUAACACUUGCAUUUCGAUUUACUCCGACAGGGAGAGAUGCGAAGAGCGUAGCCAGUAUCUACCGGCCAACAGGAGUAAAAUCACCAGACGCAGUGACAUGGUCCCACUGUGCCGACAUCAAGCCUUAAUAAAUCUCCCCGAAAGCUAGAUCCAAACAACCUGAGAUCAGGUUCACAAAACUUUCCUCUCAUGCCAACGCGAACCUUAAAAAAAAUAGAAUAAAAAAAGGAAAAAAACAACAAUCUCUACCUACAACGAGGGAAGACCAAAGGUAGAGAUCCACUAAAAACAAAAGCAAACAAAACAAAGGGAAAAAAAAAAAAAACCUUCUCUGCCUUUGGGACCAAUGAAUCAAACAGAAAACAAAAGAAGUAUCGAAGACAAAAUCCAGACAAAACAACAACACCAAAACCACAAUCGAAGUUCCUAUUAAACAGCUACCCACACGCUACUCACAAGCCACACACACUUAGAUGAUGCAGACGAUUGAUAAAACUGUUCCCAUCCCUUUUAUCUCAUUCUCAUGCACUCACUCCCUGGCUCACUCUCUCUCUCCCUCUUUCUCUCAUCCUUAAGAAGUUUCGAAAGAGCCAAAAUGUUCACACUAAUGAAGAUCACUCCUCAUUGAAGUAUGUCCAAAUCACCUAAUUGAUCAUUAUAAUAUCUACAAAAUUAUCUUUUUCUUUUAAUUCUAAAUCUAUACUUUACAAUAAAUCAGUUAAAAUGGAUAUAAUAGGGAUGAUACUGUUUUUAUCGCUUUUUUUUUUAAUAGAAGAUCAAGUUUAGCUCAUAUUAUUAUUGUCAUGAAAAAGAACCUCAUAUAGAAAAGGAGGGCAUACCCCCAUUCAAAGUCAGACCUAGAAUUAACCACCAUAGCUGUAACGACCCGAAAAUCAGACCGCUACCGGCGCUAGGAUCCAGAUCGGCUUAAGGCCGUCGGGACCCGUAGCAAGCCAAACAUUCAUCCUGUGAACCUGUUUAAUCCCAUACAUGAUCAACAAUUACAUAAAAAUUUAAAACUUUCUCAUUGAAUCAUUCAUUGGCUCUUUCAUUCAUUCAUUCUUUCAUUCAUUCAUUCUUUCAUUCAUUCAUUCUUUCAUUCAUUCAUUCUUAACCUGUGCAUGUACAAACUCAUAUACAUAAUCAUUAUUAAACAUUUGAGAUCAUGUACUAGAAAGGGAUUAACACAAUACUAUGGUCAAGCACAACUCUAAACUCCCAUAAGCAUCAUUACAUACAUUUCAAUACUUUACUUUUACAUUACAACAUUUUCAUGUCCACAGCUAGCUAUUACAUAACACAAGACUCUACUCCUGCUGACCUCCUGGUCUACCCUGUACCUGCAAACCUGGGGGUUAGGGAGAGGGGUGAGCUAUAAAGCCCAGUGAGCAGAAUAAAUAAACAUUCAAUUUAAAUUUCAUGCUUUCAUGAAAUGCAACACAUCACAGACAAAUCACAUCAAGGAUGGUAUUGUUACCAAUAGUCCUCUACAUUCCAAGGUGCCGGGACGUAGAAUGGGUCAACCGGUCUUUCUCUUAAACAUAACAUAUCAUAACAUUCCAACGUGCCGGGACGUAGAAUGGGUCAACCGGACUUCCAUACCAUGCCAUACUGUAUCAUAUUACAUCGUAUCAUAUUGAGGACUAAGGAUCAUCCAACAUCCAUCCACAUCAUCAUCAAGUUAUGCAAUGCAACAUAUUCGUGAAUUCUAAUGCAAACAACCUAUAAUAUCACAUGGCAUUCGUGAUGCAUGAACAUGCUCAAAUCAAUAUUUAAUUGCUUUAAAACAUAAGUGUUUAUUCCACUCACCUCUGGCUGAAGCUCUAAGGACUCUGAAGCAACUGACUCACUGCUGGGGUCCUCGGUUUCUCGGGUCCGAACCUACACAGGUGGACUCAAAUGAGGGACCAAACAUUCAUGAAAAUGACUCUAAAAUACUCCCCAAAAACCCCCUAAAACACCUUAAAACAAUCAUAGAAUUCAUGCAAAGGAGGGCUGAACAAGGCACUUUCGGCGGCAGGUUCGGCGGCCGAAAGGCCCUCCAGAGUCGAAAGUCAUGCACCUUCGGCGGCACUUUCGGCAGCCGAAGGUUCCCUCUAGAGACGAAACUCAUGCAUGUUCGGCAGCACCUUCGGCGGCCGAAACUCCCUUCUAGAGCCGAAAGUCCACUUUCGGGGGUAGGGUUCGGCAGCCGAUUCAUGCUACCACAGGCAGGUUCGGCGGCCGAAAGAACCUUCGGCUGCCGAACCUGAGUUCUUCCCAAAGGGCAGAAACUCAGCCUUCCUCAUGCAGAACGCCUCCCAACACAUCCAAUCAUGCAUUAUCCUAUUCUACAACAUGCAUACUCAAGCAUACAAGGUCCUAGGGGCUUCAACUAUCCUAAACCCCAUCUACAACACAUCAAACAUGCAUAUCCAUCACACAUUGUUCAUAAACACAAAGUAAACCCAUAAACUCAACAUAACCUAUACAUGCAUUUCUACCCCAUAAAUCUUCAUAAAACUUGUUUAAAACCUUAAAGGAACUAUGGAUCUACUCUUACCUCUUGAAGAACGAGAGGAGAGACGAUCCAACUCGGAGAUGGGAGAGAUCUCAACUCUUUGGUCUCCAAGCUUCCAAAACUCGCUCUUUUGUUCAAAUAUCUUCAAAUCAACAUAAAGCUUGUUAAAUCAUGAAAGAUCAGAAGGAAAAACAUUGAAAAUAACCAUAGGAGAGCAUGAACUCAUCGUGGCCGAAAAUGGGGAGAAAACUCGCCCGUUUCGGCCAUGGAGCUCUUAUAUAGGGGCUGGCAGACCACCUUUCAGCAGCCUAAGGUGCCUCCAAAACUCAUGCAAGUUCGGCGGCCGAACAUGAGGUUUGGCGGCCGAACCUUUGAAACUUUCGGAAGCCUAACUUGCCCCCCUAAACCAUCCCACGUUUGGCGGCCAAACCUGGAAAUGUCUCCUUGGCCUUUUUCAUUUAAAACUCAAUUUCCUUUUUGCUUAAAACCAUAAAAUACAUCAAAACAUUUAUGAAAACAUGCUUUUACCCUUCUAGAGGUUUCUGACAUCCGAGAUUCCACCGGACAGUAGGAAUUCUGAUACCGGAGUCUAGCCGGGUAUUACAUUCUUCCCCCCUUAAGAACAUUCGUCCCCGAAUGUUCAGCAAACAAACACAUGGCAUAGCAUAAAACAUAAACAUUCAUACAAAGCACAUAAAACUCACCUUAGAAGAGAUGAGG
rnacentral:lncRNA from 1 species